CAAGAUCCGAGUCGACGUCCUAUUCGGCACCAGGGAGAACUGUCGGACCGAGAACCUAGUGUUCGAGGUGGUAGACCUUAGCAGUCCGUACCACGCGUUGCUUGGCAGACCGGCACUUGCCAAGUUCAUGGCGACUACUCACAUUGGCUAUCUGAAGAUGAAGAUGCCGGGACCAAAUGGUACCAUAACCAUUACUGGCAACUACAAACGCUCAAUGGAGUGCGCAGCGGCCGGAUCUGCUUUGGCCGAGUCGCUUGUCAUCGCUAGCGAGAAGUAGAAGUUACAAGAAGCUGUUGCGAUGGCUCAAGCGGCACAAAUUGGCCUACCGACUAUGACCAAUCCUCAUGGAAGUGUGGCUUUUCAGGCAGCCAAGGAGACAAAGAAAGUACAGGUUGACAACGAGUUCCCGGACCGCACCGUUAUCAUUGGUGCCGGCCUGGGUGAAAAAUAGGAAGGCGAGCUCACCAGCUUCCUCCGUGAGAAUCAGAACAUCUUCGCAUGGUCAAAUCAAGACCUGCCGGGUGUGCCGAGGGAGUUGGCUAAGCACUCAUUACAUGUCAGACCAGACGCAAGACCGGUGAAGCAGCCCCUUCGACGCUUCACUGACGACAGAAGGAAAGUCAUAUCGGAAGUGGUAUCCCAGCUUCUGGCUGCCGGCUUUAUCAUGGAAGUGUUGCAUCCUGACUAGCUGGCAAACCCGGUCAUGGUUGAGAAUAAGAAAGACGACCCAACUGCUGCCAAGGUGUGGCGAAUGUGUAUCGACUACACCAGCCUGAACAAGGCGUGUCCCAAAGAUCCUUUUCCAUUACCUCGGAUUGAUCAAGUGAUUAAUUUUACAGCCGGGUGUGAGUUGCUGUCUUUUGUAGACGCGAACUCUGGUUUUCACCAGAUACCGUUGAACCCUAAUGAUCAAAUAAAGACAUCAUUUAUCUCCCCGUUCGGGGCUUAUUGCUAUCGUACUAUGCCGUAUGGUUUGAGAAAUGCAGGGGCUACUUAUUAAAGAUGCAUGCAGAAAUGCUUGCACGACCAAUUAGGCAAAAAUGUGCAGGUAUAUGUCGACGACGUCAUCAUAAAAAAAAAGGAAAGCGCCACGCUCCUGGAUGAUAUCCGGGAAACAUUCGCAAAUCGGAGGAGAUUCCGCAUGAAACUGAACCCGGCCAAGUGCACAUUCGGUGUGUCGGCGGGGAAGUUGCUUGGGUUCCUGGUAUCAAGCCGAGGUAUAGAAACGAACCACGUGUAAAUUGCUGCCAUAGAAAGAAUGAAACUGCCAAAGUGCCUCAAAAAUGUGCAAACAUUCACUGGAUGCCUAGCAUCGCUAAGUCGUUUCGUUAGUCGGCUGGGUGAAAAGGCUAUACCAGCUGAUGAAAAAAAGCGACAAAUUUGUGUGGACGCAACAAGCAGACCUAAUUUUUCAAGAGCUGAAGAAAAUGAUUGCUACGGCACCAAUAUUAGCCUCGCAAAUGGAGAAGGAGCCAAUGCUGUUAUACAUAGCAGCAACGAACCGAGUCGUUAGUGCCGUCAUCGUGGUGGAAAGAGAUGAAAAUGGCAAAUCGGUGCAAAGGCCGGUAUAUUACUUGAGUGAGGUGCUAUCGUCGUCUAAGCAGAAUUACCCCCAAUACCAGAAAAUGGCGUAUGGCGUGUAUAUGGCGGCAAAGAAGCUAAAGCAUUACUUUGAAGCACAUUAGAUCCGAGUUAUAUGCGAGGCGCCCGUCUUGGAAAUCAUGAGUAACAAAGACGCGAGCGGCCGGGUCGCAAAGUGGGCUGUCGAGUUAGCACCCUAUGCGCUGCAGUACGACAGACGGGAUGCUGUGAAAUCUCACGCUCUAGCGGAUUUUUUGGUGGAUUGGGCCGAGAUGGAGUAUGAACCACUGCCCCCGGAAACUAACUACUGGAAAAUGCAUUUUGACGGUUCUAAGAUGAAAAGUGGGCUUGGUGCCGGCAUAGUUCUGACGUCGCCAAAGCAUGACCAACUUAAAUACGCAUUGCAAAUUCACUUCGCAGCAUCCAACAAUGUUGCCGAGUAUGAGGCACUUAUGCACGGACUGAAAAUGGCAAGGGAAAUUGGAGUCCGUCGGAUUCAAUGUUUUGAUGAUUCCGAUCUGGUAGUCCAGCAAGCCUCCGGCAAUUGGGAUGCAUUGGAUGCCAAUAUGGCAUUAUACCGGUUCCAUGUUCAGAAGAUCAGUGGCCACUUCGAAGGGUGCAAAUUUCACCAUAUACCGCGGGCGGAAAUUGAGGCAGCCGACACACUGUCGAAACUCGGCUCAACACGACAGGCCAUUCCGGCUGGUGUGGCAUUGGAGCACUUACGCAAACCAUCCAUCAAGCCAUCAAGAGAAUUGGUGUUGAUAUUUAUCCCGAAAAGCUCAAAAGCCGAUGUCGCCUCCAUGGACAUUGACAGUGGCAACGGUUCCGGUAACCCGGGGACUGAGCGCCUUAACUCGGCAGAAGCAAUGGCGGUUGAGCCAAUGGAGAUAGACGUAUCGGAUGAGCUGAUCUUCACCACUCGUCCUGUGUCGGAUUGGGCGCAACCGAUAAUGUCUUACCUCAAAGAUGGGAAUCUCCCAAAAGAGGAAGUGACAGCAAGACAAAUUCAGAGAAGGGCGAAGGCGUACACCAUCAUCAAUGGCGAGCUAUACAAGAGGAGUGUCACGAAUGUCCUGCAGCGAUGCGUCGAGCCGAAGAAGGGCAAGAAAUACUCCGGGAUAUUCAUCAGGAAGAGUGCGGCCAUCAUGCAUCUUCACGAACGCUAGUGGGCAAGGCAUUCCGACAUGGUUUCUACUGGCCAAGUGCACUACAGGAAGCAGAAGACAUAGUCAGGAAGUGUAACGGCUGCCAGAGAUAUGACAGCAAGAUUCAUAUGCCGGCAUCCGAGCUUAAAACUAUUCCAAUCACUUGGCCGUUUGCUGUUUGGUGUUUGGAUAUGGUGGGACCGUUCAAGCGGGCGCGAGGAGGCAUGACGCAUAUCUUGGUUAUGGUCGACAAAUUCACCAAGUGGAUUGAGGUAAAGCCGAUACGAAAAUGUGAUGGCUAAACUGCGGUAUCAUUCCUGAAGGACAUUAUCUUGAGAUAUGGGUACUCGCACAGUGUCAUCACGGAUAAUGGAACGAACUUCGCGGAAGGACCUUUCGCGCGAUUUUGUGCUGAAAAGAAAAUCAGACCGGAGAUCGCUUCCGUAGCAUAUCCUCAGUCCAAUGGACAAGUUGAAAGAGCAAACGACAUGAUUUUAGCCGGCAUUAAACCUCGGCUAAUCGAACCAUUGGAACGUACUCCAGAAUGCUGGCUGGACGAACUCCUGGCUGUGCUAUGGAGUCUCCGGACGACUCCCAAUCGCUCCACAGGCUACACGCCAAUUUUCCUCGUAUACGGGGCGGAAGCUGUCCUACCAGCGGACAUUGAACAUGACUCUCCACGAGUGACCAUGUAUACGGAAGCUGAGGUAAAAGAGGCUCGAGAAAAUGAUGUCGACCUGCUCGAAGAAGCACGGGAAUUGGCUCUGUCUCGGUCGGCUAUCUAUCAACGACACCUAAGGCGUUAUCAUAGCUGAAAGGUCAACCCGCGGGUAUUCCGAGAAGGGGACCUCAUUCUCCGACUACACAAACUGUCACCCCCAUGGGAAGGACCCUUCAUUGUGAGCAAAGCGAUUCACAAUGAUUCCUACUAUCUUAUAGAUGCACAAGAUCUCAAGGCGAACAGGAUGGACCGGUCAGGCGAGGAGACCAAGAGGCCAUGAAAUGUAGCUUUGCUUUGUCCGUUCUAUACUUGAGAGAUGAGUAUUUGUAUCGUUUCCUUUUUAUGUUGAAUGUUUUAAGACAAUGAAAUUAUCCACUGGGUUCUUAAAAGGAACUCGGGGACUUCCAUGUCAUUUAAAUGUUGUAUCGCAAUUAUCUUGCGUAUGUCGGCGUGGCUUAGUUGUGUAAUCUUAUGUCGGUUUAGUAGUGUGUCAGUAUUGAAAAUCCCCUAUAUGACUUCGCUGAUAUCCGCAACCCGGCUUCAUGGCAAGCUAGAGAUGGGUACGAGAUAACUGAACACAUGAAAAGAGAUUACGGAAACAAGCAAAAAAGCGAUCCGGGAUGCGUCUUGUCUUAACCCGGCAUUUCUUUCCUAACUCGGUUAUUGCCAAGCGAAUUCGUCGAGCUCAUUUUUUCCAAAAGGAUAGUUUUAUGACUUUGCGAUUCAUACGUCGAACGCCGAUAAGGCAGACAAAAGAGCCGAGGUCAUAAAAUUUUACUAAAAGGAAAAAUGGACUAGGGGACUCGGUCAGGAAUUUGAUAAGCAAAAGACUUAUAUAAAUUAAGAAGACGAUGUCUUGCAAACAAAAAUAUAUUAUCCCGGUUACAUAUGCACCCGGCAUCCCGAGGAUCUAACAAUUCUAAAGUUUUUCUUUCCGACAAAGCUAAGAAGAAACGGAGGGGUUGUUGGCGUCGGAACUCGGAGCAUCCGUCGCGGACUAUUCUAAACCCGGCCUGAAUCUCAGGGAAUAAGUGUUUGAAGUUUCUAAAGCUUCAGGCCAACUAUUCUAAACCCGGCCUGAAUCUCGGGGAAUAAGUGUUUGAAGUUUCUAAAGCAUCAGGCCGACUAUUCUAAACCCGGCCUGAAUCUCGAGGAAUAAGUGUUUGAAGUUUCUAAAGCUUCAGGCCGAUUAUUCUAAACCCGGCCUGAAUCUCGGGGAAUAAGUGUUUGAAAUUUCUAGAGCUUCAGGCCGACUAUUCUAAAUCCGGCUUGGAUCUCGGGGAAUAAAUGUUUGAAGUUUCUAAGUGUUGCACAGUGUUUGAAGUUUUUAGAGGAUAAGCUUCAGGCCAACUUAUGGAUACUAUACUGAAAUUAAAAGUAAAAUCUUUUAAAGAAUUCUUCGUACCUCUGCAGAUCGGCUGGCCUCAAACAAGGCCACCCUCACUUGGUACAUCCGAGCAGCCACUGAUUCUGGAGUCGCUGCAAGUGGAGGUCCCACCAGCGGGCUUUGCCGGGCCGACUGAAGGGUGCUGGAGGUCACCUCGUAAUUGUCGGCGUUGUUCCAGUCCGUUACGAACUGGCCCAGUGACCCCCAACUGUGCCCGCUGGUCGUCCGCAGGAGAACUCCCUAGUGCCUUCCGGAAGGCUGCGGGCCAGAGGAACCCGGAGCCGCCGAUCCUGCCGGGGUUGCAGAGCUCUUAGCCUUCUUGGCUUUUGCAGUAGCAAGAUGGGUGGCUUGCGGCUACGGUGGCGGCGAUGGAGCUGUUGGAGUGGAUUGCAGCCCUUGGGGUUCUUGGGGCCCCGUUGCCAGCUGUUGCGCGGUCUUCGUGGCCUGCGGCUCUGUCACCGUCUCGGUUGCCGCUAAAGAAGGUGCAGUCCUUGCAGCUGAGGUCCCGGCUGAGGCGACGUUCAGCGCAUUGACGCUCGGGCCGACAUCCUGGACAGAGGAUGUCGGAUCCACGACGGUCUCGGUCUCACCCGUGGCUUGGGUCGUAGCCUUGCCACGGGGAGAUGGGGCCGCCGGAAUCUCAGACGCGAUACAUGUCUGAGAUUGCGUGGCCGUCAGAGCCGCCCUGCAGAGAUAAAAGUUAGGCGUUGGCAUAACAAUAAAGAAGGAAACUGGCAUCGAUGGUUGAGGUAAUAUCGGCCUUACCCAGCGACCAGUGGCUUAGGCUUGGGUCCACGUACCGCAGUUUUCUUCCGCUUCAUGUUCUGCGGAAGAUCUUUUUCGGCAGGGCGCUUCACAACUGCGCGUUUCACUCGGACCGGCGCCGCAGCGACAGCCGGGUCCGAUGCCUCAACAGCAGGCUCGCCCGAGUCGGCUAUUUCCGGGAUAGAGCAGGAAUAAGUAUUUUGGUGACGAAUACUAUAAGGACUGCGAGAAAGUGUUGGAGAUCCUUACAUUCAACACGACGAGGGCCGGCAUGGGUGAUCGGCAUGAAAUCCUCGGAGUCCGAGUCCUCGGCAUCAAUGGACCUGCGCGGGGCCGCGAAGCAUUUGUCCGGGGAAUUCUCGUCCUCAUUGCGCUGAAGAGAGAACCUCUGCAUAAAAAGAUCAGAUUGAGCCGAGAUAAGCCUUCCUCAGGUAAAUGCCGGCAUAACCAUAUGUCGGAUGUGAACAGGAAUUAAAUGAGAACAAAACUUACCGGAGGAGCGCGGCGAUCCCGGCUAUAUGCCGGCAUGCCCCAUGUCCAUCGCUCCGACAUGCUCGUCUUGGCAAUCGCCUUGACCCGGCGACGGACUUCAGCAUGAGUGAGCUUGAAGGUUGACACUCUGUCCGGAUCAAACUGGCCGCCAUAGAAGCACAUCUUGUGUACUCGGCGCUGGAGCGGACAUAGACGCCGGUAUAUGAAGGUGGCCAACAAGUCGUCAGCCAUCAUCUUGUUGUCCUUAAGUUCGAGGAUGCCGGCGUGGAUCUCAUUGACCUCCGGGAGGGUUUCCUUCGGAUCAUACGUCCAGUUCCUCUUCUCCUCCGGGGGGGGCGACUUCGAAUCCCGGCGGGUUGAUUCUGUCGGUGUCGGAGGUGUUCUUGACGUAAAAGAAGGUCUUGAGCCACUUUUUACAGGACUCAAGCCCUGGAUCCUAGGGAAGGCCGAAUCUCGGCGAGGUAUAACGGUGGCGGCGCCGCAUUAGGUCAUCGGCUUAGUGGCGCCGGGAUUCUCCUUGUCAGGAAGAACAUGGGGCCGGAACAUAAAGUACCUGGCCCACAGGUCAAUAGAGGGCCAGAGGCUGAGAUAGACCUCGCAACAGGUGACGAAUGCCGAAAGAGUAAGGAUGGCAUUCGCCGGAAGGUGGUGCGACUGGAGGCCGAAAAAAUCUAGGAAAUUCCUAAGAAAAUCGGACCUUAUCCCCCCGUUAGUUUAGAGGAGUGCAGAGUUCAAGUCGUAGGUGGUGUCUAUAUCGGCAGAAGUAAGUUUUCAACGGUCGGCCAUGGAGAAGAAAAGAAUCUCGGCUAGGGGUUGGAUAAGCACGUCGACCCGGAAUGUCGGAAUGAGCUGAUCUCGGCUAGGAGAACUCGGGGCUGUCUCUGCAUCCUUCUCGGCUAAGCCCUAGCGGGCUUUGGUGGUUUGUCUAUGGGAAACUGUCGAGGCCCGACAUUCUUCCCUGCCGGACCGCAACUGCUUCGGGGACUAGUGUCGGAGGGAUGACCCCAGGUAGGGUCAUGACGACACAACUUUAGCCGAGAUAACGGAGGCAAAGCCGGCAUGGUUAUGUAUGCCGGCAUCGCAAAGUCAAACUAACACUAAGGCGGCAUCCUGGACGUAUGCCGGCAUGAUCAUAUUGUCUUAUGAGCUUGCAGGAUAAGGACGAGCACCUUAAUCUCAGUCCACGUCGAGAUCUCUCAACGGUCUUAUCCUGACCACGCGGCAGAGGAUAAAGCAGAGUCAUCAUUAUCGUGGAAAAGACAGUCACCGCUUACGUACCGGUGCCAGGCGACUGCACAAGAGAAGCACCGAAAGAGAAUCUCUGACGGAAGCCGGAAGAUGAUAGCGGUAUUUUCUGCAGGGUGCCAGGGAAAAGUAAAGUUGUCUUGUCCCCUAUGGUGCCACCGGGAGGGAACCAAGCCGCGUGCCCGGCGGGGCCCAAGGAAGGUGACGUUAGGACUCGGCCCACAUGUCAGUGUGACAUGGGCGGCCUAUAAAUAGAACCUCACCCCUCUGUAGAAAGGAACGGAGCACUUAGGCAUCUAGGGUUUCUCCUUCUUCCUUCUCAAGAAUACAGCUCAAGGAGCGCCAUUGUAGAACUUCUCUAUCUCGUCUAAUAUAACAAAACAGGAGUAGGAGUCUUACCUCGACAAGAGGGUUCCGAACCUGGGUAAAUCUGUGUGUGUUUGUGUAACUUGUGCGUGUUUUCCUUCACGUCCUCCCUCCUCUGGUUCCUCCAUCGUCCAUCGGCCCCAAGUUAAGCCAUCAUAUGGCAUCUGCCGUGACACCACCACGACAAACAGGGAUGCGCAUAUGUUGAUUUCUUAGGCGUAUCCAGUGAAAAUUAUCUUAAAAAAUUCAAAAUUUCUAUAGAAAAACUGCAUACGUUAUAGAACGAUGUCAUGUGUAAAGUCCUGUCUAAACUCAACUGUGAAAAAAAACAGCAUUAACAGUUUUCUACUAUUUGGUACACUGUUCAUUUACAUAUGUCUGUUUGUGUUUCUUCCAAAUGCAAUUGAUUUUCAGCUUGAAAUUUUGCAGGUUCGUAGAAUAGCACACCUCCAACAUAUUGUAUGUUAUUUAGACUUUUUUAAAUCUCCUAAACAUAGUUUCUAUGGAGUUGCACAGUUUGAUUUCUUAUGCUUCACAUGUGUUAAAGUAAAAGUAGUGCUUUCUUUAUUUGUUUGACUGAGCAUUCUAUAACAUGCAAUUCUAACCGGUAAAAUCAUUAUAGUAUGGAGUUGCACAGUUUGCCUUCUUAUGCUUCAUGUGUUUAAUUAAGAGUAGUGCUUUCUUUACUUGUCUGACUGAGCAUUCUUUAACAAGCAAUGUACAGUCUUCUUCGUUUUCCGUUUAUGAUCAAUGGUUUUGGGUUUUACGAAGAAAUAGCACCAAGUUUUUUUUUUCCACGAGGAACUUGAAAAGAGUAGGUUCUUCGAAAAAAAAAACUUGAGAAAAGAGGGUUGCGGAUGCAAGGAGGAGAGACACUCUAACCCAACCACAACUAAAAAACCAGAUAUUCAACUUUAAGAAAAACAGAGAUUAAUCAACUUUAAGUCUUCGAGACACAAACUGGAAAUUAACAGGCACAUUGAUAAAUCACAAGCCAAAAACAGCUCCACCAAACUUUAUUAUUACCACCCUUGAUAACUGGCAACUGCACGCAGGUCAUCAUCAAGGAACGAUCACUUCUUCUUGGCGAGGAAGACGUCGGAGAGCACGGUGUCGGAUCGCAGCGCCGCCCUGAGGAGCCCCAGCCCUUCGUCCAUGCCGAUGCUGACGAACUUCUCGGCGAGCUCCACGUCCUUGUUGACGCUGAACUUGUUGAUGAGCGUGAUGCUGGAGAUGGCCGACAUGGGGGUCACCUCCAGCCCGUCCGUCACCAUGUACGUCACGAGCCCCUUCACGAACCCGCCGCUGUCGUCCGACGAAGAAGACGACGCGGCCUUGGGCGCGGCGGACGGCAGCACGAAGGUAAUCUCGGACGCCAUGGCCUGCUUGCACUGCGGGCACGCGGUCUUGGGCUCCAUGGUGGCCGUAGCGCAGGACCCGGCGCAGGUGUACAUCUUGAACUUGCCCAGCGGCGACGGGUCCUCAGGCGAGCAGCUGCCGGCCCCGGCCUUGCCCUGCAGCAGCAGCAGCUCGCGGGUCUCCGGGUGCAGCACCUUGGGCUGCAUCAGGUCCGACUUGUCCUUGCCCGGGAGCAGGUAGCAGCCGCCGAUGUCGUCGACGCUCUGGUACAGCCUGCCGAUGCUCCCGUGCAUGGCACCGGCGGAGAUGAGCUUCGCCACGGCGCCGAUGGGGAGCGUCAGCAGGCUGAACACGAAGUCCACGAACUCCUUGCCGGCCUCCGCGAACAGCACCUUCUUCGACUUGGUGUCCACCAGCAGCUUCAGGGAGAUCUUGUUGGAAGAACCCAUGGUUUUGGUACGUCGUUUCUGGCUUGGGGAUGAUUGGAAUGGUUGGGCUCCUGCAGAUGUUGUGUGGUGUAUUUAUAGGAUAGAAGGGGGAGGGGAUCGAGGGAGACGAAGAGAUUUCGUUGCUGGGUCAUUGAAUCCGAUUGUUUUCUUGGCUUCUCGCAUUCUCGGGGAGUGAUGGAGUGAUUGGUUUUGGGAACCGUAACGGACACAUACAUACGAUUAUUAUCUUUUCAUAUUUCUCGACAGUCUGAAUGGGAGGGAAGAUAAAACGCGUGAUUAUUCUGCAACUAGCAAUCGCUAAUUGAAUGGAGAGUUGCUAUUCUGAUUCGGAAUUUCAGUUGUUGUUUUUUACCAUGAGUAGGAAUUUCAGUUGACAAAACUGGCUUGCCUGUGACAUGUACGUCGUCGUCCGGCUUUCCAUAUUUUAAAGAGCGUUGUAAGAUUAUUAUUUUUUAGCCCAAUUUCCUAUUACAUGUACAGUUUUCUUAUUUACCAUUAUUUACUUAUUUAUAUGGAACUUUAUGGAUGCCUAAUUUGGCCGGAAAUUGUUAUUUUGAAAUGAACCAACGUGCCAAAGCUUAAAGCGGUUUUUCAAAUUCGCGAGUUUAUGGAUGAAAAUGGACAUUGUUGCCAAGUUUAUGGACCCCAAAUCCAAUUUGCUCAUAUAUGAUUCCUAUUGUAGAAGCCCUUGUUGGGUUGGUUGGGGCGAUGACAUUGUUUGAUUUUCCAUGCUUGUUGUCUCCAUUUUUUAUCUUGUUUUUCAGACAAGUGUACGUGCAAGCUAGCCGGCGCGAUUUGUGGGGCGAAGCAGGCAAGAUGUGGGGUCCACAUGUGGGAUAUCGGAGCGGCAAUUAUUCACCAAGUCAAAGGGGUGUAAGCGGGCCACGUGUUUUCGUUUUAGAGCUGCGAGCUGCCAGGGUAAGGCACAUUUUUUGCCAUAUUAGGUCACUAGCCACAUCGUCUUUCGGUUUAGGUCAGGCUUCCCGCCAACCGCCUCUCACUAGCCACGUCCAUAUUUCGCUCUAGCUCAGGGUUCCGCCAACCGCCUCUCACUAGCCAUAUCCAUAUUUUGCUCUAGGUCAAGAUUCCCGCCGACCGCCUCUCACUAGCCACGUACAUAUUUCGCUCUAGGUCAGGCUUCCCACCAACUGCCUCUCACUAGCCACGUCCAUAUUUCGCUCUAGGUCAGGUUUCCCGCCAACAACCUCUCACUAGCCACGUCCAUAUUUCGCUCUAGGUCAGGUUUCCCGCCAACAACCUCUCACUAGCCACGUCCAUAUUUCUCUCUAGGUCAGCCUUCCCGCCAACAACCACUCACUAGUCACGUCCACAUUUGUCAGAUAGAUUGUCUAUGUAAACAAAACUGCAAGGAUACAAGGGCAGACUUUAUAACAAUCUUCACAUCAUGUAGCUUGGAAUAAAAUUUCAUGUAGCUAAAUAUUGUUUUUCUUUUCAAUUGAAUCUUUUUCCUGACCAACUUUCCUUUUUGGUUUUACUGGAGCAAACAUCUCCAUUGGGUGCACGGACAUUUUUCCUUCCUGAGUCCUACUUGGUCAGAACUACCUAGCUCGUUGUUUACAUAAAAAGACAAUCAAUUACCCAAAGCGCGAGCAAAACAUGAAGGAAUGAAACGUUCUUUUGAACUUGGCUAUAAACUCCUGAGUAUAUUGUGAAAUUAGUAAAUGAUGCAACAAUUAGAAGCCCGACAAGCAUGAGCAAUUAGGAACGUUUGAGAAUUGCAUUUCUUAUGACUGAUGACAAAUAGCGAUAAAAUAGGACAUACCAAGGCAGUCAACGGUUUCGUUCAUGAACAGAAAAACAACAAAGUUUAACUCUAUAAGCUCAAUACCAUCUUAAACAGUAAAGGGGAGAGCACCGGUAUCACUGUGUAUGAUUGAUGAAGUAAUGGCGCAGAGGAAUUAUGCUUUCAACAAACUUAUGCGUGCUGAAGGGAAAAUCUGACUCUGGACAGGCAGUCUCCAGUUCUUCAGAGGUUGAACUUGGAUCAUAACAAUAGAGGUUACGAGCCAACAGCUGUACCCAAAUUUUCCCAUCAUGGAAGAGUGUGUGCUUUGGAGUGAAGUAACAUGAACUCACCAACCAAGGCAAGGAUAUGUGGUACCUGUGAGUCCAGUUCUGCUUGUCAUCGUUAUCGAGCAUCAAUAUGUCCAUUGUACGAGGUAGAGCUUCAGGCACACCAUCCACAACCAACAAGCAUAGCCUUUCCUCCAGCUCAGCCAAAGAACAUUGCCCUCCAUAGGACUUGCGUGGAGGAAGCAUCAUGACAUUGAACUUUUCAGUCUCUAGGUUCAAACAAUUGAUGCGAGAUGAAUUAAUAUAGCGGAACCUUGUCAGAUAGUACACCACUCCAUUCACAUGAAUCCCUCUAUCUGUCGGUGCCCCAUGGAGACUCCCGAUCUGUCUCCACAAAUUACCUCCGAAUGUGUAUAUCUCGCAUCGCACCUUGAAAGAAUCAAUAUGAGGGCCUGGAUAGAAAUGUACAAUUUUGUGUUCCUUAGUUGAUUGGCAAAACCCCAAGCAGUGCCAAUUGCAGGAUGAGAACUGACUGCUUCCUGCAGUGCACAUUGGCGUUGGCAAGACAACAGAUUCACCAGUUGUUGGGUUGAGCAACUCCACUGCUCCUGUACUGUCACCUAGGCAGAGCAGGCCAUUGCAAGAGUUGUGCACGAAGAGGCUCCGAGAAGCCAAUAAUGGCCUAGACAGCUGAUACAUGGACCCUGAGGCGUCUGCGAGCACCAUGGCAAGAGACCUAUCAUUCGCUCUAUCAUUUGCAAAGAGCAGCAGCUUCUGCUGGCUCCGUCUCAGGUGCUCGUAAACAAAGUGCAUAUCGGACAACACGGACAUCCAGGACUUGCAAACCAUCCUGCAGGAAACAAGAGUGCGAGCAGGCAGCCUGUGGAAGACCUCCGUAAGCGCAUCAGUACAGAGCGGCCGAGCAUCCUCCUCCUCCACCCUUGCUUUCUUCGCCCCCAUCAAAACCCCGGUAGUUGAGGACAUGUUCACCGGAAAAAACAGCUGACCAGGCUAGAGCAACUGCGAAAUGGCCUGGUUCUGUCAUGCAUCAAACAAUCGCAACAUUUCAGCACGAGAAACGCAACAACUAAAAUCUGUGAAAGCCAAUUAGUUUCUCAGGUUCUCAUACCUCCAUUCCAUCCAUCGCGAAGGGUUCAACUUCAACUCACUCAGCCACGGACGCGCAGGUUCAAGUAACUUCAACUCAGCUCUUGAAUCCAAGAAGCAAGCGCACAACUUUAGUAGUACAACGGAACGAGAAUCGAACGAAUCAAACAAACUAGACUCACCACAAGAUGUAGAGCCCUGCAUUGCGGCUUCCAGGAACCCGUCUCCCGCACCACCCGCCGGAAGAACCUAACCAGACCAACCAAAGAUUUCAGCACGGACCGCAGGGAAAUCACAAGGUGGGUGGCGAGAUGUCGAGUUCUUGGAAGAAAAAAGAAGAAAAACUAACCCCCAACAAACCAAACCUACCGGCCAACCGACGAAAUCAAUCAAAUCAAGGAACCACCGCGCCGAAUCGAUGCCGGCUUAGGGAGACAGGAGGAGAUAGAUGGAGUACCUCAACGAGCGAACAGAAGAGCGCGUCCUCGCCCUGCUCUCCGAUCGGGCAAAAGGGGGGAGGAGAGGGCGGCCUCGGGGUCGACGACGACGACGGCUGCGGCGACUUUUCUUUCCUUUCCCCCUCUUCUCCUUUCUCUUCCUCGGUCGGUUUCGUUUGUCCUCCUUUAUCCUGGACGGAGAAGGGGCGGAUGGGUGGAUGUAUUCGAUGCUCGGCCGCCCUUCGUGUCGACUCGACGAGACGUGAGCGGCCCGAUCCGCUCGGUGGCGCGAAUCUCGAGGCGUAGGCGGCGUGACCGGUGGGCGAGACGCGGUGCGCGCGGGCGGCGGUGGGGCCGUCUUUGGUGGGCCGGAUGUUUCGGCCCGUCGCUUUCCCUGUUGCGAGUCGCAAUCAUGGGCGAUGGCGGCCCGAGCAUGGGACACUUUUUUUUUUGUUCUUUUUUUACCAAUGGACGCUUGAUCUCUUUUCUUUUUUCCACACAGUAACACUGUCAUUCCAAUAAUUUUGAACUCGAGAUUCUUCCGGAUUACUUUUGAUGAGAUUGACGUUUACACAUGACAGCGCCAAUAUUCUAUCGUGUUUCGUGUAUGUCCUCACGUACACGAAUUAUAUAAUACUGAUCUUAUACCAAAACAAAAGACAUAAAACAUGUAUUCGUUCUGGAUCAAACAUCAAAAGCCGCAACCUAAAUUAACGCUAAGAUACAAGCAGCAUGGAUUUGACAGGGACAGGACGCCCAAUUGAGAACUGCAGCCAGCAGCCUCGCGUACGUGAUAAAGUGAUAAAUCCAUGUCUAUCGGCCGCCUCGCUUCCGUUUCAUUUCCACCACCAAAAGUGAUAAAGGGAUACUCAAAAUGCACCUGUGGGCUGUGGGCUGUGGGCUGAGAGUUCAGAGGCAGGACGCCAAACUGGAAGAAUAAAGAUAUAAUUUCCGAAGAAUAAAACAGCUGGAUAAGAAAAGUCUGAGCCUAAGGCAAACUGGCUCGAUCAACUAAUUUCUUUAGAAACAUUUGGCUUUAUUGAUUCAAUAAACAAAGUACAAGCGAUCGAAAUUGAAACGAAAACCAACAACAAAAAACCCUAAUGAAACUAAAAGUUACAUCAAGAUUUUUUGAAGUAAACAACUCUUGAUUCGUCAUCCGUAUCUUGAAAACUUUCCAUGCCUCCGGUGAUAAAAUUGCAGAAGACCAAAGCUGCACAAGCUGGACUAACUUUAUAGGUUUUGAAUAGCCGCAUGAGUCGCUCACCGCAACCGAUGAGAACCUGAUAUCGUUAAACGCACUCUGACUGGGGACACACCCCUUGCAAGGUAGGUUGUCGCUCUGCUGAUUCGUCGUCGAGCCAACUAGAAAGAAGACCAAAAUAACGAAAAAAACAAACCGUGAGAUCCGCUAGCUCCAUGGAGUAGACCGUGUUGACUACACCAGAAAGAAGAUGAAGCCGGGAGACUAAUAAUCCAUGAGCUUUUUUACGGUACCCUGGUACUCCAAAAAAGGAAAAUGAGUACCUAUUAAAUCUGACCGUUGAUGUGCUAGGGAUAGUAUGGACCUUUUCCGAUUUCCCCUUAUAGUUAGGUGUUUAAGGCCUUAAUCUACGGGGUUCCUUAAUUUAGAUCCCACCGUUAUACGCUCGUCGCCUCAUCGCUUUCAUCACGUGCCAUCUUGUCCGUUAUCACCGAUCUUUGUUCGGCGCAUCCAUUGUCUUGACCGUGAUGCCGGCGGAGCUGUUGUUGGGGCACUCGUCGCUGCGGCUAGAGGUCAUCUUCUCAGGCGGGUGCACGUGGCUAGUGCGGCUUAUAGGCAAUAGCACAGUCCAAACAAAUCUAGGCUAGGGCUGCUGCGGGCGCACACUAUGCAAUAAGAUGUGGUGCUGCACUGUCAUGGCAUGCCAACGAAGUGUAUCAUGCACUACUUGGUGCUUAAUUACCGACAUAUAUAUGCUUAAUUGGUGUAGAAGGCCAACCAUAGAUGCUACAGUUUGUGAAGAAAUAUAUGCCAACGGAGUACUUUUCUGGUUGGGUCUGACUUAAGGAGUUACAAGUUUUGUUUAGAUUGAGAGGUCUCUCUCUCCACAACGCAAGUGUUUGUUUGAUCCAAAUUUGUCCGCGGAUCAAGACGCUGGUCAGGUGUUUGGCGCAGACUUCUACUGUGUGUCUGCCUCGGCUUCGGCUUCAUGCACGAAUACGCCGGCGGCAGCGGUGCGCGUUGCAAACGCUAUGCAAGUAGUGGCCCGUCGCAAUAUCAUCGCCUGGCUCAGUUAGCUGUCCAGCCAGCGUCCAUGGCGCACCAUCCUCCAAAGUACGAUUAUGUCGAGAUGCAGCCAGCAGCAAACGGCCGGCGCGUUGAUUAAGCUAAAUCUAUCCAUCCGGUACUUACCCCUUGUUAAGUAACUUUGUAAUUCCAAAAUUACCCCUGGGCAAUGGUACUCCCUACUAUUAGUGGGUGGUACUCCGUAUAUGGUUGCUUGGAGUACAGGUGAAAUCUGACCAUUGGAUUAGCAGUAAUAAACGGUCCAAAUUAAUUUGUGUACAGUAAAAGAGCUCUAAUCCAUACGUUGUCGUCUCCUCCACCAAGGCGCCAUCGCGAGGACACAAAACCUCACAAAGAAAGUAGACAAACUGCAGCCAGACGUUGAUCUAUGAUUCCUCUCGUCUCCGACCGCCGAUUAGACAUCAGGUGACGAGUGGAACCGGAAGAGAAAUGCUGAUGCGAAACUCCCGGCGGAUAGGUUCCGCCUAGCUCCUGGUCCUGGCGGCCAGGGAUUGCGUACGUUAGCUCCUUGGUCGAGCUCGAUCAACUAAUUAAGCAGGACAGAAUUAUCCGGCUAGUUAGAGAUAAACUGACAAAUACCAACAUAUACGGAAUGCGAUGCGAAGCCCCCAACAUUUGACAGCAAGAUGAUGGAUCAUGGGUUCCUAGACAAACGCACCAACGAAUGUCGUCCCUCGAAAAAUAUCCCUACCGCAUCGAGUCCUCCUACACAUUUAACCAAUCAAGCCACAUAAUGCAUGACUCGCAUGGAUCAAGCCAAAUGUUGCAUGACCUGCAUGGAGAGAGGCAAGAAAGACCUCAACUGGCUCACAAAUGAGCAUGAACAUGUCCGUGUGACAAAAUUGCCCCCAGCAGAUCAUUAAAAAUGUCCCAGGCUCUAGUUAUUUGAGUGGAGGAGAAGCAAUGAAAGAGUAGGGGAGCUUGUGGGCUAGCCAUGGAGAGCGGGCUCCGGUGUGGCGCAUGAGUAUAUCUUCAGGGGCACGACGAUGGUGGCCUUUAGAUACAACAACCCAUUAAUUUGGACAAGGAUGAUGGACUUGUCAUGUAGAGGUUGUGCAAGUGAGGUGUGCGCAAGUGAGGUGUGCGUACCGGUUUCCUUGCUGGUGCUAGUGGGGCGAAGUAGUGGAACAACAAGCAUAACCAUAACCGUUCAUAUUAUUUGAAUUUGGUUGCCUUCCCGUUCUUUCUAGCAGUAAGAGCAUGUACAAUGCAAGGUGCUAAGACAGGUACUUACAAAAAUAAACCAAGCACUUUUUUAAGCACCGGUGCUUAUUUGUAUAGAGAAGGUGUCAAGUUAGGCAUCUGCUUAGUCUAAAUAAACAUCAGUGCUUAACAAAAACCGGUUAAUUUUUCUAAGCACCCAUCUAGGCAGCUUGCAUUGUACAUGCUCUAAUGCUGAUCUGAUUGUCAUUAAUCUGGUGCAAGUUUGUGUAGGUGCCACUAAGAUGCAUUUACGAUAUUAGGUUAACCAGAAAUGUGAUAAUUAACAUAGUAUUGACACGACAUGAAGUGGAGACAGUGUAAAUUGGAUAAAUUUGACUGCGUUUCUACCGUACUGAGUAGCUAGUACUAUUAAAAAGUACGUACAACACUAUUCUCUUUUUUAGGACGUGAAAAGUACAGAACGAGUAAGCAAAAGUAUUGAUUUGACAUGCAUUGAGAGCAAUCAAUGACCAUAGCUGCUCAAGGACGACGAGUCAAAGCGAGCGGAUUCAUCAAAGAAGCAAGUUGCCGCUAGCCAUUUCAGUCACACAUCAGUUCUGCACAAAUUGCAGGUAACAGUUAGGAUGGAAUAAAUGUAUACAACGCCAGUUGAUCAAUCGGUCUAUAUCAAUCUCAGCCUCUCAGAUCAGAUUAACCCGGCAUGAACAGUUGAGGGAUAACGUUUGCAAAAAUGUAAAUUGGGAGAUGAAACCAACGUUCUGAAAAUAGUCGCGAGACCAAAAAAACACUUAUCUCUCUUUUUUGAAACCUCUUAUCUCAAAGACUCGAACAGGAGUAGUAGUAUUUCGUAUCAUGUCAAUAAGCGAGUAUACAAGAGCUUGAAACAUGAAGCCGAAAACUGAAAAAUCAAAAUGUUAUUAAUUUUAAAUUGUUGUCGAAAAUAUUACAUGUAUCUACACACCUUUUUAAAAUAGAUACAUUCAUAUUUGGUACGUACAACCAGCCUUCAAUUCGUCUGGGUGUGGGAAAAACAAGUACCACCAUGCAUUUCAAAAUCUAUAAAAAUGCACCUAUGUAACCAUGCCCCGCUGUGUUCAAGCAGCCACUAACGCGCUAGCUGCGCAGGCCGGGGACGUGAGCUAGACACGUUGCUGCUGCCUCCUGCCACGAGCCAUGGCGUACUCGUUUCGACCAGCCUCGUCUACCGCGUCUUCCUUUCUUGCACUGCUUCUCGCUCUGCCUCUCGUAGCAUCACUGGCAUCCGCCGCUGGCGCUGCCGCGGUGGCGCCCGCGGCUGUGUACGGGACCAAGUCCAUGGACCCCGGCCUCGCCGUCAUGCCGCUGCCGAGCCCGGUGUCCGGUCCGGAGAGCCUCGCCUUCGACCGCCGCGGCGGCGGGCCCUACGCCGGCGUCUCCGACGGCCGCGUCCUCAGGUGGCGCGGCCGCCGCCUCGGCUGGACCGUCUUCGCCUACAACUCCAAACACAAGUAAGCAUUAAGCAGAGCCGUGUUCACUUCACCCGUGCAUGGAGUGCACGUUAGUUUGGAUGGAGCUGGACUUACUCACCCUUUGUAUUUGUGAUCGCAGGAGCGUGGGGAUAUGCGCGGCGAAGAAGCUGAUGGUGCCGGAGAGCGUGUGCGGGAGGCCGCUGGGGCUGCAGUUCUACCACAAGACCGGCGAGCUGUACGUGGCCGACGCUUACCUGGGGCUGAUGAGGGUGCCGGCGCGCGGCGGGAUGGCGGAGGUGGUGGCCACGGAGGCCGGCGGCGUGCCCUUCAACUUCCUCAACGGGCUGGACGUCGACCAGAACACCGGUGACGUCUACUUCACGGACAGCAGCGCCACGUACCGAAGGAGGUACACACAUAUUGGCUCAUAUUUUGCUCGCUGUUGGAUGCAUUUAAUUAGAGUAAAAUUUCUUCCUCGGUGAGUUUCCCGUUUCAUUUUUUUUCCAGUUCAAGUCCAGUCCUCUUCGCCAAGCAAUAAUAAUAUCUUUCCCUUCAAAAUAAAUAAAUAAUAACAUCUCAAAAGAGAGACGAUCUGUGCCAAGCAAUUACUAGUAGUACGACGAGAAGGCGUUACAGUAGUUCAUGUAGGACUUAUUGAUUACGUACUUUUUUCUAGUUACAAGUUUGUAACUACGUGUAGGCCGGCACACGAUAGCUUUAGAGUGAAGUUUGUUGAUAUAAAUUCACGCUUUAUUAUAAGAACCUCACGAAGUGUGGGUCACGUACGUAAUUUAGCACCGAAUGUGCACAUAUGUAAAAGUGCGACACAACGUUGAGGACGUUCAAUACAAAGGUUGAACCUGGACAGGCACUCUGGCAGGUUGCACCAUUCGAAGGAUUACCAAUGAGACAUGGGUCAAUUUGCUUAGUGACAUAACACUAAAGUACAAUAAAAAUAAUGAAAUUAGAUAUCAUGAUAUAUCGUUUUCUAGGAACUGAAGAACAAAAAGAAACUAAGCAUGACAGGUUACAGUAAAAAACUAAGCAUGACAGGUUGUUAGUUAGUUGUUAGUUAUUUUGACAGGGCGACAUGUUGUUAGAUUGCAGCACACAAAGAUCACAGAGAUUUUUAAUGGGCCGGGAUUAAAAAAAGCGCCUGGUUGUCGUCACUGAAAUUAAGAAAAACUGAACAGUAGAUUUUCUUUUUAAAUUGAGCGUAAGGUAAACCAUAGAAAAAGGAUUCUCAAGGAUAUACUAGUUCUACAUCUAUAAAAUGAGGACAGACAGACAAAAAAAAAUGAGGCCAUAGACAGUGGCGUACCCAGCUUUUCAUUAUUGAAUAGAGGAAAACACUAUUUAUUUUAAUAAUUGGGCGUGACAAAUACAUUGUGAUUUUAUUUUUCUCUAAAAAUACUAUAAUUUCUACUAAUAGAAGAAGAUUUUAAAAAUUAUCCCCACCCAAUUGAUCACACUGCAGCUGCUGGAUCCGCCCCUUGCCAGACACAAUAGUUUGUCUUUUAAAAGUUCUAGUUAAGAACUCUAAUUUUGUAAACUCGUCUCGAAAUUGGUUUCAAUGAAAGUAGGUCAUGUUUUCCAAUCUUCUUAUCAGCGUGAUAAGAAGAUUUCGAGAUGAGUUUACAAAAUGUGGCUCUUGAUAGUUAAGCGUCUUUAGUCUCUUACAUUUCUCAUCGGCGUGAGACCUUCCAGCGUUUUGUGAAAAGUAGAGAUGUUCUGACCUUUUUUAGGCCUUGUUUGGACGUUAUGCUUAAAUGUGGCUUUUGAUUUUUGGCUUAUAAGUCACAAAAGCACCAAUUUAUGUGAUUUUGAGUUUGACUUUUUGCUUGUACCAAAAUAGUGAGGUUGGCGUCAUUAUUAUCUUUAUCCUACUAUAAAAAAAUGACUAAAGCUUCACACCAUUGAACAAAAGUGAGUUAAACUUCAAUUUAGACGCCUACUCCCUCCAAUUUAAAAUACAUCUCAUGUAAAUUUGUACACUUAGACUAUGUCAGCUCUCGUUUUUAGUGCCUAACCAUUGAUGUUGGGUUAAUAAUAAAUGGAUGUGAGUAGUUAUUGGCCAGGUGCGGGUACCAAAAGAAAAAUGAGGUGUAUUGUGAAAAAAUUGGAAAAAUCUAUACACGGAAUGGAGUGAGUAUAUUUUAGCAAUUCCAGACUUUUAAAGCACGGAGACAGUAGUAACCAAGUUAUAAUAGGUCAACUGCAUGAGUUUGAAUGUGACGACUGACGACCCUCGUACUGGCACUAAUAAAAUCCCUUUGGACCCAUGUGUGGCACCACACCACACUCGUGACGCAAAUUGACACGCAUAAACCGGCACCUAUAUCGUCCAUCUUAAUUUGCACAGCUCAAUUAUCCGACCGGCAGACAACUACAGCCGAGCUGACAUCAAUUACUGCAAAAAAACUGAAAAAAAAUAUAUACAAAGAGCAUAUAUAGCACGUACGAUAUGUCAUUGUCAGAUGAUAUUAAUUUUCCUGUGUCAGUUGAUUACUCGAUUCGUGUUGGUUUUGCAAACUAACCAUGAUAUAUACACAACUUCUGCAGCGAGUAUCUGCUGGUGGUGGCGCUGGGCGACGAGACGGGGCGGCUGCUGCGGUACGACCCGCGGGCGCGGCGGGUCAGCGUGCUCCACUCGGACCUGUCGUACCCGAACGGCGUGGCCGUGAGCCCCGACGGGACGCACGUGGUGGUGGCGCACACGGCCAUGUCUGAGCUGCGCCGGUACUGGGUGCGCGGGCCCAGGGCCGGCAAGUCGGAGACGUUUGCCGAGCUGCCGGGCUACCCGGACAACCUGCGGGCCGUUGACGGGCCGCGGGGCGGGUACUGGGUGGCGUUGAGCCGCGAGGCCGACGGCGGCGGCCCGGCCCCCACUGUGGCCGUGCGGGUGGGCCGCGACGGGGCCGUGGAGGAGGCCCUGGACGGGUUCAGCUUCGUGACCGUCAGCGAGGUCAGCCACCGGAACGGCACGCUCUGGGUCGGCUCCGUCGACACGCCCUACGCCGGCGCGCUCCGUCUCGGUCGCCGUUGACCGAUCGGGUUGUUGCGUGGAUAGAAUUGAACGUGCACCGGUGCAGUGUGAGUUGGUGCAGACUGAGUCUCUGUCUGCAUUAGCUGUAUACAGUACGUUUAUACCGGUAUUUGUUCUUGCAUGCAGUCAUGCAGAUGGAUGUUGUGAAAUGCGUGGCCCACAUGUAGGUGCCUCUCUCUGUGUCUGUGGUUGGAGGUGGGUGAGUAGCAUGUGCAUUGUUUGAGUGCGCCUUGGUGGGUGUGCAAGCAGAUGUGAAUCAAUUUCAUUUGCCUCGUUCUCUGUUUGUCCAAGACAGCGUCUACCUGCAGAGUGUCAAGCAGGGAGACGUGAGGCGUAGCAGAGGUCCAAGGAAACGCCUUGAUCAAGCCGUUGGCCGUUGGCUGCUGGCCUGCUGCAGACGCGAUCUUAAGUGACUCAAAUUUGCCUAAAUACUGAUAUAUUUAUGUGUAAAAAGCGUUUAGAUACAUAUAAUAGAAAGUCACGGAGGAAGUAAUUAUUUUCCAGGCAAGAGGCCCGCAUCCAUGGGGCCCAUACACCAUGGUCUACCGGCCGGAAGUGCAACUGUUUGGUCCCAUUUAUAUUCGCUAUGUUCUCGUCGUAGAUACACUAGUUUAUACCAGUACCGCCUCAGUGCAUAUGUUGUUCGUAUAUUGUAUUUUCUCUCGUUCAAAAAUAAAUGACUUUGAUUUGUCUAGAUACGUAUGCAUCUAAAUGUGUUUUAGUGCACAUGAUACAUGCAAAGUUAAACAAAAUCCGAGUCACUUGUUUCUGGAAUGAUGAAUACGAUUUUAAAUCGUUAUUGUAUUAUGUGUAGGUAUCCACUGAAUAAUUAAACUUGGCACGGCUUUUUUUUUUGUGCAAAAUGUGCACCUUAAUUUUUGUCGUGUUUAUUGUUGACAGUACCAUAGGCAUAUGCAACGUAAUUCUUGUGUAUUAAAAAAAUGUCACUGCAAAUUUUUAAUUUUCGGAAAUCAUCAUUGCUAAUUUAUAGAUUUUUUUUAAAAAAAUUUGUCAUCACUAAUCUGUAGAUUUUUCAAAAUUACCAAGGGUUGAAAGACGUUACUACUGCAGUGGUAUUUUCGAAACAUCAAAAUUGCAGCGGCACUUUUUAGAUAUGCAAGAGUUGCAAACUGUUUGUCGCCUUAUUUCUACCUUCCAGACUUUGAGAACCUUCAGUUUUGUAGUUUUGACUUCACUAAUAAAAUUGGUGGCAUGUACUUUGGAAAAUCUAUUAAUAUUAGUACAACAAAAGAAAGUUAAUUCACCGCACAAUGUUUCUUCAUGAGAAAAAAAGUGCAAUAUAAAUAAAAAACCGACGAUUUUAUCAACAAAGCACAAAAUAAAUAAAAAUCGUUUAAGUUAGAAAAUUAAAAUGAUUACAUCUUUUCAGUGCAGUGCUAAGGAAAUCGGAGGCGUGUACUUUGGAAAAUCUAUUAAUAUUAGUACAACAAAACAAAUCUAAUUCACCACACAAUGUUUUUUCAUGAGAAAAAGUGCAAUAUAAAUAAAAAAUUCCUGAUGAUAUUUUUUAACAAAGCACAAAGUAAGAAAGAAGCUCUUCGGGCGUGCAUAAUGAUGAGAAAAUGCGGGGGUAUUGAGACUCAAACUCAAGACCUUUUGCUCUCAUACCAUAAAGAGCUUCAUGCGCUAACCAGCGCAACCAAAAGACUGAUCUCAUGGAAAAAACUAGGCAAUCCAAUUAUACUUCAACAUGCAGGCUUCUAUUUUUGCAACUGAAAACAUGGCACCAGCUGUAAACCAGAGGCUUUUAAUUCUGUAUCGUUUAGUAAAUCCUAAAGGUCCUGAUCCAAGAGCAUUUUUAUUGAAUUAUCAGGCUGAGAUGCUAGAAUAAUCAAUUCUAUAAUAGAGACAAAAUUAUUUCAGUUGUUCUUGCCUGAGGACAUGCAGUCUAAGUUAAUACUGUUUACUAGUUUUACCAUGAUCCUAUAAUUAACUAAAAGGAUAGGUAGUUAGGUGAUCAAUUGCUUCUAACGUAUAAUCCAAAGGUUUCCAGGAUGCUACUGGGGCCUUACUAUUUUUGACCGAAGGGGGCCUUGCUGUUUAUUUGACAAAUCGUCAGGUGAGUGCAUAUCGCUGACCUGAAAUAAAGGUUGCCAGAAUUUAUGGAACAGAGAGAUAAUGGUCGACUGGAACCUUAUUGCUGAUCUUGAAAAGACAAUAAUUUUUAGUUUCUCCCAGAAAUCCGUAUACUUCAGGUCAUCUGUAUUGUCCACAUUAUUUAGACAAACAUGACAGUAAGAUUCCAUAUGCAGAGACGAUACACACAACAACUUUAAGAUCCCAGUCAGACACUUUGUUUUAGAUAUACGCUACAACAGAAUAGCUACUACUCUGAAUACUGUUGAUCGUAAAAUGAAUGUGAUCCAGUUUAUCUGAUAUCUGUACACUUUAUUAUGUAUGUGUGCAAGCAAGCAAAUUAUUGAGCAACCAUAGGAGCAGAAAACAGGUACUCAAUUGUAGUUUCUCAGCUCAAAGAUGUGCAUAUGCAUCAGUCCAAACCUCAGGGACACAUCUAUCAACUAGCUGGAGGUGCUCUUAAAGUGAAUUUAUUCCUUACAAAGAUGUAGUUGUGGAAUUAACAAUGUAUCUCGACACUCUUUACUGAAUAUAUGUGACAGAUUUCGUAUUUGCUAUACCUGACAUGGUCAGAUGCCAAAGGCGGAGCUGCUAUAUACUCAUUGGUGUCAAAUGAUAUCAAUGAUUUUUUAUCAUUCUCCUUAAAAGUAGAAAACCGCUCUUGACAAUAUGAGUGACAUCAGUAAUUCUGAAUAGCGACACCAACGGUGUAUUUUCUUGGCUUCGCCUUUGCCUCAAUCAGUCAAUCUAAAUUCUCUAAUAAACACAGCUUUCAUUAGUAGGAUCUGUAAUUUCAUGCUACAGAUAAAUUUAUCCAACCAUUAUCUAUUUCUUCUGACCAUAACUACCUGUUUUUACUAAGGUCCUCGCCUUUCUCUCAUUCUGACCUGAAAAUUACACUACCCUGAGCUACUCUCUGUUUAUGCUGACACUACAAAUCUAAAGAGUGUGUGGAGAUAUACAUGUAUACUCCUGUACACAAUCUGAGUUCCGACAAGUAUAAAACCUGCUCCGAAGAGAGAUGCAAAGGAUGACCAAGAAGAUCUAUGAUUAAUUCAAACUGAAGUUCCCUAUUCCCCCCUUGUAAAAAAAUAAUCCUUCUUAAGAAAGCAUCCAAUACACAAUAAAACUCAGGUUGAAUGGUUGUUUAACCUUUUUGUCUGAGGACGGUAUGUGGCAGGACUUGAUACGCGGGUCUGUUUGGAUGGUGGCCAAACAUGGCCCUACUAAUUUUUUGGUCAUUGACCAAAAUUUGGUUCUUGUUUGGAUGACGGCCAACUAUUUGGCAAGCCAACACUCCAUUGCCAACUCUAGUUCAUUUUUUUAGCCAAUGUUGGCCAAUCCAUGGGCAAGGGCUCAAACCAAACAGCCCCAUAAUAAGUACAUUGGUUCACAGGCUUUGUCUCAGGUUGAAUGGAAACCAGGUGAUUCCCAUUUUUUGGGAGGUCUGAUGAAAGCCAAACGAAUUUUUUUUCCGUUUUGGCUCGUUCACUAUUAAAGACGACUCUCAAGUGAGAUUUUGGGAGGAUUCUUGGCUUGGGGGUUGUCCCCUCCGAGAGCAAUAUCCGGCCCUAUUUCUCAUUGUGCGCAAUAAGAGUGACACCUUGGUUCAGGUUCUCACUUCCUUUCCUCCAAAUGUGUUUUUCAGGCAUACCCUUGUUGGACCCAAAUUGGUUGCCUGGACUGAGCUCCUUAAUCGCGUUAUUUAUGUGAACCUAUCCCCUGGACGAGACGAGUUCCGAUGGAAUCUGCAUCUCAAUGGCGUGUUUUCGGUCAAAUCGAUGUACCAGACUUUGGUUCAUUUUGAUGUCCUGAUUGCCAAUGACGGGUUAUGGAAACUAAAGGUUCCUUUAAAAAUUAAAAUUUUCCUUUGGUUCUUGCGGCGGGGGGUCACGUUAACUAAAGACAACCUAUUAAAGCGGAAUUGAAAGGGAAGUCGAAAAUGUAUUUUCUGUCAUGAAGAUGAGACUAUUACGCACCUUUUUUCGGUGUCGUGUCUCUCGCUUUGUGUGGUCAAUGGUCCAAAUAACUUCUAAUCUUCCCCUCCCCCCUCGUGAUUUUACUCAUAUGUUUGGGUCCUGGUUACGGGGGGUUAAUCUAAGAUUGAUUUGGCUCUGCAGAAAUGAUAUUGUUUUUAAUAGAAAGAACUUAACUUCUCCAAUGUAGGUCUUCUAUUCGUCCACUCAUUGGCUCCGUACUUGGUCUACUCUCCUCAAACCAGUGGAUCACCAACUGGCUUUGAUGAUGUGCAACACUUUGGAGCAAUUGGUCAGGAACUUUUUCACCCACAAUGGGUGGCGGUCUAGUCUGCGAAUUGAGCAUACAUAGAGAUGUUAUUUUUCUAUCGUUGUAAUUUUUGAGUUUUGUUUCGUACUUGUGUGGCUGUGUGCGUUUCGGCGCAGAGGCCGGGGGGUAUAAUACUCUUUCUUGUAUCGCGUGAUAUAGCUUUGAGAUCAAUAAAAAGCUUCCAUUUUCAAAAUAAAACACAAUAAAACUCAAACAUAAUUUAUUUCACUCAGAAAUCUGUUCAUGGUACCCUCAAGCAAAAGGGUUUACCUUGAUUAUUUGGGGAAGAUUGAAUGAGGUUGCUGAUGGAUUUGGUCACCUAAGUGGACAUUGGACAAGUGGCUAAGUCCCCUGGCUACUUCUCCUUCUUGAACACUGACGGUCUCCUAAUCCAGUUUGCUCUUUGUCUUUGCUGGUGCUAGGGCAGUAGGGCCUCUAUAUCACCGCCAUGAUGCCAAGCCUUUUUUAAAGAUGGAAAAUUGGAUGUUGUGUACCUAUUACUCUCUACAAAAUCCACAAUAACAGUAGAACACAACCUUUUGUAGUACUACAUAGUUUUGGUCAACAUAUAACAAAUAAUUUUAUUGAAUGUGUGAACCAAAUCUAUAAACUAAUUUGUCACAGAAAUACUUUCUUAAUGUAAUAAUUUGUUAGACUUUAAAUUAUAUUAUUUAGCAAUUAAUAGUUAGAGUAACAUUUUUUAAAGACCGCAUGGGGCACAACCCAACCAAAAUUCUUAGUUACUUUCAUUUGUUAAUCAUGGCGUGUUUAUUUUGCGGUUGAUAGAUGAUGGCUUUAAUUUUCUACCUUAUCGGUUAAUAUGAUUUCUUUUUAAUUGCUAUCCUUACUAUAAGGAGUUGUGGUUUUCGCAUACUUAAUAUAAUAAAUUAAGGGAAUGGUUCGAAGUGAUUUUUUUUUAUGCAAGCUUUAAAUCGACUGCCCUUCUUGUUGUGAUGUAGUAAUACAACAGCCGGAAAGACAUCUACAACACACUAAGGGGAUAGAACUAUGGAGAAGCCAGAGCAGGUGCUUCCGAGUAAAAAAAUAUUUAUCAUGUGUCAAUUGAUUCUUUUGAGAAAAAUUAUAUUUUCUCCGUUCCGAAAUAAGUGACGCAAAUCCACGUCACUUAUUUCGGGACGGAAGAAGUAUAUGUAAUGUUCGAGUUGCACCAUGUGUAGAUAAACAAAAUUAGCUCUGACAUAUUUCCUCCGUUCCAUAUUAAAUGCCGAAAUAUUACAUGAAUCUAGACGCCUUUUGGCCAUAUAUACAUUCAUAUUUAGACAUAUUUGAGUCACUUAAUAUGGGACGGAGGGAGUAUGUCUUUUAGUCACAAAAUAUUGUUUUCUUUAUGAAAAGUUAUUCGCUCCGAUCCAUAAUAAGUGAAUCAGAGGGAAUACAACUUACAAGCAGACAGAAAGAUAGAAGAUGCGCGCAGAAUCCAUUUUUAGUUUAUUGCAGUUCGUUCUGAGUAUGACCCGAGGGCCUCCUCCAAACCGACGGGAUCGACUCGAUACAUUGUGCAUGUGCCAGGUUUACAAAGCAUUGCAUGAUUGUACGAUGCAUGCAUGUACCACAUGCAUAUAUGUUACGGCAUGGAUGAGCAAAUGGGCAAAAUGAUAUCUCCGUACUAUUGGAUCCGCAAGAUGAGGAUGAAUUAGGUUUGGAGCUGGCAUGGUCCAUGGAUGGGCGUGAGAUGUGGUUGUGACCGGUGACAGGCUGACGGCCAGUCUUAGGCUCUUAGCAUGAUCAUGAAAUGCGUUUCCAAUUGCAUUCCCAUUUCAACAAAUAAUUAGACUCAGCAUUUUUUGCUAUGCAAGUUUUGCAUAGCCUAGCGCUGAUCCGAUCCCAUUUCUAUGUGGCUACGAAUAUCUAGACCGAUCUGAUCGAAUUGUAUAUUCACGAUUGGUACCCAAAACAGUGGAAAAUGGACCAGAGACAUAAAUAACUUUCAUUUACAUGCGGCAGCGAAACAUAAAUAUUCAUUGGAAUAAAAUUUGAAUGAAUAGAGUCCAAUUUUUGGGAGCUAAACGACGUGAGGAUUCAUCCACGACUUGAAUUCGAGACUCGCUUAAUUAAACUCGACACGCCAAACUAGUAUACGGAGUAUGAUCGAAUAACUUAAAAUCCUGGGCCAGGGGACAUGACGAACCAAGGCAUGGUCCGCGCGCCCGCCCGCCCGGUCGGCCGCCGGGCGCACGUCUCAUAGUACAAGAACCCUUCACGUACGACUUUUUUUUUUGCGGGUACGUACGACUUUAUUUAUGACGGGCCUAUCACACAAGCAUGGCACAUGCAGAUUCAUGGUCGCCGGACGCCACAACGUCGGUCCUGUAUGUGUGCUCAGGCGCGUGCAGCUCAGUUGGUUUACUCGAUCGAUCGGUUGUUUGUUCCAACGUAGCAGGAGCAUUUACCAUUCAUGGCCUGCGGACCCGACACGUGUGUGCGGUGUCCACAUGAUCCCUGCUGCUCCAUCGAUCGGACAUCGAAGAUUUACGACGCGGGCAGAGAGCGAGGCCCCGCCUCAGUAAGUGCAGCUAGCGGUGUGACAGUGAUUUUAAUUGUUUUUCGCCGUGACGUGCUAGUCAUUCGAGGUUCAAAUUUACCCUUUCCAGAAAAAAUAUAUUCAAAUUUAAACUAUAAAUUGUUCCAGAUUUUUUAAAUAAUAUAAAUCAUAAAACUUCGCCCAAGGCUAUUGUUAAAAUUUAAGCAUAUUUAGACUUACUAUUGAAAAGGGAAAUGAGUUGUGAGUAAAUGCCUGUUAAACACAUGUUAGCUGACGUGGCAUUAAAAAAUGAUCAAACAGUGGCGAAGCAAUGUGUGACUACACAGAUAUAUUUGACAAAUUUGAAACUCCCAACUACGCAUAUCCUAGUGCUGAACAUAUUAGCUAUGAAAAUUGACCACACAACCAUUAGCUUGACAUCACAUAUAUCAAAAGUAAUUAAUAGUGUAAUUUAAACACUAUUAACUACCGGAAAACCUUGCCGGAGUUAAUUAGUUCACACUCAACACUACGGUCAGAGUGAGCAGCUACAGAUACACUUGGCGGGAUGUCAAACCCCAUAGCUGGAGAUGAACUGCGUCGCGCGUCUCUCUCACAUGCCAUGUCGGCCUCGAACUCUUUCUAGAAAGCUUAACCCUAUGCUGCAAACAGUACUGCGCCGUCUAUCUCCACCGUGCCCGCGCCGCGCGCUCGCUACGUACGCAGCUCUGCCUGGUCCUGUACUGAAAAUUUACCACGGACUUUUCGAUCGCGAAACUUCGGCGGAGUUAUGACUUACGGCCAGCUCGCUGCGCCUACUUACCAGCUAAUUACCAUGCCUACCGUACCUGGAGCGAUAACCCUGGCAGCUUCUAUAAAAGGGCCACAUGCCUCCACUCCACAGCAGCUUCUCAUAUAACAGUGGCCGGACAUGGCGGAGGCCAAGUGUUGUCCUUCUUCAGCCACCUUGCAGCUGGCGUCCUUCUUCAUCUCCUUUGCGCUCCUCGUCCUGAUCAUCCCGUGUCCUCCUCCCAUGGCGUCCGCCACCCAGGAGAUGAAGUCCAUCUACGCCGGGCGGAGGGUCCUGCCGGUGCGUCUGGGCCGUCCGGCGUUCGGCCCGGAGAGCCUCGCCUUCGACCACCGGGGCCGCGGCCCAUACACCGGCGUCUCCAACGGCCGCGUCCUCCGCUGGAGGGGCCGGCCCAGCGGCUGGACCGAGUUCGCCCACAACCACAAGCACGCGUGAGUGGCCCGGCCGAUGACGCACCAAUGCACACAAAUUUGGCGUUAAGCCAUUAAACCAAUUAAGACGUAUAUAUAUACACGGGCAUGAAUGAAUGCAGGACGGUGGAGGAGUGCGCGGCGAAGAAGAAGGCGGUGGAGCCGGAGAGCGCGUGCGGGAGGCCGCUGGGCCUGCAGUUCCACCGGAAGACGGGCGACAUGUACAUCGCCGACGCGUACCUGGGCCUGAUGAGGGUGGGCCGGCGCGGCGGGCUGGCGGAGGUGGUGGCUACGGAGGCCGCCGGCGGGCCCUUCAACUUCCUCAACGGGGUCGACGUCGACCAGGACACCGGCCACGUCUACUUCACGGACAGCAGCACCGUCUACCAACGCAGGUAUACGUAUACGUACGUGCAAUAUACUGAGUACGUGUACAUGCACUCUGCACGGGAUCGGAGUAUUACGCCAGGCCAGUAAAACACGCACAUGUGACGGGAGAGCUGAGAACCCGUACUUCCCUCGAGUCAAUUAUUUGCACGGUGCAUUCUGAGUCUCGUUUUGGAACUACUAAUUCUUUCCUUUUUCGGAAUGGGGGUGCGAAACUGAAUCGAUCACUUGAAAGGCAGCAAGUACCCACUUUUCUAAUGAUGUCACGGAAGAUUUCAUAGCUUUGAAGCAAGUUAGUUAACAAAGGCGGUUUAAGUGUUUAACGAAAAUGCACGCGGUGUAAUCCAUGAUAAAAACCGAAAAAAUGCAACUAAAGAGAAUUUGAUAACUGGACCAUUCGCGUGUGCUUAACAAAAAAGAGAAAAAUAGAAUCUAAAUUUCGCUGGGUUAGUACAUAUUGUUGUUUAGUUCCCCAAAUUCUUGAUACAAACUGUUCCGUUUAGCUGCGCAAUGGUGCAGUGUUUCGAGAUUCGACACUAGUUUUAUUAAGCAUAUAUAGUACUUGGGAGAAUUUAUAGCGCAAAACAUGACUAUCCAAAAGAAUAUACUCACUCUGUCCAGAAAUAAGUGACAUGAAUUUGUAUUAAAAUCUAUACAUAUAUAUAAUGGACAUUAAUUUCGAGUUUGCUAGCUCGACAGUAGUCUGGAAUUUUCCAAGCUGUUUGCCAAUUUAGAGUGAGUAGCAUAUCAAGUCGUUGCCGAUCUCGAGGGAGCAACACGUCGCUUGCUAGCCGCUAUUACUACCACGCAGAACAUUCUUUUAGCAAAGGUUGUUGCUCCACAUGCAUAUACUCUUGGAGAUUAUUGCUCGUACAAUUAAGUUCCUGAAAGUGACAUUGCUGAAAGAAAGAAAGAAAGAAAGAAAGAAAGAAAGAAAGAAAGGAAGAAAGAAAAAAUACACGUACGUGUAAAAUAAAAGCUGUGCAGGGUACACCCACACACUGCCGUGUGUCUUGAAUUUGAGCAAAGCGAUAGGGCUCACACUGCCCCAUCCAUCAGGCAACAUCAGCACUUCAGCAGCGUGAAUACUGGAGUACUACUGCCAGUACUACGACCAGUGACCAACCCGCUCAGCGCAGUUAAGGCGCUGUCCGAAAGAGCUAGCGAGAAAAAUCUCCACAGUAGCAGCAGUAGCACAGGAUGAGCUUACAUUUUUACAAUGAAUGCCGGCAGUGCAUUAGAUCACGAGAUCUCUUAAAUCAAAUGGCUUAACGGCACGUGCGCUCCUGUGGCGUGUGUGGAUGCAGCGACUACAUGCUGGUGGUGCUGACGGGGGACGCGACGGGGCGGCUGAUGCGGUACGAGCCGCGGACGGGGAACGUGACGGUGCUCAGGUCCCGGCUGGCCUUCCCCAACGGCGUGGCGGUGAGCGCCGACGGGACACACCUCGUCGUGGCGGAGACGUCGUCUUGCAGGCUGCUCCGGCACUGGCUGCGGGGGCCUCGGGCAGGGGAGACGGAGGUGAUGGCCGAGCUGCCGGGUUACCCGGACAACGUGCGGCCCGACGGAAGGGGCGGGUACUGGGUGGGCGUGAACAGGGACAAGGAGUGGGCCGUCAACGGGACCACGGCGAGCUCCGUGAGCGCCGUCAGGGUCGUCGUCGUGGGCGACGGCGACGACGGGAGGAAUGGAACGGUGGCUGAGGCGCUGCGCGGGUUCGGAGAGGAGGACACGGUGAGCGAGGUGGUGGAGCGGAACGGGUCGCUGUGGAUCGGCUCCGUCGACACGCCCUACGUCGGCUUGUUCAAGUUCCCCUCUCUCUAGCGCAUGCAUGCCGCCUGUGUGUGCGUACACGCCCAUGCUUGACUGCUGGCGGACUCAUGCUGUGUAUGAGAGACUCGUGCGUGCGUCUGUGCGCGUGUGGACUCAAACUGUGUGUACACUCCGUGCUUGCGUGUGACGCUGGAUUGCAAGCCAUCUGCGUCGGUGUUACUACAUACGUGCUCUCUCCGAUUAUCUACUCUUAAAAGACGUAGAUAUUUCGAUAACAAUUUAGGAUCAGGGAGCACAUGUUUUAGCUUUUUUUUGUUAAGGUACAUGUUUUAACGUUAUAGUGAAUUAGUGAGGAUCAGAAGUAAUUAAAUAUUUGCUGUUGUUCGUCAAGGAAGAUAUGUGUAAUGUAGAAUUGUUUUCAUUCCUCGACAAAAAAUAACAUAAAAGCAAACAUAUAUUCGAUUCUUAUAAAUAGAUCGAUCCAUAUGCUCUGAAUGGAUAAGAGAGACAUGGGUUAAUUAGGCUGCAAAAAUUGGGAUGCGCCGUGGUACAAGGAGAUGUCAUGAAUUGAGAUGAUCUAGCAGUACCUUAUUUCUAAUCGACAGUGCACACCCCUGACGCAGCUGUGGAAACGCGAACGGGUGUAGUCUAGGUUUCUCAUGGAGACCUGAACGCCUCUCCAGCAUACCGCACGUCACCUAGCUCCUCUUCUAUCCGCACAAGCUGUACGGAAAUAUGAAAAACAUAGUUGAGGGGAGACACAGCGAACAUAUGAAAAACAAUAAAUCGAAGAAGGAAACUUUUUCAGAAUUCCUACUCAGAUGGGUAGAAGAUGCACACAGAACAGAUAACCAUCUUACCUGAUUGUAUUUAGCCAGCCUCUCACUUCUGCAGGGAGCUCCGGUUUUGAUCUGAAACAUACGAAUGUGGGGUCAUCCCGAUGAUGAUAGCUAAUAGAGUUGACAUGAUACCAUCACAAAUUCGGGUGGACACUUACCUGCCCGCUUGCUAAACCAACGGCUAGAUCAGCGAUGAAAUUAUCUUCUGUUUCACCACUCCUGUGGCUGACCAUCACGCCCCAACCAGCCGCUUUUGAAUCAAGAGCAGCUUGAAUUGAUUCAGUGACAGUACCAAUCUGAUUAACCUGGAAAUACCAACAAAAUUUAGUGAACCAUGUUUUGCUUGGCAGCACAAGAUAUAUCAUGGCUUACUAGUGUUCAGUAUUAGAAGGGAGGAAGGAAUUCGCCAAUUUGGUCAUAGGCACUUCACAAUUUUACAUCACACCUCCCAAGUCAUUGUUGCUUAUUGUAAUAACAAAGAAACUAUGUUAACUAGCUAUGGGGCAAAUAUCACUGAAGCCUGCCACAAUCUACAUCACCUAUGUUUGACAAAUGCAAUACAAGAAUGCACAUCAAUUGUCCACUGUAAUAGCAAAAGAGCAUGCCAGAAACAGAAAGUAAAUGCUUACCUUUAGCAACAGAGCAUUGCAAGCCUUCUUGUCAAUAGCCUCUACUAUACGUUUUGGGUUUGUGACAAGCAAAUCAUCCCCGACAAUUUGGAUAUCAACUGAGGAUUGCAACGAAGCCCAUGAGCUCCAGUCAUCUUGAUCAAAAGGAUCCUCAAUUGAUACAAUAGGGAAAUCCUUGACAAAUUCUUUGUACAGAUCACAGAGGCGAGGGGCCGAAAGAACAUGAGCUCCAUCAUUAGGCUGGUUCUUGAAGUUUAGAUCAUAGCUCCCAUCCUUCAUAAGGAAUUCCGAUGCCGCAACAUCCAUUCCAAUUUUAAUCUGCACCGCAUGUUUUCUGUGUUUACGAAUUGAAACAGAAAGAGUGAUCACCAGUGAAACACAAGAAAACUGCAACACACCUUUCCAGUGUAGCCUGCCUUCUCAAUGGCAUCCAUUAGCAAAACAAGGCCCUCCCUGUUGUCUUGAACAUUAGGAGCAAAACCCCCUUCAUCUCCAACAUUGCAGGCAUCUUGACCGUAUUUCGCCUUAAUGAUGCCCUUAAGAACAUGAUAAACUGUAACAAGGAGAAGUCAAGCACACAAAACAAAGAUAAUCCCACUAAGGAUUGAAGAUGGAAAGGCCAACAACUAAAAAUGGGCAGAAAGCUAGAAGCAACUGUCCCCAAAGAAAUGUUUACUGAAAGCAUAGCUUGGGUGGUCAGCCAGCAAGAUAUUCUGGCAGCCCAUCAGAGCUCGAUCCUCGAAGGUCGCACUUUGUAAAAAAAUUAUAUAUCUAUAUACUGUCGGACUACAAUUGCGCAGCUCUUACAGUUUAACUUCAAUUUUUUUUUGACAAGUCUCAAGCAAGAUGGAAUGCACUAAGACGUAAAACAGUGUAUGUGAAAAAAAUACAAUAAUUUACCUUCACUGCCCAUACGAAGUGCCUCGGCAAAUGAAGUUGCCCCUAUGGGUAAAAGCAUGAAUUCCUGCAUGGCCAGGUUGUUACCGGCAUGGCUACCUCCGUUUAUUACGUUGAAAGCUGGGACAGGCAUGACAAGCUCCUUGGUGCCUGACAAUUCCUGAAUAUGCUUGUACAGAGGAACUCCCUUUGCACCAGCACCAGCCCGGCAUACACUUAAAGAGACUCCAAGAAUAGCAUUGGCCCCCAAUUGUGAUUUGUUUGGGGUUCCGUCGAUGUCAAGCAUGAUCGCAUCAACAUCACUCUGGUUCCUGGCAAAAUGAUAAAUAAACUUAGUAUCACAAAUUAUAUUCCAGGUACCGAGCCAUGGGAUGAUAAGAGUAAACUGACAGCACCUACAAAACUCAAACAACUAUUUGAAUGCAAGCUGAGAAAGGCAAUAGCAUGUUUCACUUUAGUUGACAAGCCCUUUAUAGUCCUAGAAAUGGCAUUAUGGCAUUAGGGUUUGGCACUUUUCAGGGUGUAUGUGGGAGUGGGCUGUCCAAGGUGCCGCUAAACCAAGCCUACCUAUCUCGUGUGUGGGUGCGAUGGCUGAGUCCCUGAGAUUUGUGAGGAAGUGGUCCGUCCUACAAAGCCCACGAGUAGUUUCUUUCACUUAUCCCACUUCGCCUUCAAUACUGCUUCAGGACGGGGUGCUAGGUUUAGGGAGAGGAGACAAUGGAGAGUCACCGGCUGGCUGCACCAUGGCUUCGACAUCCCUGACACCUCCAUUUCCUUCAUCCACUCCCUACGUUUGUCUGCUCAAAUGCAGUUGAGCAAAGCAGCGGUAAAGAACUGCAGAGAGCAGGCGAUGAGGAAUCGAGUCUGGCUGGCGGAGAGUUCUGCAAGGCACAGCCAAUUGGGGACGAGCUGUGAGGUGCAGUCACGUCCAGGGACUGUCGAGGUCCGUAGGGCGCAGCCAGACGGUGACAUGUUCCGCGGGUCGCAUCCGUGUCCGGGCAUCAGCAAGGUCCACAAGGACCUGGCAGUGAGCUAGAUAGCAAGAAACCAUGUGUGUGUCACUUGAUAGUGUUUAGAUGCAGCAGCAAGAUUGAUCUCAAUAAUUAGUGAGAUUGAUACAUGGGUCUUAAUUCUGAAUACUGAGGUUAACUAUUUGUCAAUAUCUGUUGAUCAAUUCAGCUGAAUUCUAGCAAGUAAUGGCACAUACAAACGUAGUGUACUAGUAGGAACAUAGCCUAACUGCAAGAUUAUGCGGGCAACGUAUGUGGGCUUACACAGACACAGCAUACUAGAGGCUGCAGUUAGGCAGGCUGCUGCAAACGCCCGCAAAACACAUGAGGGACUGUGCAGACCGAAGCAGGCAGCUAGCAAUUCAUUCCACUUCGAGUUACUUCGGUGGUCAGUGGAAUCGAAUGCUUUUUUCUCCUAUGCCCAAAUUCCAGUAACCUUACCUCACUCCACAAAUUUGGGGAAUUAUGCCCAUCCAACAUACUUGUUAGGAAUAUCCAAAAAUCACUUAGCAUUGAUCGAUUUGAUUGGAUGUUAGCAAUUUGGUACAGUAAAAAAUCAAUUAGCCAUACAAUGACAAAAGAAUGCAGCAAAAAAUUCUAAACAGGACAAGCUAGAGAACUACCACACAGUCCGAUUAAAGAAGUACUUUGAGAUAGCUCAAGCUAGAAAUAAGACAAUCCCACUAAGCACCCAUAAUAAUACUAAGCAAUGCAGAUGUGAAAUUUCAAAGCUGUCAUAUCAUGUAGAAGCUAUUGCCACAACUAGAAAAGCAGAUAGAGUUUGCUUGAGCAAGAGUUCAAUCAAUUUGAUUUCCCUGCAUUACACAGAUUAAUUACCACCAUACAUAGAGCUUGCUUGACAAAGAGCAUAAUUGCAGAAUUAUUGCAAUUAUUUAUAAAAAAAAUAGACCCCAUCUUGCAGUACUUAGAAACUCCACUUCGCAUUUAGGUGAAAAUGUUCAAAGUAAAAUCUUCAGCAAUCAAAGGAACAAAACAAUUAAAUUAGUAUGCUAAGCAAGGGACCACAUCAUUGAUACUGAGAGAGCUUCAAACAAGUGUUAAACAACUGGUUGCAGCGAAAUAAUUAGUUUUGGAGACAAUAUCUUGUUUUAAGAAGUAAUCAGGGCUCUUAGUGGUCUGAAUUUAUAUCUGUAUUCUUUUUGUUUGCUCUAGAGCAAUGUAAGUUGCUAUUUGUUGACCGAUUUAUUUCCUUACAGAAAUUUUCCUUUUUGUACACUUUUAAAUCUUAACAUAAACAUUCCUUUUCUUUGCAGGGACGUAACAAAAAUGUUCCCAACGGGCAUUUCCUCUGCUAAAGUUGUUCAAAAAAUGGAUCACUAAUGGACCAAAAUCAUCACCUACUAGGAUAAGACAAUCAGUUUCAACAGCAGCACAAUUUGAACCAAAUAUCCUUAUCAGAAUGAACAAUAGUCCCAUUUUUUAAAAUUACCGAGAACGCAUACAAAACACAAAAGCAUCUAACUCCUACAAACUCAAGCCAUUAUGAGCAAUCCGAUUCCCAACUAACACGAAAAUAUGUGCAAUCGCUUCAGUUUAAACAAAUUUACUUACUCGGAAUCAAUAAUUAUCAUUGCAUGGAGAAGAUACAUACUUCACAAUUAGGCAACAAAACAGUCAAACAGGCUAAAAACGCGUGCUACUAUGCAGUAGGCAGUUUGGAUCAUUAAACAACACAAUCCCAUGUUUCCCACCUACCCGCUACCAUCGCCACAGAUGAUGAUGAUCAGAUUCAACAUUUGUCUGAGAUUCCCUUGAGAUUAUGCUUUUUUACCGAGGCUCACCUGACGUCGACGCCGACAAGCUUGGGCGCGAUGAGCUCGUUGAUGUUGCGGACGGCGCUGAGCACGCCCUUCCCUCCGUAGACGGCCUUGUCCCCGUCGCGGAGCUCGAGGGCCUCGUAGAUCCCCGUGGAGGCCCCGCUGGGAACAGCGGAGCGGUGGAGGCUGCCGUCGCCGGCGACGAGGUCGACCUCCACGGUGGGGUUCCCGCGGCUGUCCACGAUCUGCCGCGCGCGGAUCGACCUCACCGCCUCCGCCCCAGCCGCCUUCGCCGCGGUAGCCGUCGACGCGGAGAGCGCCGCGCGGACGGAGACGACGGGGCGGCCGCCACCGCCGCGGCGCGGGGUGGCGGCGGUGGCGGGCACGAGGGGCUUGGAGGGGAGGAGGAGGUGGUGGGCCAUCCUGGGAGGUUGGUGGGAAGGGAGAUGCCGGAGCCGGAGUUUAUAUAACGGCGGCGGCGGCGAAGCGUGGAGGGGGUCGUCGGGUUGGUUUCUUCGUUGGGCGGAGCCGGCGAGGUGGCCGGGUGGGACGCCGAGGGGGUUUUAUUCUAGCGAAUAAAUUUUGAAGAAGUUUGGUUUGGUGGAGGCGGCGAAGCGGAGGUGGCAAACGGGGGCCCACCGGUUGCUCUUUUUUUUUAGAGCGGAGUGAGCGGUUGUCCCUGGCCUUUGCCCUCUGGGCUUUGGGGUUGGUGCCUUGCCGUGGUGUUGGUGGUGGCGGCCGGUGGGAGACCGGGAGGGCGACUCGAGGAACGCGAAUUCGCCCGGUCAUGUGCGGCACACGUGAACGUAAAGUCUAACCUGCCGGCGGAGAGCAUGGGGCAACCAUUUCAAGCAGAGGGAGUCGCUCGGAUGAGGCGACCAUUUUCAUCGUGAGGGUGCUUUUCUGCUUAGAAAUUGUACGCGCAGCUAACGGACUCGUGGGAAACUGAUAAAAUGUGAAGCUUAUGGCAGCAACUAGCAAGUGAGAAGGUACCACGUGUGCAACAAAAAUACAAAAUACUACAAAACGCCUUACAUUUUGAAACGGAGACAGUGUCACAAUAGUAACUAUGUAUACUCAAAUAAUGCACUUCCCUAACAGCCUCUGUUAUCAAACCCAUUCUAAAAAGGACACCAACACGGCACCACGGUCGUGCAUUAGUGGUCGGGCGCGUACGCCUGGCAAAAGCAACAUGCAGCAGCAUGGGUGCAUGCAUGCAUGCAGUACGGCACAUAUGGGAACUGACAAUAGCAAUUGAAGCAGUGUGUGCAUAGUGUAUAUGCGCACGGACGAUAAAAGUAGCAUGCAAGAUAAAUACGCAAAAGAUCGUAAGAUUCAAAAUGUUUUAACUCUUAAACCAUGAACUCGAUUUACAAUCUGUCUUCACCGUUAAUUUUGUCUCGACGAGAUCUUCGAAAUUAGAUCCCAUGUUGGUACGUUCAGAAAACUUUUUUUUCUUAAAAGUUGCCGUCUAAUAAUAUAUGAAAUUGCCACACUAUUAUUAACAAAUUACCAUGUGACAACUUUAUACAAAAUACUGUGGCGACUUGUGAAUCGAAGGUACCGUCCGAUAAUAUGUAAAAUCAAGACUUGAUAAUAUAUGAACUUGCCAUCCUAUUGGUAAUAUAUUACCGUAUGGCAACUUGUGUAUCAAUGUUACCAUUCGAUAAUGUGUAAAGUCACCGCCUGAUAAUAUAUGAACUUGCCACUCUAUUAGAAACAUAUUACCCUACGGCGACUUAUGUAUCAAAAUUACCAUCCAAUAAUGUGUAAAGUCAUCACCGGUUCCCGUCUAAUAAUACAUGAAGUUGCCACCUUAUUAUUAACAAAUUACCACGUGACAAUUUUAUACAAAAUAGUGUGGUUUGUGAAUCAAAGAUACCGUCGAAUAAUAUGUAAAGUCACCACUUGAUAAUAUAUGAACUUGUCAUCCUAUUGAUAACAUAUUACCGUGUGGCAACUUGUGUAUCAAAGGUACCGUCCAAUAAUGUGUAAAGUCACCACCUGAUAAUAUAUGAAUUUACCACCCUAUUAGUAACAUAUUACCCUGUGGCGACUUGCAUAUCAAAGUUAACAUACGAUAAUGUGUAAAGUCACCACCUGAUAAUAUAUGAAUUUGCCACCCUAUUAGUAACAUAUUACCGUGUCGCAACUUUAUAUAAAAUACGGUAGCGAUUUGUUUACCAAAGAUACCAUCCGAUAAUAUGUAAAGAAACCAUCCAAUAAUAUAUGAAAUUGCCACCCUAUUAAUAAUAAAUUGCCACGUCAUAACACCAUAUAAAAUAGGGUGACGAUUUGUGCAUCAAAAUUACCAUCCGAUAAGAUGCAAAGUUGUCACCUAAUAAUAUAUGAAAUAAUACUAUUUUAGUAAUACGUUAGCACAUGAUAACUUUUUUGAAACGUGUGGUAACUUGUGCAUUACCGUAUGUUAACAAAAAGAUCAAAAUAAAUUUUCGACAAAACAUAUAGGAGAGAGAUCUAAUUUUAAAGCUCUCGCCGAUACGAAGUCAACAGUGAAAACGGACUGUGAAUCAAACAAACGGUUUAAUGUACAAAACAUUUUGAGUGUUCAAAAGACAUGCAAAGAAUGCAUGCUGCUAAAACAAACAUGAGUGCAUGCGAUCAAUUCCCGAUUAGCAAAAGAAAAGAAAAAAAAUACAUGCAUGCAUUCAGGACACAACGCAGCGUCAGCAGGCUAGUAGCUCCACCGGACAAUAGCGCGAACAUACGCACGAUAUAAAUUCCGUUCUAAAAAAUAACAAUGUCAUAUAAAUCCGCAUACAGGCCAACGCAUCGUCUUAGCAGAGCAGCUUAGAACAGCCAAACCAAUCCCAAUUAGUAAGAGAAUGAUCGUCGGUAAAUAACCAUCAACUGAUGCUAAUGUAGACUCUGGAGAGCUAUAGCUACAGUCGCCGCAUUAGAUGUAUAAGGCACACUCAUGGAAGAGAGUGAUGGCCCACGACUCACCGGGAAACCAUCAGAUACACAGAAGUUCUGAAAUGUCUGUAACAACUCUGGCUCUUCACUCGACAAUCUCUGGCCUGCAGCAAGUUACGCGGAGUCGGCAGGCUUCGCCUCAUCAGGUUUUUUGACAGGUACUACCUCAGUGGUGCCCAUCUCAGCUUUGAGGUCGUUGACACUCUGCUCCAGCUCGUCGAUCUUGGUUCCCAUUUCAUCUAGUGCAAUGUGGUUAAAGAAAGUAGGGGCAAGUAGAAACUCAUGCAGCAAUCAACCGGGUAUAAAUCUUAUGGAUUCAAAACUGGCAUGCAUUUUGUCUAUUUAUGACAGAAUGGCAUGAUAGAGUUCAUCCUGGCAUGAUAGAAAGAAUUACUUCAAAAACAAAACAAAAACUAGAUCGUGAAAACUAUGACGGUAGCCUUGCAGUGAUGUAGCAAAAAUCUUAGUGCACUAUCAAACUGUGAAAUAUAAAUGCUGUGCCGCACACAGGAACAGCUGAGUAACCGGACAAAGGUUGCAAUCUUAAAAUAAAUCAAAUCAUGUAACUUUUCUUAGCUAAUAACUGGUCACUGCAUUUCUUUCAUACUGCGCAUAAAAAAAGCCAGAUAAAGAAUUAAGGGAUAGUACCAAACUAGAGUACAUGUGUAUGAAGGAGAAAAGUAAGAAAAACAAUCCACCUCUAGUUUGCUAGCAAGUUCUGUAAGAGUUCAUACAGGAAAGACUUCAAGAUUGCAGCAAAGCAGUGUAUAUUUCCAAGAAGUAAACAAAAAGUUUCCAUGAUUAUUGGUUAAUGAUCUGUGAUAUAUCACAUGUGUAUCCAUACUUGCCUUGUUUCUGUUUAAUAUCAAAUAGCUCAUGAAUGUUACAAGUUUCCAUACAGAUAAAGAAAUACUUGCUCCGGUCCAUAAUAAGUGUCGCUGAUUUAGUAUAAAGUUGUACUAAAUCAGCGAUACUUAUUAUGGAUCGGAGGGAGCACAUAACAUCUACAUGUAUAAGCACCAUAAAUGCAUAAUGCAGUCAUGGUAACAUGACAUCAGUCAUCAGAUAUAUUAUAAUAUAACAAUAUCCCCAAUUAAAUGUGCAUUCAUGUAAAAUGCUGACUACAAUGUGACCAUGAAAAUAAUGAGAAUAGAAUGAAAAUAAUGAUAUUCAGGCACGUAAGGAUAUUCUUUGACACGAUGGUCUGGGACAUAGACUCGAACCUCGUUUGCUGAAAUUCAUCAUCAUGUUAGUGAGUGUAAGAUGUUUGAGUGUAGAUGUCAAUAAAAACAUAUCCAAAGGAACUCACCAUCUGACCGAGAAGGUUUUGCACCUGAAAUAGAAAGCUUAUUGUCAGUAAAAGAAAUAUUUCUUUCAGGUAAACAAAGGGAUGCAUCUCUGAUUCAUCAAAAGCAAAAUGGGUCUUAAUGACGGUAGAAAACUACUACAACGACAACAAUUUAGGAUCAGAGGGAGUACAUAACUUGACUAGUAACCUCACCAUCAACCGAGUAAAUGUAUAUGCCAAUGUUUUGAAUUUAUUGGUUUAAACAGCAACUGGAUUCACUACUUCUAGAAUAUGCCCAACACCCCAAUUUGAUGCAUAAAGCAUCUGCAGACUCGUUUAGGAUAGUUUAGGUCGUAUGUUCAGCUGAUUGUUGUAACAGAAAAUGGAAAAAAUGACAUUAGCGUGAAUAAUGCAUGUCUACAAUGUUAUGAUGCCUAUUAAGUAUUGAUACAGCGCAGGCUAGAGGUGGACUAAGAAUUAGAGAUAUUUAUGAUCAUAACUAUAUCCAGUUUUACGAUUGGUGAGAGGAAGCAUUACAUGAGACAUGAGUAAUUUAGCUGCGCAAGGGCUAGACCCUAGCCAGAACCAAAGACGUGCUUGAGAUGCGUUUGGGUGAUCAGAAGCUUGUGCAUUGGGGCUCGACACUUGCAUGUAUACAUAGGAGUUCUAUUCAUAUGGAGGUCCGGAAACUACAAGUUUAUGCUGUGGAUUGUGGAUCUUCAUGGAAGGCAUGCAUGCGCCGUGAUGGAGAUAAGGAAACAAGAGUUGGCUAGUUUCCCUAUUUUGAUGAAGGCAGGCUGAUGCGUGGGAACUACAAAUAGAAUCAAUUUUCUGUUUUUAUUUAUCCCACGGAAAGAGAGGCACGAUGAAUUCGGCUCCCAUAAAACUGGGUGUUUGGCCACUGUAACAGGGAGGUUAUGUUAUGACUUAGAAAACCGCGUGCAGCCGUUGGCCAUUAUCAAGUUCAAAGAAAUCUUAUGAAAUAUAUCUAUUUCCAUUGUGAAUUAGGCUCAGUUAGUGGUUGCUGAACUGUGUUGUGCUGAAAUUAUUUUAUAAUCCGCUCCAGAAAAAUACACACGAAAAUGGGAUCAAGUUUGGUUAGCAAACAAUAAAAUAGGCAAAAGCGGGUAGAACAGACGGGAUUAUGAGAAUCAACCGUAAUGCCGAAUGCUGGCCUAGUGAUUGGGUCCUUGUCACGUGUAAGGGUUAGUUGAGGGGUUGAUCGGUUGUUGAUCUUCAUAUCUUGGUUCUUGUGUGUUGUGUCGUGUACCUCAGUACCUUCGUGUACAUGGUGCUAGACUAGUUAUCAUGGAGGGAAGUGUCGUGAAAGAUCGGGCAACUUCAACUCGACACCUAGUUGAGCCACAUCAAGUAUAUAAUAACAGUACUUACAAAUGCUGUCAUGUCUGUUGGGUUCUGUGAUGAGGGGUCGGAUUCCAUGCCGUCCUGCAACAACAGAUUCAGUGACCAAGUUAACAGUAAUUGUAGACUUACAGUAUGCUAAAAGUUAAAAUAGAUGGCUAAUGCAUGAGUGAAUGACACAUAAUGGGGAAAUUGUAGGACAGUUUUAAGCACUAUGAUGGCAAUUACAUUUCAUACCAGCAAAUGCAUGCUACUGAAAAUGCAGAAUUAUUAGAAGUAUCUUGACAUGUGUACAUAUGAUUGUAAGAAAAGGGACUUCAGAAAAUAAUAAGCAUCAUAGAGUGGACUAUUAGGUCAUAUCAUCUAAAUGUGAGACAGCUGUAACGCUGGAAUAAUUCAAAGCAACCUAAUGGCCAAGGAGAAGCACAUAAAGAACGAAAAGGUGACAAGGAAAAGUUAGGUGCAAUUAAAAUACUACGUCAACAAUUACUUAACCAGGAACUGACGAUCCUACUUUCAUUAAUUGGCCACUGCUAUUGUGCCCCGUAAAACUUCCAUAUGAGGUAAACUGAACAUCUUUCUAGUUGCUACCUUAUAACUUGUAUAGUAGGGAGAAAACAAGAAAACAGUACAUGGUAGAUGGCAUGUAAGCAAACCCUAUGGCAUCACUGUCCAGUCUCCUAGUUUCCAAUUUCCCCUCCAUUCACUCUCAGCAAGAUGAUGCCCCGAGGGUUCUUGGUCACUGCUCACGGUUCUAGUUUCAUCUUCUCUCUUACUACUGCACAUGACACUUGCCAUUUCUUGUAUAGUACAGGAAGUGCUUCGUCGCAUCCUAUCAGUGAGGACCUCAAGUUGAUCUCUCAGGCCAUGCCUUGUCAGCCUAUCCCUCAAAACCUGACAAGUAGCCUGGUAAGGUGGGAUACCUUCAUCGACCAUCAUCACAAAAUAGCUGCAAGCUUCCUCUAAUCUACCCUUUUUGCAAGAUAACCCAUGGAUCAUGACAGCGUAAGUUGCUGCUCCUGGGUGGAAACCCCGUUUUUCCAUACCAUCCCAAACCUCAACAGCCUUAUCAAUCCUUCCUAUACCAAUCAACAUUUUUAGCAACAUAUUAUAAGUAUGACGGUCUGGUACACACAGGCCUUUAUCCAUUCUUGCAAUAAGCCUCAGUGCCUUGUUCACCUCAUUAAGUUUGCAAUGUGCAUUAAGCAGUGUGUUGUAGCUCCAAACAUCAGGCUUUUCACCUCGCAUGAUGACCUCACCGAGGAUAUUGUAAGCCUCGUCGAUCUCUCCCAACUCACACAGUAACCGAAUAAUAGCAUUAUAUGUGAAUACAUUUGGUGUGAGGUCGUGCAUGUGCAUCCUAUCUAGCACACGAAGAGCACCCCGAGCAUCCUUUGAUGCACAUGAAGCACGAAGGAAUGGACCAUAAGUGGCAGCAUCCGGAACAAGCCCACGGCUCUGUUGCAUAUCUUUCAGAUGUUCCUGUGCACGUGCAACAUCACCUCUGCGGCAUAAGGCAUCAAUCAAUGCAUUGUAAGCAGGCACAUCAGGCUCGACACCUCUCUCGACCAUUUCAUCAAAUAGCAUCUGAGCGUUUUCUGGCUUUUCCACGACAGCCCACCCAGAGAUCAGGAUGGUGUAGGUCUUCGCUGAGACAUCAAAAUGGGUCCCUGACUCUCUGAAAAAUGUCUCAGCAUGCUCUACAAGGCCAUUAUGAGACAAGGCAAAGAGCAAAGAGUGGAAAUCGGAGAGCGUCGGGUGGAACCCAAACCCUGCCAUGGAGGAGAAGGCACGGAUGGCAUCUUCCGGAAGAAGAGCACGUGAGUAAGCACGGAACAGCCGUGGGAACAGGCCCCGGGAGAGCGCAGUUGGCGGGAGGUCAGACAGCAAAGAGCGCAGCAGCGGGAAGAGCCGUGCGCCAGCGAGUGAAUUGGCAAGGAUAAGGAGUGAAUCCGGCAAGUGGGAGAACCCGGGCAGCCCAGCUGCGAAGAGGAAAAACCGGAGCGAUGGUACAGGGAGGUGGCGACACCGGCGCAACACCGCGGCCGCCGCUUCAGGGGUGAGGCGCGGCGCGAACCCGCGGAGCGCGGCGGGGAGGUCGUGGCGCGGGCCGCGAAAGUCGCUGAGUACGCGGCUGAGAGUGCUCACGAGCUUCGGGUCGGCAUCUGGGCCCGGACCUGGACCUGGAUCGGGGCACGGAUCCUGGGGCGACGAGGCGAAGAGGCGGUGGAAUGGGGAGGAGCGGCGCGGCAUGCGCGGCGGAAAGAGUGCGGCGAGCGAUCUCGCGGCGGAUUGCAUCGGCGAGGCUGUAGUAACAGCGGAUUCGCGAGUAACGUAAGGAUGCAAGGAUGCAAGCGUGCUAGCAAGGGUGGAAUGGAUGUGAAAGUAGAGGAGAUGCAGGGGCUUACCGAGGAAAUUCGGAUCGCCGAGGAAGGGGCGGAGGGUUCGGAGGAAGUCGCCGCCGGCCGGUAAAUUCGGAGGAGGUCGCGGUGGGGUGUGACUCCGGUCGAAACGAAGAGGGACGGGAGAACCGGAGGAGGAAGGCGAGGAGAGAAUUUUGAUUUGGGAGUCAGACGCCAAGUCGGGGGAAGUUGGGCUAGAAAAGGGUAUGCAACUAUGCAUACGGAGUAGAUGACAUGUGGGUCCUCGGACCAUCGGUUAUCAUCAAGACUUUGAAUUUUGAAAAAUAAGAGCUCCAAAUGGUUCCCCUCAGUAGUGGGGCUCUCGCAUAGGCAGCUAAAUGGGAGGUUCCACUUCUUUCCCAUUUUUGGAGCUCUUAUUUUUCAAAAUUCAAAGUCUUGCAUACUUCUUUCGUCUUCAGAUCGUUGUUCCGGCGUAGGCGCCCAAGUUAACAGUCUGUUGUCGAGCUCUCUUCCACCGCUCUUCCUCUUUCUCGAAACCUCUCGUUCCCCUUGCCCAGUUCUUGUCGAUCGGUGACGCCUGCCGCCCUUCCCCUCUCCGCCGGUGCAGCCGGCCGGAGUGAGAGGGGAAUGAGGGUAUGUGCAUUGUACAGUGACGCUAUGCCGUUGGCAGUUUGCAGCUCGCCGGAAAGGAGCUCCGGUGGCAGCAAGCUUUGGAUUGAAGACGGAGAGACUCUCACCGGCAGGCUUGCUGGAGAUGGUCGUCCCCCUCUUCUUCCUCAGUAGGACAGCCUUCCCAAUAAGCUCCCCUUAGAUCUGGCUGGUCCUUGCUCUCCCCCUCCAGAUUGCCGUCAUGGUGGUGGAGAUGUGGUGAGGAGAAGGACGGGAUGUGGUUUUCUCAGAUCUGGUGUCCUUCUCUUUUUUCUUUGGUGUCUUUGCAUCUCUGGGUUCUUCUUCGUUGUUGGUUUUUGGAGAUACGGUAGUGUUGGUGUUGCCGUUGUUCCGCCUGGCGACUGUGAGUCGAGCCCCUAUGGCUCGUCGUCCGGCGAAGCUGCUCGUCGAUCUUGUCAAUGCCGGAAUUCUGGUUCGGUAGUUGUGGACAUCGGGGCCCGUUGGGCUUCUAUUUUGCUCCAAUUUGUUGACUGUCAUAACGGAGUCUUUGCUACUGCUGUUGGCUUCAAUUGGAAGAGCACUGAAAUUUAUCUUCUUAACGAAUCCUCCGAUGGGCAUCAGAGGGUAGCCAUCUCCAUCACUUGGAUCUUGGAGCAAGAAGCUACUGGGGAGGUGUAUUGCUUUAGUUGGUGUCUUCCUUGCAUCAUGGAAUCUAGGCAAGAUGAUAAACAAGCAGAUGAUGAUGUUUCUCAUCCAUCCGAGUUGACUCACCGACGGCAGAUGAGAGAGCCGUUGUCGAUGAUCCUCAGGUUUGAUGGAAGAGAUACUUGCAAUUUGGGCUCAGUGUUGCUCCCUACUGAUCUACAACUCAAUUGCCCUAAACCUCAAGUGCAUUUGCCCGCUCGAUUGCUGGGAGAGCCACUAGCUCUACGGCUGGCACGCACGCGGGAGGUCCCUGAAGACUGCGGCUGUGGUUGUGCGCUAGACUUCUCACCUCGCCCGCCAUCAGGCUCUGGCGGUUGUCUUCUUCGUCAUCUGUACGUUUGUUGUAUUUCUUGGUUUCAUAUUGUGCAAUUUGGCACUACCUUUGUAAUCCCCCAUGUUGGUGUUUAAUAGAUAUAUCUGUUGUUGCUUUAAAAAAAAACCUUCUUUCGUCUUCUUCUAGAUCUGUUCCGACUUUCGAAAUUCAAAAUUAAGAAAGGAAUAUGUUUAACAUGGUGAUGUAUUCUUACAUUUCAUGGGAUUUGCUUUCUAGUCCACGAAAAUAGUACUUCCUCCGAUACAUAAUAAGUAUCUCAGACUUAGUACUCCCUCCGUUUCUAAAUACUUGUCAUUGUUUUCUAAAUACUUGUCGUUGUUUUAGUCAGCGACAAGUAUUUAGGAACCGAUGGAGUACAUCUUUGCACUAAGUAUAAAAUUUGAGAUACUUAUUAUGUAGCGGAGAGAGUACUAGUUUUCCGGGUUGUUUGCGCAUUAUGUGUUCAUUUAUAUUUUAUGAAAAAAGAAAUCAACUCAAACAACUACGUAGGACGUUAUUGCGCAUGUAGAGUCAUGUAGAAUGACACGAACUACAGUUGAAACAAAUAUGGAGUAAAUGGGCAUGGAGAAAGGUCGAGGUUACUAAUAGAACAAAAAGGACCGUGUAGAAACACGAAAUCAUUACAUGAGCGAGCAAUGAGUUAGGGCAUGCAUCUUCAAUAGUUUGUGUGUUGGUUAAAAUAUCUAUGUCAUUAACCAACAACGCAUCAUUCAAGUAUUUUAAGAAGUUGUAUAUUUCUCAUAGCCAUCAAUAAACUUAUACAAGUAUGAAUUCGGAUUUGAGACAUUUCUCAAGCCAUCAACUUCAAUCAAAUGGCUCCAGAAUAAGUCAAAUCAAUGAAUAUUAUGUCUUAUUGUAUAUUUUGAGCACACUAAUGAUUGCCUUACAUAGUUGUCAUAUUUUGAAAUCAGAUUACCCUCGUCAUCUCCUAUUUCCUUCUUUUAUAGCAAAAUUGUAUAUUUAUUUCUUGUUAAAAAGGUAAGUUAUAUCAGACACAAAAAAGGUACUACUACAAUGCUAAGUCACACACCCCAUACCCACAAAGUACGGUUACGUGAAGUUGGGGCGUUGUACCAUGGUUGAUGGAGGCACCCAACGGACAGGAAAUUGAGCAUUACUAACUCGCGUGCAUUUAGGCCCUCUUGAUUUGGAGAAAGAGUGUCCAAAAGACAUAGUAAUAAGACAUUUUAUUUUCCAUUUGAUUCAAAGAUGUGUUGCAAAGGAAGAACGCAGGAAAAAUUUCCUGUGAUACAAUUUCAAAGGGAAGACACGGGAUUUUUACAAUACACUUAGAACCUCUUUUUUGGAUUCCCUUGCAUUGCAUUAGAAACAAGCAAAGGGUGUUCAAUGAUGUAAUAACAUUGGAACUCUAUUUUUUUAUUUGGUUUGACUUAAUUUGACCAUAUUUAUUAAGAUUACCAUGUUUUUCUAUUAGUUUUUUUUUCAAAAAUGGAAGUUUUUAUUGAUCUCGACGGCAUAUCGAUCGAUACACAUAAAGUAUCACACCCCCGGUCUCUGCGCCGAAACGCACACAGCCAACCAAGUACGAGACAAAAAUAAAUUAUUACAUCGAAAGAAAAGUAACAUCUCUAUGCAAACUCAAUCCGCAGGCUAGACCGCCACCCAUUGUGGGUAAAAAAGUCUCUGGCCACUUGCUCCAACUUGUUACACGCCAUCAAAGCCAGCUGACAAUCUUCCGACUUGAGGAGGAUAGACCAAGUACGGAGCCAAUGAACGCAAGAAUACAAGACCUGCAAUGGAGAAGUUAAGUACUUUCUAUUAAACGCAACAUCAUUACUGCAUAACCAAAUUGCCCAACAUAAAGCGGCAGCUCCAACCAUAAGAAGCGCCCUCAACCUUUUAUUAACCCCCCGUAACAAUGACCCAAACAUAUGAGGGGCAUCGCGAGGUGAAAAAAAAUUUAGAAGCUAUUUGGACUAUUAACCACACAGAACGGGAGACGCAAGGUGAAAAAAAAUUAGAAAUAACACUUUGAGCUCUCAUUUCAAUUACGUUUUAACAAGUUGUCUUUAGUUAAAGUGACGCCCCGCCGCAAAAACCAAAUAAAUUUUUUAUUCUUUAGAGGAAUCUUUAGAUUCCAUAACCCGUUGAUGAAAUUCGGAAUGUCAGAAUGUACCAAAGCCUGGUACAUUGAUUUAACCGAGAACAUUCCACUGGGAAGGAGGUUCCAAAUAAAAAUGUCUCUCCCAGGAGAAAGAUUGAUGUUAAUAAGGCGAGUUAUAAACUCUGUCCAAGCCACCAAUUUUGGUCCGACAAGGCUUCGCCUGAAAGACAUAUUGGGAGGGAAAGAAGCGAGAACCUAAGCCAAAAUAUUACACUUAUUACGAGUAAUGAGAUAUAAGGAUGGAUAUUGCUCUUGGAGAGGACGACCACCGAGCCAAGAAUCCUCCCAAAAUCUCACUUGAGAGCCGUCCUUAAUAGAGAAAGAUCCAAAACGAAAAAAAUUCCGUUUGGCUUUCAUCAGACCUCCCCAAAAAUGAGAAUCACCUGGUUUCCACUCGACCUGUGAUAAAGCCUGCGAACCAAUGUACUUAUUACGUAUCAGAUCUUGCCACAUAGCAUCCUCAGACAAAAGUUUGAAUAACCAUUUGCUGAGGAGCGCAAUAUUUUUGGCAUCAAGAUCCUGAAUACCUAAUCCUCCUUGGUCCUUUGAUCUGCACAAGAUGCUCCAUUUUGCGAGUCGAUAUUUCUUUUGUUGACUAUCAUUUUGCCAGAAAAAUCUAGACCGAAAAUAGUCAAGCCUCAUGAGAACUCCACGCGGAAUCUCAAAGAAGGACAUCAUGAAAAUGACCAUACUACUUAGGACGGAGUUAAUGAGUACUAGGCGACCUCCCAUCGAGAGGUGCUUACACAUUGAACUCGCAAGGCAUUUUUCAAGACGCUCUUCCACUCCCUUCCAUUCGGAAUUCAAAAGUUUUCGAUAAUGGAUUGGGAUGCCAAGGUAACUAAUGGGCAAAUUCCCCAUAGCACAGCCAAACAACUCACAAUAUUGCGGGGCAGAGUCCAAAGCCUCGCCGAAGCAAAAGAGUUCGCUCUUGUGGAAGUUGAUUUUUAAACCCGACAACUGCUCCAAAAUACAAAGCACGAGCUUGAGAUUUCGAGCCCUGUCAAGAUCGAUCAACGAAGAGGAUCGUGUCGUCGGCAUAUUGAAGAAUAGACAAACCGUCAUCAACAAGAUGAGGAACCACUCCAUCGAUAAAACCGACCUCGCGAGCUCUCUCAAUCAAAAUGGCCAGCAUGUCUGCCACAAUGUUGAAGAGAAUAGGGGACAAAGGGUCCCCCUGACGCAAACCUUUUCGUGUUUGGAAAAAUUUGCAUCUAACAUCAUUCACCUUGACCGCUACACUUCCCCCCGAGACGAAGCUCUCAAUCCAAGAACACCACUUGGAAGAGAAGCCCUUCAUCCGUAGGGUCUGGAGUAGGAACGACCAAUUAACUUUGUCAUAGGCUUUCUCAAAAUCAAUCUUAAAGAUGACUCGGCUUAAUUUUUUCCGAUGGAGCUCAUGAAUGGUCUCAUGAAGAACCACCACCCCAUUGAGAAUAUUGCGACCUUGCAUAAAAGCUGUUUGAGUUGGGCGAACGACCUGGUCCGCCACACUAUUCAAACGGUUAUUGGCAACCUUAGUGAAAAUUUUAAAUAUAACAUUCAAGAGACAAAUGGGCCUAUACUGCUGGAUGCGAUUAGCAUCUUUAACUUUGGGUAAGAGUGUGAUUUCACCAAAGUUGAAGCUAAACAGCGGGAGAGUACCAUUAUGAAAAUCAUGGAACAAGGCCAUUAAAUCAUCCUUAAUAACCUCCCAAAAAACCUGAUAGAAUUCCGCCGGGAAACCGUCCGGUCCAGUGGCCUUAUUGUGCUCCAUUUGAAAGAUCGCAUCUUUCACCUCCUUCUCCGUAAAAGGAGCCGUGAGGAAAACAUUUUCUGCCUCAGAGAUUAUCAUCCAUUCUCGAGUCAUCCAAGGACAGAAAGCUAGGAUCAGGCUGCCCAAAAAGUUGUUUAUAAUAUUCGGUAAUGUGGUGCUGCAGGGGACCAUCGCCCUCGAUGACAUGCUGGAGGGAGAAAAUACGUUUCUUCUGAUGACGGCCAUUAGUCACCAAAUGGAAGAACUUAGUAUUGUCAUCCCCUUUAAGCAUGUAAUCAACCUUGGAAUGUUGGUGCCACUUAAUCUCCUCUUCACGACGAAGUUGUGCCGCCGACUCAUUAGAUUGAUUUUUUAACUCAAUCUCCUGAUCAGUAAGGCCCCUAACUUCAGCAAUCUUAUCUAGUUCAUCGAUGAUAGUUGACAAGCGAGCUUUUUCGUGCUUGUUAACACCAACGAUGUGCAUCGCCCAACCACGUAAAUCACGGCGGACCGCUCCUAGCCUGCUAUUAAAGCAUUGAGCAGAGUUAUUUCCUUUACAAGGUCAGCGCCAAACCUCAGAGACUCGCUCUAUGAAACCCUCACGCGUUAACCAGCCAAGUUCAAAUUUGAACGGGCGACGGUUUGCAUGGAAGGCCGCAGAACCAGAGUCAAGAAGAAGAGGUGCAUGAUCAGAGAGACGCUCGAGGCGUGGAAGAGCCUAGACGGACACCAUAGGGAAUUUUUGUUCCCACUCGGUAGUCAAGAAGACCCUAUCCAGUUUCUCAAACGUAGGUGUCUGAAGGUUGUUAGCCCAUGUAAACUGACGUCCCGAUAGGUCAAUUUCCCUCAAGUCCAGGCUGUCAAUAACAUCGUUGAACAGGAAAGGCCAUCGGUUGUCAAAGUGAGAGUUAUUUUUAUCCUUCUGAAAACGUAGUAUAUUGAAGUCUCCCCCAAUAAGCAUCGGAAAGGAUUACUUUGACAUGCAUUAACUAAUUGUUUAAGGAAAUUUGAUUUGAGCUCGUUUUGCGCGGCACCAUAAACCGCCAUUGGGCUCCAUUUAAAGCCAUCGGAUUUUGUUUUAAGAUGGAGUUUCACAUAGAAAUCACCACCAAACACCUCCAAGACUUCAAAAAUCACAGGAUUAACCCCAAGUAAAAUCCCACCCGACCGACCUCGAGGAGGAAUAGAAUGCCACUCGAAAUCUAGCACGCCAGCAAAGUGAGCCAAGAUAUGACAAGAGAAUUCCUUCCUCCCGGACUCGAGAAGGGCCACAAAAUCAAGACCAUGAUCUCUAAUUGUCUCCGCCACAAAACUGUGCUCAGCCAAGUCACCUAGACCUCUGCUAUUUCAGAAAACGCCUUUCAUGAGGAAACUAUAGCUAAGAUUUAUUUCGCUUGUGUUGCUUUGAUUUGGAGGUCUUAGACUUUGAUUUGCGAGGGGUUGGCUUAAGGUCGCUCAACAGAACACCUAAGUCGUCCUCGUCAAGACCCACAUCCGUUACUUCAUGCACAACAUGCUUUAGCAGAUGUGCAUCGUAAACAUUAUCCUCAUCCCCUCCCGCGGAGUCCACAUCACCAACCGACAGAGAAGAAGUACUCGUAGUUGGAUAUAAUUUUAACCUAUCAAAUUCCAUACGUUUUAAAGCUUUUAACCGAAAUAUCUAUCUCGUGCUGAGUUUUUACCCAAAAUAACACCAAGAGAACGUGCAGUAGACGAAAUGAAAGACGGUGAAAGGGAAACGACGGAAUUUAAAGGAGCUGUAUUAGGCGUACCUAAAGGGGUGUCGAGGUUGCGCGCAGCAGCCCGACGCAUAGCCUUCGCCAUUAAAUCCUCGUCAGCCGGAAUGACUCCAGAAGGAAGUGGAGAGUUUGUGCGCUCACUCCGCCGCAGGUGGGCGCCGCCCACCGGAGACCCCGCGGCCACAGCCGCAGCAGCAAGCGGCGGAAGACCACCAGCCGAAGUAGACCUGCCCCCGCGUGGAGAAGCAUGCGGAGCAGAAGCAGCGGCCCUCCCAUCCGGGCUUGGAACACAUGCAGCAGGCCUUGUCGUUCCAGCCGAAGAGUGAGCCUCAACAAGACCAGCAACAUGCAUGGGAGCUGCAUGAAACGCUGAAGCACUUGCCUCCUGGCCAGCCAUUGCCUGCCCAGCUGCAUGGGCACCUAGCCCAGCUGCUGAAGCACCUGCGCGCUGCCCGGCCGCGACGGCGCCUGCGCGCACCCCUGCCGUGGGAGCAACUGCCACGUGAGCGUCUGCAGCCACAGAGGGCGCGUCGGCAGCGCCUGCAACAGGCCCAACUGGAGAGCUCGGAGGGUUGGAAACGCCAUCAAACAAUUCAGACGCAGUCCUUGAAAGAGCUACUGUUGCCAGCUGGAGUACGCGCUAAUUUUUUUUAAAUAAUACGAAUUUUUUAAUCAUUUCCGAAAAUAAUACGCGUUUUUCAAAAGUCUCAAAAAUAAUACGGCAUCGGGCUGGGCGAGGCCGAUUGGGCCUAGUUGGCCUGGCCCAAGCCGAGUACGCCCAGUCGGCCUCGGCCAGGCCGACUGCAGGCCGCGGGCCUAGCCCGAGGGGCCCACUCGCUUCAGUCGGCCUGGCCCAGGCCGACUGAAGCCCAGUUGGAUUCGCCCAGGCCGACUGGUCCAGUUGGUUUGGGCUAGGCCGACUGGAUUCAGUUUGGGCCAGCUCCAAUUUUCCUGCGCCGAUUCGAAGUAAUUCCUUUUUUUUCUUCGGAUCCUUCCGGUCUUUUGAACUAAAAUACUCGACAACAUGGAUAAAAGUAACACGCCGAAUCCGAUUGGAAGUAAUUAGUCUUCGCCGCUAGUUCGUUGCAUGAGCAACGCAUACACGACCGAGGCCCAUUUUUUGUCUCGAAUCCUUGCGGGUUUUUUAUAAAGAGUAACAUAUAUCGAUAAUUUGCUGGACAAUUUCCGUGUCGAUUCUUUGCGAUUUGUUUGAACUGAAAGACUUGACAUUUGGAUAAAUUAACAUAUAUCGAUAAUGUGCUGGUUACGGAACCAAGGCACGACUAAAUUAACAUACAUUGGUAAUACCGCAAUUGGACAUCUUUAAAGAUAGCAAAUACAUUAGAAACACAAGCACUACUGAGUCCACUUAGGCCAUUUUCCGCUCGUAUCGCCACAUUCUUCUGCAGCCUUUGCCACAGCGGCCCUUUCUCUUUGCUUCUCCCUUUCUGCCUCACGAGCAUCCUUGCGCCUUCGUUCCUCCUCUUGCAUCUCAAGCGCUUUCUCCCUGUUUUUCCUUAAUGCUUCGUCAAUCCAACGACGUUGUUCCUCCCUAUGCUCUUUCAUCUCUCUCUCUUGCUCCUCCUUCUCCUGGGCUGCAGCUUUUUCCGCACGCUCCUCCGCGUGGAAACGCUGCCAUGCAUUUCAGGACCUUGUUUUGAUCUCUUCCACCGCCCAAUCCGGCAUCUCCGUGUCAAUCCAACGAUACCACAUGCAUAGGGGCGGAGGAGACUACAAAAAGGCCUACUGUUACAAAUCUGCUAUGACACAGAAAACAUGUUUUAGAACACCUAAAUGUGCUUACCGGAGGUUUGUCGUAUGGCGAAACCGGGACAGGUGGUUCAUACUCAUAGUUCGCGCACAUGAAAAACCUCAUGCCCAGCUUAUCUGAAAAAUCUGUCACCUCCUUCACCUUGCAUAGAUUGCCGCACCAACACAUGAGAUGUUCCACCCCCCGAGGCAACAUCGCAUCUUUCAUCCUUCUCGGCCUCUCGCCCUGAUCCGAGCAAGGCAAACUCAUUUGGGGACACUGAAAUAUUGGAAAAAAAACAGUAGUGGGAAGGAUGCUUUGAUGACUACCGGAGAUGAGGUAUUUAUAGGCUCUCAAACUCAUUCUCCCGCCACCGUUUCCCUCCUCUUUUUCCCGCCUGGUUUUCCCGCCUCCUUUUCGCGCCACUGUUUCCCGCCUCCUUUUCGCGCCAUCGUUUCCCGCCUCAUUUUUGCGCCACCGUUUCCCGCCUCCUUUUCCCGCCUCCUUUUACCGCCACCGUUUCCCGUCUAUUUUAAGUUGUCGGUUUUAAUUUCAGUCUUUCUAUUGCAUAUGUAUUUCAGUCCUGCCGUUAUUUAUAUGCAAAUGUAACUUGAAUAAGAAUGCGAAAAUUAGUAACAUGUCUCUCUCAUACAUAAGACCUACAUCCAAAUAUCAGGCACGGCGUCUGGGACGGCAUUCCAAAGGUGCCUGUGGCGUGGUCCAGCCAUACCUAUGAGGUGGCACUACGUUGCGCGGAGGAAUCACGGACCCAUGCUCACGAUACUGUGUAUCCUCCUGUGUGGGAUCUGAUGGCGGAGUACUGAACAUCCAGCUGUGUUGGACAGAAUAGUCCUCUCCUUGAGCGUGAUCUUGCUCACUACCCCACGAGGGUUCGGACAACGAUGACUGAUGCCCGUAGGCUCCUGCAUGUGGGAAAGUACUUAGCAUUACAAUUGCGUAGCAGUCACGGUAAUGAACACAAUAGAUAGAAAUAUACAUACCCUGUGGCUGGGUCUGUGGACGAAACUCGAAGUUCAUCCUGGGACUCUGCUGGUGCUGCCACGACGAACCUCCAGCCUCAAAAGAGGGCUGAUGCUGGUGCCACGCCGAACCUCCAGCCUCAAAAGAGGGCUGCUGCUGGUGCCAAUAGUCGAAAGAAGACUGCGGCUGGUGCCACGACGAACCUCCGGCCUGCUCAGGAGGUGGUGGCCUGGGCGUCGACUGCUCUGGUAGACGUGGACGCGGGUGGUGUCGGGGGUGCGGUGCUUCCUGCUGACGUGGCCGCUGCUGGUGCGUGGAGUGACGAGGGGGCCGUACGGACGCCUGGUGGUGAACGACGUUCGAAGUGCGAGUGCAUGUGAUGGCCGCGUAAACAGAGCGUAGCUUCUCCUCCAUUCGUCUAAGCCAGGACCGGUGCGGCUCCCGUGGUAGUAGAAGUGGACCGGUCGAAAGCGAAUGUCCAUACGCAGCGAACUCGGCCUGUAAAUCCUAUGUCAACUGAGCCUGCAAUUGACACGAAGAGUAUUACAUAUAUAUGGCAAAGUACGUAACAAACACAUGCAUUAUGUUAAGAGAAGAUACUUACCGCGUGCUGUCUAGAGCAUGAAGUAGACUGGCUAGGGUACAUAUCUUGCAAACUCGGCUCGGCUAUCUCCUGGGGGUGAGAGUGCUGAAUGAUGGUCAAUCGGGUAGCUGUCAUGUACCUCUGCAAAUAUUCGUUGAAUAGAUCGAGAUCAAAGGCCGCCAAUGGCCAAACCCGUGUCGUCGCAGUCUCCCACUCUGUGACGUACGACUGAACCCUCUGCAGCCACAGAGUCUGGGUCCUGGUACUUCCCUUCCUGGUAAAUCUGAGAUCGCAAUAGAAAGUUGAACAAUUAAAUUAUGGACAAUUCUGGACGACAAACAUAAAUUGGAGAACUGCACAUACCUAUGGACGACCUGUGGAAGUGGAUCCUCCGUCGGUGGAGGAACGACCAACUGGCAUGCCCCAAACUGCCUCAUGACCCUCUGCUGGGCCAUCUCCUCCACGCAGACGUCGAAGAUGAUCUUUGAUUUUGUCAUCCAGUAAGCGUAAUCUCUCGUGCAGACCGUGGACAUCCCGCCAGGGUAUCUAUCCUCGAUGGCGUCCUGUGUGUACGGCUCCCAGACAACCGCCUCAGAGUGCAACACGUCGAACUGCUCGUUGAAUGAUGGGUAGCACUUCCUGACCUGAUCGUGUGCAAAGCGUCUCUGUAAAAAAAAGAAGUUAGCUUCAUUCAUGGUUUAUGUAAACUAAUGUAUGAAUUUCACAUUCGACAUACCUUGCUACGUGUCCAAAUUGUCACGAAAGUAGGCAGGUCGAUGUGUUCUAAGUCAAACAACUCCUGCUCAGGGUUAGGGUGAUCACCCGUAACGUCUGGUCGGCUGAUAGAAAACCUCUCUCACGACCAGAGCUGCAACAAUAAAGGACAUCCAAGCAGGGCUGACUUGGGCGACGCAAGCUGGCAAGCGUUGCACAUACCUCGGUACGUAGCAGCUAAGACGGCCGAACCCCAACUCCUCUGUGUGAUGUCGUCACCACAAGUUGCAUUCGCAAUCUCCACUGCAAUAGGGAUGUAGCGUGCGCUAAUGGUGGUGGCGUGGUUCUCAGUGAACGUCACCUUCCCGAGAAGCCACAUUAUAUAUGCCUCAAGGCUCCGAGUGAUCUGAGACUCAGUCAUUUGGGUCUCUGGAUACCCAAACUUCUGAAUCUGCAUGCAACAAAAACCAAGUGUUAGUAAACCCAUGCAAGUAUAUGAGCUAUGCUCUUAGAUAUAUUAACUUAAAACACAUCGAUCUAACCUGGUAAUUGAGCAACCAAUCUAGCUUAGGUCCAUGAGCCUCCGAGGUGAGUGGCCCAGCUCCGGCAAGAAUACCUUGAAAACGUAGAGCAUAAAUUAACACAUAGUUCCACAUAGAGUACAAAUUAAAACACAGGGCACGAAUUAACACAUACCUUGAAAGCGUAGUGCCAUACCCUCCUGCCAAUCAGCUGGUGCCUGCAACGGUCCUAUGGGCUCACCCACCAAUGGUAGUCCCAGCAGCAUCGACACAUCCUAGAGAGUAGGAGCCAUCUCUCCCCAGCGAAAGUGAAACGUGUGUGUCUCGGGUCUCCAUCUGUCCAUUAAGCAGCUCAGCAGCGAGUGGUCAAUUUGUACCCGUGUAGAGUUGAAGCCUCGUCGCUCGCCCUCUACCAUUUCCGCACGAGUUGCCUCAACAAGUCGUGCAAAAGGUAAAGGCCAGCCCACUUCAAACUGCAUAAAUAAAAUGGACAUGCAAGGGAUGAAUAAUAAAAUGGACAUGCAAGAGAUUAUUGAAUGAAAUGUACAUGCAAGGGAUGAAUAAAUAAAAUGGACAUGCAAGGAAUGAUUGAAUAAAUACCGUUGAAUCCAGGCAGGGUGUAUCAUCCAAUUUUCCUUCGGAGUGCCCGUGACAAGGGGCUCGACACUCCCAGGAUGCGCCACCAAUCGAGCAGCCCGAUGCUUACUCUCAAUCUCUGGAGAUAGCAAUGAUACUCUCUCCAUUUUGUGCCUGCAACAUUUAUAAACAUAGUUAGACAUACAAAUUAAAGUUAAGCAUAGUUAAACCGAGAGUACAUAUUAAAACGUAGUUGAACAAAGCGUAAAAUUAACACACAGUUCCACACAGAGUACAAAUUAAAACAUAGAGCACAAAUUAACACUUAGUUUCACAGAGUACUAAAUAAAACUUAGUUCCACAUAGAGUACAAAUUAACACAUAGUUUCACGGAGUACAAAUUAACACAAAGUUUCACAUAUAGUACAAAUUAAAACAUAGGGUACAAAUUAACACAUAGUUUCACAUAUGCAUGAUAAGCCUAGUUUCUUCCUCUCCCUCGUCGUCCACGUCUCCCUCUUCCACGGGCAGUAGCUCCACCAGUACCGAAAGUUGGACAAUAAGUGUCUCUGUGGCCAAAAUGGUUGCAUAGAAAACAUUGUCGUGACGGUCCUCCGGCUUCAGAUUCAUCCAUAUCAUUUCGGAUGCGCCUGGACGGGCGUCUGCCUGUGCCUGUCCGCAGUAGUCUGGGGUCAGGGAUGUACCGCUUUUCACCAGGGGUUACCUUGUUGAAAUUGCCCAUUGCACGAAACCCUAGCAUCUCACCCGUCCAUGUGCUAAGCACAAACUCUUUCAGGUAAUAGGGAGACACAAAUGAGAUUGCGUCCAUCCCUAGCUGCCCGCAAGCAGCAAGUACAUGUGAGCAAGGAAGGUGAAGCAACUUUGGUUUGUUGCAGGUGCACUCACACGUUGGCCACGCUUCAUUUCCAAUCUUCACCUCCUGUGUCCUCAAUUCAUUUCCAACACCGAACUUGUCAGUUGGCAAGCGCACCUCAAACCUGUGUUCUUGAUUACCGAUGGCGACGACAGUAUGAGACCUAGCUUUUUCCAUCUUCUCAUCCAUGUACUUCAUAAUCUUUUCACAGUACGGUGUAUUUGGGUUGUUCAUGAUAUGCAUUUCAGCUCUCUGUCGUCUUUCUCUGAAAUACUUCACCGUGCCAUGGAAAAUACCCUCGACGAUGGCUGUAAGUGGUAAAGCCCUAUUUCCCCUCAGGACAAAGUUGUAUGUCCCUGCCAGGUUAGUAGUCAUGACGCCGUACCUAGCGCCAUGUGUGUCGUGCAGCAAAGACCACCGCUCCAGAGACUCGUGCUCUAUCCACUGCUGAAAGUUUUUAAUCUGCCUCCCAACCCUUCUCCUAGUGCCGGGUGGGUAAAACCCUGGCAAGUCACAAAGCCCAACAGUUUUUCCUCAGAUGGUCCUGUUCCAAUUGUUGUCUGUGCAGCCACUGCUGCUACGUGUGCUGCUACCGCCGCGUUUCGUGCCGCUGUCCUCUCCCUAACAUGUUUCUUCGUGAACUCAUCAAGAUAACCACGUAUCGUAGUGUUCUUCCAUUGUUGGUUCUGUUUGCAGAGUUUCUUGAAUAGAUUCAUAAGUGACUUGUUCCUGAACUGCGAGAAGAAGUUGGCCCCCAAAUGCCGCAUGCACCAACGACUCUGCAUGUCCUGCCAUGGAGUCUUUUCAUCAGGCCCAGGGUUUGUCAGUGUCCUUAUCGCACUGAGUAUGCCUGCAUGUCUGUCAGGAAGGAUGCACACAUUCGGCUUAUCAUGCACAACUGCUCUCUUGAGCUGCCUGAAAAACCAUAACCAACUUUCAGUGUUCUCACCCUCCACGAAAGCAAAUGCGAGCGGAACGAUUUGAUUGUUGCCGUCUUGACCAAUGGCGGUCAAGAUCUGCCCCCUGUAUUUGCCAGUGAGAAAAGUGCCAUCUACGCAUAAUACGGGUCGACAAUGAUGGAAAGCUUGGACGCAUACACCGAAAGUGAAGAACAGUCGUUGCAGCACCCUCACAGUUGGAUACUCUGGGUGCAGAAAGUGUUGGAUGUCGACAUAGGUGCCUGGAUUACGGGCUUGCAGUGUAUGGAGGAGGCGGACAACAGAGUCGUAUGAGUCAAAAAACGAACCAAAUCUUUCCUCAAGAGCCCUCUGCUUAGCCCUCCAAGCCUUGCCAUACGAAAUGUUGUACUUAAACCUUACCCUGACCUUAUGCAUGAUGGCCUUCACUUCCAUUGCUUUGUUCUCCACUAUCUCCGUGUAAAGCAACCGAGCAAGAAGCGUCGACGAGAGGUUACGAUGGUCUUGAGGGAUACUGGGAAUGACACAUGUGUGCAACACCAAGUCACUCACAACCCAAUCUGUGUCAUACUUGGGAACAUAGCCAUGCACUCUCCCGAGACAAUCUAUUUGUUCGCACUCCAUUGUCAGAUAUUUUUGUGAAGAGACUGUUGUUUUCAAAACCCUUUGCGUGGACAUUGCCCAAGCAACUAUGGCAUCCUGCAGAUGUUUCUUGUCACGAAAUCUGGCACCCUUCGCAAUGUUGUUCUGAUGAUAUUGCCAUGCAGAGUCAUGCCCAUCGUCCACGGUCAUAGCUGAAGAGAAGUGUUGAUUCCAUGAUGCAGGAAUCGGCACCUCCUCUUCGUCUGACUCAUGAGACUCAUCGUCAUAAGAACUACGACCAUCUGUAUCUUCAUCCUCCAUCUCGUUCUGCAACUGACCAUCUUCUUCGUCCGCAUCUGCCUCGCCAGUGUACUCAUCCUCUCCUACUGCCCUGGAGCUCUGGCCUGAUUCAUAACCACCACCUCCAGCAUUCGACACAGAGUUUGUAUUGGACAAGUCAUAACUUGAUUCACCCUCGCUUUCAGCUGGAUUGGUCUCAUGAGCGACAACCUGGAUUAAGGCGACAGGUGUAGUUCCCCUUUUCUCGCAACUUUCUAACUAGCGCACCCACUUUGAUGUCCGUUCUAUCGGCCUCAAAACCCAGAAAAUAUUCGAACUUGACUUGGUCCACAAUGCUUGCACAAGGACGGUGUAUGUUUCAGGAUUGACCGCUAAACAUCCUGCCAACCAUUCCUGCAGCUGACUAAACGUCCAUGUUUGAGGGGCUGUUAGAUCCAACUCCACAUACUUAAACUGACUCAGAUCAGCUCCGUGCUCGGUUGUUAAGACAGUACCGGAACCGUAGUAAAAAACAAACUUCACUACACCGGACAUCUCUGAUGCCUAAAAAAAUGUUUAGACGCGUCAAAUACUAAGCAGUACGGCAUAUUAAAAAUAUUAAUACGUGACAAAUACUAAACAAUACGGCAUAUAAAAAAAAUUUAGACGCGUCAAAUACUAAGCAGUACGGCAUAUAAAAAAUAUUAAGACCGUCAAAUACUAAGCAGUACGGCAUAUUAAAAUUUUUAAUACGUGACAAAUACUAAACAAUACGGCAUAUAAAAAAUGUUUAGACGUGUCAAAUACUAAGCAGUACGGCAUAUAAAAAAUAUUAAGACCGUCAAAUACUAAGCAGUAUGGCAUAUUAAAAAUAUUAAUAUGCGUCAAAUACUAAGCAGUACGGCAUAUAAAAAAUGUUUAGACGCGUCAAAUACUAAGCAGUACGGCCUAUAAAAAAAAUUUAGACGCGUCAAAUACUAAGCAGUACGGCAUAUAAAAAUAUUAGAACGCGUCAAAUACUAAGCAGUACGGCAUAUUAAAAAUAUUAAUACGCGUCAAAUACUAAGCAGUACGGCAUAUUAAAAAUAUUAAUACGCGUCAAAUACUAAGCAGUACGGCAUCAGAAAAAAUCUAUUCUAUCAAAAUAUAUUACUACCGGCCAUAAUAUUUAGACGCAUCAAAUACUAAGCUGUACGACAUUAACAGUUGUCCAAAAUAAUGAGCUCUACAAAACGCUAAAACAUACUUCUAUAUAUACAUACACACGUAUCCUCAUAAACAUAUACAUUAUAGGAUAAAUACGUGAGAGAUUAGGAUUUACCCUUGAAGCGUGUGAACCCCAACCUCGAGCAGCCUCACAGUCACCGGAUGGGCACCACCACCACCUCCAAACCCUUCCAAACCACCACCAUUGCCCCAACUUAGCAACACGAAAUUAGCUCAAAAUGUUCAACAAAAAGAUUAGAUCAAGGUGUCAUUGGGUGCUAAAUAGCAAGGGGAUGCAGUUUUGUGGGUUAAACGGGAUCAAAACUCACUCAUUUUGGCAAGAAUUUGGGGGCAUUUUUGAGGAAGAAGAAGAGGAGAAGAAGAACACAAGGUGCAGCCAGCAGGAAGAAGAAGAGGGCUCGGUGGACUGGGCUCGCGCGAUGGGAAGUGAGGAAAGGAAAGGAAAAGGAGAAAAAGAAAAAAGAGAAAAGGAUUUCCCGGGAGGCCUGUCGGCCUGGGCCAGGCCGACAGGCUCGAGUGGGCCCCGCGCGCUCGGCAGCCGGCCUCGGCCAGGCCGACUGGGCCUACUCGGCUUGGGCCAGGCUGACUGGGCCCAAUCGGUCUAGCCCAGCCCGAGGCCGUAAUAUUUUUGAGAUUUUUGGAAAGCGCGUAUUAUUUUCGGAAAUGAUUAAAAAAUUCGUAUUAUUUAUAAAAAAUUAGCGGAGUACGAGCAACCUCCAGGGCUGCCUCAGAACCCGACGAAGACCGCGGCACACCAAAACGGGGCCGAGGAGCUCGCGCAGUUUACACCCAGCCAGAAAAAUCCACCUCCACACCUGGUGACCCCUCAAAACGUGUGGUCAACACAUUGGCGGAAGAAGGCGGAAUAUUGCCGGAGGACGGAACAUUAGACGAAGAUUCCGAAUUUUUCGCCCUUUUAUUAUACUUAUCUAAUUUAUCAUCAUCACGAUCAUGAGAUUUGUCGUUGGACUCAUCAUCACGCUCCAUAGGAGUGGGCCCGACAGUGGAAUCAACAUGAAAAUCCACGGGUUCCAAAGAGAAUUGCAGCACAUACCCAAUUUUUGCCAUUGCGACAUCCACAUCAACCGAAAAGAGCGUGGGAUCCAGCACAGUGACCUUAAUGCGGACAUCCCUCUCUUCCGAAAACAGAACAUAUCGACAUCCUCGGUGACGCCAACUACAAAGCCGGCCGCCCACAUCCCAAGAAAAUGUUUCAAGGAUGGAGGCACACCUUUAACAUGUACCCAGACCAUGUGCAAGUGGAAGGCAGCUGGAACCUCAUCGGGAUUCCACUCGCUAAAUUUCAACGAGACAUUCUGGGACUUUAAACGAAUCUCCAAAUUCGCGAACCGCUGGAGCUCCUCUUGUGAGGGAAAAGCCACCACGAAAGCAUUGUUGCCGUGGGGGAUUGCCUCCCAAGUCCAGGAACUCGUAGUUGGAAUCAUACGGCGAAGCUCCGCUUCGAGCACUUCCGCCAAAAUAGCCCCUCCCGACACAGAAACCAAGGCGGUAGGGGAUAUGCUUGGCGCAACCCCGUUACCAGCCAUUGCUUCUUCGGGAAUCUGAAAAAAAAAACCAUCUUAUCACCGUCAUAGCCACAUAGCCUUGCGGUUGGACGGGGCAUUUUCAAGAUAGGACACCGGAGCUCAUUGUGAUCAUGUUUGUCGCACACCACACAGUACACAUCUACCGGGCACUCUUUGGUCACAUGAUCAACGCCAACAUAUCAUUUUCUUCUUUUUUUCUUUAGCAGCACCACCUUGACGAUCAUCAGGUUGACGAGGAACAACAGGGGGUGGCGCGAUUACCUGCGGCGGAAGGCGACCGCGAGGAGCAGCCAGCCCCGCAGCAACCUCGCCCCCUACAGCGACCACCGGCAAGCUCCUCGGGCCGGCUCCGAAGGAGAAACCACCACCACCAGAGGCGCUGCCCGAACCAAAGGCGGAUGGCGGCAGCGCCGAGAAGGAACGAACCUCCGGGACAGUCGGCCGGGGAGGCGCGCCCUGAGAAGAAGGUGAACCCUGGGAUGCAGCCGUGACCGCCCCGCCCAUCAUCCGUCCGCGAGGAUGCUGGAACUGCCCCCCCACGGCCGGAAGUGAACGGCCGCCUCCUGCCGCAGGAGACGCAUGGCUACCACCCGUUGUCAAUGGCGCACGGCCAUUGGAGCUUGAGGCCGCACCAUCGCCCGAGAGGACAGCCUUUCCACGACUGCCGCCUGCACCAGACAUAACAACGUAAUGUUUUUCUAUUAGUGCAAACCGAAAGAUCAAAUCUACAAAAUUCAUGUGCUUUUUUAUUCUCUGUUUUGCGCAUGCAUUCUUACCUUAUUCCUGAGUGUUCAUAAUGCUGAGAAUGAAAGACCAUAGCGGUACAAAAAACUUGCAUCAUGUGCUGCACGGAAAAACAAAUGUCACCAGCACCGUUGCGUCCAAAUUACUCCUAAAAUAAUGCACGCGUCAAACUUUGUUUGAUUCUCAAUGUAUGGAUAAUCUAGACAAAUAGUACUCCGUAUAAUAUAUGGUCCUGGCAAGGAACUACAAAUAUGAUACAUCCAUCUUGAUUCAUACUAGUACACAAUCUUUAAGCUCCUGAUCCCCUCUCUCUCAUGCCAUCUCCACUAACCACAAGUAAUUACCAUAGAGCAAGUCUUUGGAUUCUUUCCCAAACUUUUCUCAUCAACCAACGAUCUACCUAAAGAUAGCCAAGUUUCCACUUUCAGCUGGCAGCAGCCAUGGGCGCCUCCACUCCUCGCCCCCAUUCCAGCUCCCGGCAGACGCUUCCACGCCUCACCAAGAAGAUCCUCACCUUCGCGGUCUACGCCCUCGUCCCACUCGCCCUCCUCCACUACUUAAUCUCCUCUCUUCCCAUCGCCGACCCUUCCCAUUCCCCCUUGGCUCCCCACGGUAAUCAACCGCCGCAUUCAAAGACUCGCCCGAUGUGGCGCAGCGCAAUGACAAGGCUCUCUUUUUUUGGUUUGUAGGGGGUAAUAAGGAGCAGCAGGCCGGGGCAAGAAAGCAGAUGCUGAAGGUGGCUCCGGCGGCGGCGCGGCCGCGGUGCGACUACUCGGAUGGGGAAUGGGUGCGGGACGCGGCGGGGCCGCGGUACAACGGGUCGAGCUGCGGCGGGACGAUCAAGGACGGGCAGAACUGCAUGGCGCACGGCCGGCCGGACAAGGGUUACCUGUACUGGCGGUGGCGGCCGCGCGGACACGGGUGCGCGCUCCCGCCCUUCUCGCCGGGGGAGUUCCUGGAGCUCGUGCGCGGCCGCCACGUGGCUUUCGUGGGCGACUCGCUGGCGCGGAACCAGUGCGAGUCGCUGGUGUGCCUCCUGGGCUCCGAGUUCCCCGCCGAGCUCGUCCUCGGCGCCGGGGGCGAGGGCGAGGAGGAGCGCAAGUUCCGGCGGUGGGAGUUCCGGUCGCACAACGCGACGGUGUCCGUGUUCUGGUCGCCGUUCCUGGUCAACGGCACGGAGAAGUCGUCUGCGCCGGGCGGGGUCGACCACAACAGGCUCUACCUGGACCAGCCGGACGAGCGCUGGGCGGCGGAGCUCCCGGGGAUGGACGUGGUGGUGCUCUCCAUCGGGCACUGGUUCCUGCACCCGGCCAUGUACUACGAGCGCGGCGCCGUGAUCGGGUGCCACCACUGCCCGGAGCCCAUCCACCCGGAGACGGGCUUCUUCGGCGUGUUCCGCCUCGCCGUCAAGAACGCGCUCCGCGAGAUCAUCGCCCGCGCCAGCUCCAGCGCCGGGCGUCGGGAGAAGAAGCUGGCCGUGGUGGCGACGUUCUCGCCGGCGCACUUCGACGGGGAGUGGGACAGCCCCGACGCGUGCGCGCGGUCGGAGCCGUACGCGCCGGGGGAGAAGGAGAUGCGGUACAUGGACCGGGAGCUGUGGCGGACGGAGGUCGAGGAGGCCGCCGCGGCAGCCGACGAGGCCAGGGUGCGCGGGUCCGCCGUGACGGUGGAGGCGCUCCAGGUGACGAAGCUGGCGGACAUGCGCGCCGACGGGCACCCUGGCCCGUACAUGCACGCCGGCGGCGGCGGCGGCGGCGGCGACCGAGUGGCCAACGACUGCGUGCACUGGUGCCUCCCUGGUCCCAUCGACACGUGGAACGAGAUCUUGCUGCGGAUGGUCAAGCGGUGGAGGCAGGGUCCUCCGUAGUUCGUGGCUAAUUAGAAUUUCACGUACUAGUAGGUUUCUUUUAGGAAAUUUAUCAUUUAUAUGCGGAAUCAUUACGGUUUAUCAAUGGUUCAAACAAACUUUUCAGUGGUUUAAGCGGUGUGCUGGUAGUGUGAGAACGAGAUGCAAUACUAAGAUCGAUCUUGGAAUCGAGCAUCUGCGCGUGACACCUCUCAUCUCAGUCGGCGUGCCGAACCGGCGUCAAAUGCGGAUCGUGGCGAAAGGUGUUACCGCUGACCUUUUCCGUUCCAUUCAUUGCUGUGAUGAGUUACUCCAUGGUCAACAAUGUCGAUUAUUAAUGUCGGCAGUACCAUCGAAGUUCGAAAAGGAAAUAUUGUCGGUAACGCCAUCGCAUCGAUAGGGGGUCAGGGACACCAAUUCAGGAAUUCACCAUUGCCGCCGAGUCACACAUGUAUAGAGUGACCUAUUCUCAUUUCUCGCCCACGUUGUAAGCAUGAAUAUAUUUGUAACUAUGUUUUUCUAUUGCAUGCGCAGUGCCAAAUUGUUAAAUUCAGAAAGGAGUUCCCAUGCACGUAGCUCCACUGUAAUCUGAACAAGGCUGUGUCACUACCUAACUCUUUAGUUUCUAACUAUUAUUGAGUAAUAGAAUACCGUUCUAGGCUUUGGUCUCCUUUCAUCGGGCAAAUUUGAUACUGCAAUGCUGAAAGUUCAUGUAAAGUUGUUAUAUAUCCUGCGGACCGCUGAAAGUGGGACAUCGUUUCUUCUAAUAUAUAUUUAUUUAAUUAACAUUGAAUUGGCAUACUUUUUCCUUGGUUUUGUAUAUACUUUUUGACGGGGCAUGACAGGUGCUCUGCUGAUUCAUUAGAAAGAGAGAAUAUUUUCAGUACAAGGAGCCAAAGGAAGGUGUCGAGACACCUCCAGAAGACAGCAGAAAAGGAGAAAACGAUGAUGUAAUUACAGCUUGGCUGUGCAAUGCCCAGCUUACAAACCCUUCGCAAGUUUUGUAUAUACUUGAAAAUCUAAUUGAGGUAUCUUUUCCUUCAGAGUAGAAUCCACAUGUCCAGAUCGGUAGAAGAGACCAUCUGCAUCUUGAGGGAGCUAAUUCCCCUCUGCGCAUCUCUACAACAUCAGAAUUUGUAAAACCAUACAGAAUUAGGCUAGUGAAUUUAUUUUUUAGGGUUCUCAGAGAUAGAAGAGUCCCAGGCACAAUCAGAAACAUAUGAACAUCACUAGCUUCAAUGUAAUAAACUAAUCAAUAUUAUCGGUGAUUACAAGAGGAGAUACAGGUGAUCAUGCCUAGAAUAGUACAAGGAUCUGGUCACCAAUAAUGAGAAGCCCCAUAACCCCUUCCCACUCCACAAACGUCAGUGAACUACCACCUCUUUUCUGGAAGUAAACUAAGCUCCAAAUCAACAUACUACCUCCUUUCUGUAAGUGAAAUGAGGCUCCACAUCAACAUGUACACUGCUGGACAGUGUUGUCCAUUAUAAAUGUUCACAGGAUUUCCCCAGAAUGCCGCAGAUUUUUAUCUGAAUAUCUCACUGCCUUUGCUGCUAAUUUCCGAUAUGUAUUCCUUGCUCUGUUUGUCACUCCGAUUCCUCGCCAGUAUCACUUGAAAUCCUUCCUAGAUCUUCGACAAUUUUAGACAUUAGUGAUCUAAAUUCUGGUUCCGGCUGCAUAAGAAAUUUUACCUCAGCCAAGUGGUCUGUAAAUUAAUCUCAUAUUGCUGUUCUCGAUGGGCAGGACGACGGCUAUAGGUUGAUAUGGGGAAAGAUGAGGGCGGCGACGCGGGCUAGGUGAAGAGCGGCAGUGCACUGUGAGGAGGGCAAAUGCGGCGGCGCGCUGCUAGGUCGGCGGCACGAGCUGGGUGGAGGGCCGAGGGCGGCUGCGGCGCGCUGGAGGAGGGCGAGGGCGGCGGCGCCGCGGGCUGGAUGUAGGGCGGCGGAGGAGGCACGCGCUGGGGCGAGGGCGAGGGCCAGGGAGGCGACGCCACGGGCGGGUCGAGGGCGGCGGGCCAGUGGCGCUGGGAUAGGCGGCGUGUCCUCUGUGAAACUAGGGAGCAGAGAGGGCUCAGGAGGGAGGGAGACGACCAGUUUUUUUAUUUUUAGUAAUGUAAAAAUAUGAAAAGACUGAUAUACCCUUAGCUAAUACUCCGGGGUGGAUGGAGUAUUGGGCAUGAGAGAAUUUGCCUCACAGAAAAUACGCCACCUGCUAAUAGCGUUCAGAAUUGCUAACGCACGAUGGCGUCAAAAUUCCAUAUAUGCACGCCAACCAUUUGGCUUCAGAUUUGCUUUGCAAUUGCGGAUAAAAGUUGUGUGUGCCAUGGUGAAAUCAGCUGGAACAUAUAAAAAAUAGUGAUUUGACAAGUUGAUCCGUCAAUCAUCGUACUUAUGCAGGUUUGACAACUUGUAAGGAUAGGUGAAAGUUACCUGUAAUCAACAGAUGAUGACACGUCAUAAAAUUAUUUUGCAGAUGCACCUCGCCAACUCCCAGAGUUAAGUGCACAGAAUCAAAUUACCAAAAUACAUAAUGUAAGUACAUUCUAUGGUUUCUCAUACAACAAUAAAUUGGCAUUUCUAUUGGGGUCUGCCCCUAAAUUAAAAUACCCAACACAUAUGAGAUACUUUCCCACCUGUUCAGUGUUAGCCAAUCUCGAGACCAAAAGAAUGAAGACAUCACAAUCAGUUUCAACUCCAAGGCACACACACACUGACACACACAGGAAACCAACAUUACAAUAAACAUGAAAAUGGGUAAUAGUUUGCGAAGUCUCUACAAUUGAGGAGGGGAUAUUAUAAACCAAAAAGAUUAAAGAAACAAAUACUGUAUUCAUUAGGAUACAGUAUGAUCUACCUUUUUUUCCGACUUGGUUUUUCACAAACUGGGCGAAUUGCACAAGGAAAUGCAAAUAAUAUCAUUAUGAUGUCCUUGUUAAAUAUGAUUGUCCGUACAUAUGUUCUUGACAUUGUACAGGUUACAACAACCCCUGUAAAUAAUAAAUGCACAGUCAGAUCUAAAUUUUACCAUUUGCAAUAUUGAAGAACAUUGAAUAGUCAUUAUCCUUCCGAUCCAUAAUAGUAAGUGUCUUGGAUUUAGUACAAACUUGUACUAACUUUGUACUAAAUCCAAGACACUUAUUAUGGAUCGGAGGGAGUACCAACUAGAAAAUUUGUGUCUUGUAAUGCACUAAUCUCAAAGUAAUAACAGCAACAAAAGGGAUUCUUCCUUUGGUCCUCUAUAUCUCUAGAUAUUGAGCACCAUAAAAAAGAUUCCUUCUCUGUUUCUCUAUGCCUCUAUGCACUGCAAACUCAUCUAUUUUUUAUGUUGUUUUCUGUGUUCCACUCAUUAUUCAUUUGUAUUUCAUUCAUGUUUGCAGCCUCUUUUCAACUACUAUGUUAAUUUCUUCAUUCACCUAUUCAUUUUUCAUACUCAAACUCUACUAAUUGUUUUAUAUUUAUAAUCUAUCUGCUACAACACCACAAAAAAAAAGCUACCAAAUAUCUAUAAAAAUCUCUUGCAUUCUCUUUUUAUUCUUAUCUGCACACUUAGCCGAUUAGUGACAGUCUGGAAAAACGCUAGUCUAAAUUUCUCUCUACUUUACUGGUACACAAGAAGAUACUGGUAGUUGCUAGAGCACAAACAUGAAAAACAAUGCUUCUUCUCUAACCACACACCUCGCUACCUGGUGAAAAGAGGUGGAGCGUGUGGAGCAGCACAUGACCGCCCGGGAAGGGCACGAAGCAGCGCCAAGAAAAAAAAAAAGCAGCAGCUUGUGGAAGGCGUGGCACUCGCCUCCUCCUCCAUUACUCCUCUUCCCCACAUUGCUGCUCGCCCGGAGUCCUACCUCCAAGCGAUCCAAUGAAACCGUGCACCACCCCGACGAUUCGACAUCCGAGGAGAAUUGUGAAGAUGAGAAAAAGGCAAGGACCCGAUCAUCUACCCCCAUUACUCAACCCAAACUGAAGCCAAGGUACCUUCACGUUCCACCAAAUCAUAUUGUUUAGUUUUCUGACCCCCUCUUUAUACGAAUACUAAGAACAGGGUGGGAAACGGUGAUUUAUGUAUGCAGUCAUUCCGAACAAGACCAUGGAGGGUCCUGUUUUGCCAAACAUAUAGCAAAUUGAUCGAAUCCAGUUUUUUAGUUUGACUAUGCAGAUUACUUCACUGCAUCUAUACCCACAGAGAUACUAAUACCUCUGCAAAAAUGGACCGACUGAGUAGUCAACUCUAAUUCAACACGGUGAAAUCCUAUUCACCUCCUAGUUUUGCUAAUAAUUCAGCAUCGUAUCUUGAAAUUUUUAGUACAAAGCAGAUCAGAGAAUCAACAAUCCAAUCUCACAUCAAAUCUAAUCUUUUCAGUUCAAAAUCGAGCAAGAUCGUACCUCUCAGUCGGCUCCAGCGCCGCCGCUGCCACCGAGCGGGUAUGACACGACCUCCCUGACCACCGGCGCGACCUCGACCAGCGCGAUGUCCAUCCCGUAUCCGGAGACGGGCAGCAGCUUGAGGUCGCGGAGCACGCAGAAGGCCUCGGCCAUACGGCCGCGGGGCACAUCGAUGGCGACGGCGCACCGCGGGACCCAGUUAUCGGGGCGGAACCCGUCGGGCACCUCGAGGCCCGCAUCCUUGCGGAGCAGUUCGCAGAGCUGCGCGUGGAGGCCGAGCAGCGCGGCCGAGGGCGUGGGCGAGAGGAAGAGCACCCCGGCGUCAAGGGACGAUGGGGGCGACGCAAGCGAGGAGAGCGCGAGCGGGAGCGGAUCGAGGCGAGACGCCAGCGCGCGGAGGCAGGGGGCGAGGCGUAGCGGGUCUGGGAGCGCGGCGGCUGGGAGGUGGAGCAAGGGGAGGUGCGGACGGGACGCGGUGUCGAUGAGGCGGCUGCUGAGCUGCCGCCGAGCCAGCGCGUUCCACGCCUUGAGCACCUGGUUCUCCAGCGCGGGGUCGAAGUAGAGCUCGACCGCGUAGUGGCCGGAAGGGGCCGCCGCCGCCGCCGGCGACGGCUGGGGCCCGCGAGGGGUGCCCGGGGGAGUCGUCGCGACCGCUGCGGAGGUGGAGAAAACGCCGCCGCCGCCGCCCGCUGAGGGCGCGGUGCCUUGCGCCAUGGCGAGGGCGGCGAGCUCUAGAUGCGCGAUUCCGACAGGGAGGCGAGCGGGUCGGAGGAGUCGAGCUGGGUUUGGGAUUUCCGCUGGAGCUGAGAAAUUUGGGAGAGAUCUCGUCGUGCGACUGUGAUACUCUGCUGUGGUGUACACGCUUGGAAUAGCUACAGUCCGGCGAGGCGCUGACGUCUGGGGCCCACGUAGACGCGGCACUGGUUUGGUUUGGAGCGUGUUGAUUUUCCCGAUUGGUCAACUUGAAAUUUCUUGCGUCCAUAAUGUCCAGGUGUUGGAUUAGGUUACCUUCUGCCUCGAAAAUUUAGUCUAGUAUGUUUUUUCUUUGCUCCGUACCAGAUUUAGACUAGUACCUAUGUUGAUAAGUUCGUAACACUAAUUUUACAUCAAAAGAUUAAUAUAAAGCAUUGGAAUAACGGCUCGCGUUAACUCAUCCGCGCCUACGCACCAUGCAUGCAAGCCGCUAGAAGCAGAGGCAAGCAUGCUAGCAGCAGUAGAUGUCCAUGCGCGCACGUCUUAUUUUGUCAAAUGCAACUUUAAAUCUCUCAAACCAAACAUUUAAUUUAAGAUCCGUCUUCGUGGUUAAUUUUGUUUCGAUGAGAUCUUCGAACAAGAUCUCAUAUUGAUAUGUUCCGAUCAAAAAAAUAUCAUAUUAAAAGUUGCCAGAGACACCGGCCACUAUAGAUGAUAAAUCUAUAAAUUUAAUUACUGCAGAAAUGCAAAGCUAUCAAGUGAACUAAAUAGCCAAAAGCAUACUCUCUCCAUUUCACAUCCAUUUCACAAAGAUUGACGUAUUUUGUUUCGCUAAGACAAGCAUUUGACCAAGAAUUAAUUUAUUAAUAUGUAAGUUAUAUGAUACGAAACCAUGAUCAUUAGCAAGUACUUUUAAAGACGAAUCCAUUGAUAUAAAUUUCAUGCAUGAAAAAUCACAUAUUAAUAAAGUUUUUAUCGGUCAAAGUCUUGUCUUAACGAAACAAAAUACGCCAAGCUUUAUGAAAUGGAGGGAGUAUAUCAUAACGUGAAAUAUAUAGUAGAAUAAUCUUUAUAGGAAAUGAGCAGUGAGUAGUGCUAAGAAACUAAUCUGCUGAACAGAAGCAGUACGUACCCUUAGGAGCAUCAAGCUAGCUAUAUAUACAUUGAGGAAAACAAACGAGCCAACAAAAAAGAAAAAUCUUAGAACAAAAUGAGAAGUCGAUAACCAACUUCUAGGAGAGACAUAAUUAACUGCAUUGAUCUCGGUAGCUACGCCACCCACGGAAUUUAAAGAGCCUAAAGAAGCAUGGGUCAUAUAUUUCGCUGAACGUCGUUCUUGCCAAGGUUGUAUGUCUUUUUUUCAACCUACUCAAGUCCAUCAAGUAAUUACUGAAGAUGAACUUCCCUAGCUAAUAAACGGUAUAGACAGUGAAAGUAGUACUGCCGCAACACGUAUGGUCGCCGGCCAGGGGCGGCGCUAGUGGCGGUAGAGACAGCGCUGGGCGCCAUAGGGGCAGGCCGUGCCGUAACGGCAUAGCUCGGUCCGGUACUUUGGACGAGUUGGAAUUAGAAGGGCAAAAUUAGAGUCUUCACUUAUUUUAAAGUGAUUUUUAAUGAGCUGAUUAGUAACUAUUAACUAAAAUGAAAUUUCGGGGUGGCCCCUCCCGCCCCCCCCCCCCCCCACCUCCCCCACGAUCCGUCCCUGAGUGUGCCUGAUCUCUCUCUGAUCCAGAUGCUAAUGUUAUGACCCUUGGUUGGUAAGAAAAGAAACCAUGCAUACAGAUGGGUGUCAUAUGUGCCAAUGUGUGUCUCACAGAUACAGCUUAUGUUAAUUUGUCCUGCAACGUUAUAUCACUACUACAGAAAAGUUUAUCAGUAACAGUCGGAAAAUCUCAUCAUUAACGGGCGGGGCGACCGUCACUAACUUCCUACCAUCAGUGGCAGGCGGCCCACCCAUUAGUGAUGAUUCCCAUCAUCAGUGACGGUCACGUUUACGCGUCCGUCACUGAUGAUGGAAAUCAUCACUAACGGUCGCUAUGAUCCAUCAGUGUGGUAAUUAAAAAAUGAGAGCGGAUUUUUGGCCUGUACAUUCACUGGCUUGUGCUAUCCUGCCCUCCGUUACUGCGCCAAUUUGGCCUGUACAUUCACUGGCUUGUGCUAUCCUUCCCUCCGUCACUGCGCCAAGAUCAGUGCGCUGUGGUGCUUGGUCGACCAGUGCUCAGCUCCUCCCCUAUGGGCCGGAUGAAAAAAGGGCCUCCUCAGCCUGCAUCCCGCGUACGGUCGAAUCGGCCGUUUUUUCGGUGCAUCGGCCCUUUUCUCUCGUCUCUCUCUUCGCGACGCGGUUCCCGUGCUCGCCGCCGGCUCGAUUGGUUCCGCCGCUGAAUCCUCCGCCCUCCUAGACCUCAUCUGCAGCCGCAGCGCCGCCUUCAGGGGCUUGAUUUGGUCCGCCAGCUCGAUUGGGUAAGGCAGGCGGCAGGGCAGGCGUUUCUUCUCCUCCUCCUCCUCCUCCUCCUCCUCCUCCUCCUCUGCCAUUGUUCCUCCUCGUCCGCCGUCAGGUGCCGCCCGCUCCAUCUCUUCCGCCUCCUGUCGUCGUUCCUCUGCCCCGCCUGCAGCCCCAUCAUGCAUCGAACACCAAACACGCGGCUGCAACUUGACGAUGCACCCCAGCUGCUGCAUCCCUUGCUACAGCACCGCUCGUGCGAUGCACCCCAGCGCCUGCAGAAGAACCAAACACGCCCUAUACUGCCCCGGGAAUUCGGUCGCGACAUGCGCCUACCCCCGUGCGUAGGUGGGCCGAGACCAUGGUUAAUCGAGCCCAGGCAGGUACGGGACGCAGGCGCCCUCCGCAUAGCACGGUCCCGCGUCGACCGCAAUCGAAGAAAGGGGAGGAGAAACGAUGACGUCUUGUCCGGCGCCGGACCAAGAUCGGGUCGUACAACGAGAGGAACUACUCUCUUCCUCGUCUCGUACUCCACCACCCUCCUAGUCUCCCACCCCUCGCCAGCUCAUGUACCAAUUUCGACAUCCUGUCCCGCCAGGCGAAGCUGUCAGCGAGGAGGUCGGCGGCGCCCUCGAAGACGUGGAGGACGUGGACAGUCGCGGGCCAGUCGCCGCGGAGCUCCUCCGUCGACCGCGCCGACACAUCACACACCCGAAGGAGCUGUUGAGCAGGCCGGCGUCCGCGAGGCGGUUACGCGACAGGUCGAGCGACACCAGCUAUGGUGGGAACGGGACGCCUCGUCCGUGAGGGAAUUCUUAGUCAGGUUUAAGACCUGCAGGUGGGUCGCAGGACGCCGGAAAACACCGAGGGCAUCUUCGCGCUGAAGGCGUUCGAUCAUAUGUCCACCUCGAUGAGAGUGCACGAGAUUUUGUUCGUCGGCGAGGUCCAUGCCUCUGAGGUUGACGGCGACGACUCGGCUGUCGAGCUUGUCAGACGAGACGUCGGGCCACAAACAAGGUGCAGCGGAGUACGCGCUAGUGCUACCCGACGCCACGCUCGUGAGGGCCAUCUGUGUACUGUUAAUCUCUUGCUCGAUAAUCGACCAGCAUAUACACUUCAGGAUACGGAAGCUGAUCCGAUUGAUCCGAAAGGGGCCAGCGCCCGAGUCGCUGCUGUGAACCGCGCCGCGCUCGUGGGCGCAUUCGGGCGCACGCUGCGGCAGCUGGAAUGCUGGAUGCGUCAGAGGCAGUGGGAAGGAGUGGCUGGAGGGGAGCUGACGGAGCUCGCCGAGUGCGCGGCCGGGCGGAGGCCCGAGGCAAGGCAGAGUUGCCCAGCGCGGUGGCGGCACCGAGGAGGUUGUAAAAGGGACAAGGAGCGCCGAGGAGGUUGUGCUAGAAAUCAUUUUCUGCAGAAGAUGGACAGAGACGCAAUGUGCUUCCUCUUCUAUGGCAUCUGGUCAUCUGGAUGAUGUAACACUGAAAUAACUUGAUGUUUAUGCUCCGUAUUGGUGCCACACAAUUGAAAUAUCUAAUUGACAUGAUUGCUCCACUUGGUUCAUUUCUCUUUCGCCUCUUUGAUGAGACCACGUUUCAAUUAAAUCCUAGUGUUACUAUCUUAUUUCAUCAUACUAUGCAAACAAUGAAACAAGAUACCGGUACAUUGGAAAAUAAAUAAAUAUAGGCAACAAAUUCCUUAGCUAAAUCAGGUGAAAGGUAUCGGUUGUACAGAAAUAACAAACCACCAGUACAGAAUACAGAUACAACGAAGAGAGAAAACACCAGCAAAAUCUUUACAAUUUUCGCUGCACUUUGCAAGAAGCAAGAUCAAAUUGUCAAUAUUGAAAGAAUUCCUUGUUAACGAAUCAGGCGAGGAAGCAUGGCAACUCUGCAGAUUGAUCUCAAAACUGCAACCUUGCGAGGAUCAAAUGUUAGGCAUCAGCGAUCAGUGGCAGCAUCCGUCUGCGCCCGGCACGGGAACGGUGAGAACUCCACCAGCACAGGCUGCAGCUCCAAUCGCUGGCGAGGAUCUUGCCAUUGUCCGUGGAGUCCGAUCAAUGCUCCGGCAGGCAGAGCAGCACGAGCUGCACGCAGAGCGUGGCCUGGUCCUUGUCUUAGGCGUCGUUCAGCCACUCGUCCAUUAGCUCGAGCACGUUGCCUGCACGCGAGAGGUGCCAGCACCAGGUCACCAGACACCAGGUUGGCGCCCCGAAGGUUGAAGAAGACGAGGCUACCGAGCCACGCGACGCGGCCGGUGCGCUCGACGCUGCCCCGUGUGCCAGACGCUCUCCCGCAUGUGGAUCUCCUCCACCUUGUUGCGGAGGAGCUCGACAAGGAUCGUCCACGUGAGGACGAGACGGGCACGCAGCGGGAGCUCGGGUGGGUCGACCACGGCGCCGGCGAUGCUGCUGCUCGCGGCCGCGGAGAGACAGAGACAGGGAGAGGUGGGGCGGCGCCGUGGUCGAAGGACGAGGGACCGUCCUUGGGGAAGAGGGUCCUGGGGAGAAAACGGACGGUGGUGGAACUCGCCCGCGGUUGGCGGCGCCGUCAGCCUCAGUGCACGGAGGAACGCGGCGUGGAGGAGGGAGGGAGGCGGCAGCAAACGGCACCAAACGCGCUCCUCCACCUCAUCUACGCCGAGAUCGGCGCGAGAAGCCCGCCGGAUUGGUUGGUUGACUAGGAUCUGGAACCACAAGAGCUUGGCUUCGGGGGGUUGCUGUCCAUCAGUCCAUGGUGGGCGGCCGGAUUGCUGCAGGGGGCGCAGGAGGGCGGCGGGGAAUGGAUUUUUUCUCGUGGCUUGACAGGAGACGGCCGGACGACGGGAUGGGAGGUUGGGGAUGGCGAGUGUUUGAAUUGGGGGCAACAAGGUGCUGUGGUUUUGGGGAAAAGAUGGGGCAUAUUGCCUUUCACAACGCGUCUUGACAGGAGACGGCCGGACGACGGGAUGGGAGGUUGGUUCUUUGCUCGCUGCUGCACCCCCUCGCCGAAUCACAACGCGUCUGGUGCGAUCCAACGGCAACCAACGUAAUGUACAGGCCAAAAUGCAUUUCCCUUUAAAAAAUAAUUAAAUUGUUUCCGGAACACAUAAUAUACAACACAUAUAUGAACAGAAAAUACACAGCAUAUGAACAAAAAUACACAGCACAUAUAUUUCGAAUUAAAACCACAACCAUUAUUUAAAGCAUACAAAUAUAUCUCAUACAACGUUCACUUCACGAUAUUGAUUACAAAGUUUAAAAAUUUCAUAGUAAAGUCAAGUUUGAAGUUAUUAUCGUGGGCGAACCCUAGUAAGCACGGGUUCCACGCGUUUGAAAAAAGUCCCCACUCGGCUUGAUGAUCUCAUUAUUGAUGAAAUCACUGCUCGGAAAAAGCUUAGCAGCAGCGGUCCGAAUUACACAUCGGUGACGGUAACGCGGGCCGCCACUAAGCCUGCGCUACGGGUGCUAACGAGCACCGGUGGCGGGUAUCAUCACCGCCACAGGUGCUAACCAGCACCAGUGGCGGUUCGCACAACCGCCACUGGUAAUCCAUAGGGAGUUUCAGAAAAUGCACUGGUGACCGUGAGAAAGACAGGCACUGUUAAAUACCAGUGGCGGUGCGUGAUCACGGCCACGGGUGUAUAUAUAUAUAUAUAUAUAUAUAUAUAUCGCACUAUUCUGCACCCCACCGGCCAAGCGAGCCGCACGAACACGGAGCGCGCGCAGGCAGUCUGCAUGCGACGUAGGAAAGUUAGCUUCUGACAAUAUAAUUUGCACCGAUCGUUUGCUACUGUGCUCCCGUUCAGUUAUUUUUGCAUGCGACGUAAGAAAAUUAUGUUUGCAAUGAGCAUUUGUGCCCGCACAGUUAUUUUGCAUGCAUCGUAAGAAAAUUAUGUUGGCAUCCGUCUUGCUGUGUCCAAUUAUUUUGCAUGUGACAUAGGAAAGUUAUGUUGCAUGCACUGCCCUUUCUACAGUAGCUAGCCUCGUACUAGGCAGUUGUACUUCCUUUAGAAAGUAUUAAACUGCUUCCUGUUCCUAAAUUACUCCGAAGCAUAUUAAGGAGACCAGAGGCUGGACGCGCGCAGGAACUUGUUUGAUUAACAAAAUAGAGUGGCAAACGAAAAAAAAUUCAAGCAUCAUUACAGAGGUCAAAUUAAGCAAUCCUGGAGCUUUAUGGAGGGAGCCAAUCUUCUUUUGUCACAACAACGACGAGCACAAAAAACACAUGCCUCACUUAACUGCUCAAGCACUACAACAGCAGAAGAAGAAAGGUAUAGACAUGAUUGUAACUAUGCAAGCCCUUUCAGACACAUCGUUCCUCCCUCAGGCCAGUAACACUUCUCUCCAUCUGACACAAUGACUGCCUGCAAAAUUGCCCAACAUCCUGCAAAUAAUACCAUAACACAAUGUUACUCAACUCUGUGUUUGCAAGAUAUAUUUUUUAAACCAUAUCAAUAUAAUUGAGAAAUGCACCUGUAAGUAAGUUAGUAUUUGCACAUUCUUGCUUGAGUAUUUGUCAUGAGACAUGACGAAACAACAAGAUAUUAGGUUUCAGAUUAUAUCAUCAUCAUUAUCGGCAAUCAUAUUCAUAUCUUAGACUCUAAGCAUGUCCAUUUCAUCAAACAAAGAGGCGAAAGCAAAAAUAUUUAGUCAAACUCACAUCUGAUAAUCCAGUGUGCUUUGAUUCUUGAACCAUACAUAAAUACUUUUCACCUCCUAACCUGCACCGUGUGACAUGAAGAAAAGAGUAAAUAAAGGUGGGAUACAAGUAAACAAGUACUCAGCAGAACAAAAGUUCAAGUUUUAUUAUCCUUAGAAUUUUGUCAACGUUAAACAAGAGUUUACAUAGCAUACCUUACAACAUGCUCACAAGUAAAAUUAGAGGAAGUUUAGCUCUCUGAAUGUGGUAACAGCUCUUCCACCUCAAUCCUAGAGCUAAAAUAGCCCAUGUUUCUCUUCCUCUAGUGGACAAUCUCAACCUCUGCCAUAAAAAUACUGUAUACUGGUGUAUGGUCGGAGAAGCUGAGACUCUCCACAAACGUAAAAUAGCUGAUGAGACCAUCACCGUACCAGAGAAUGCAAUCACACCUUUCAAUCCAUAAGCCGAACAUGAAAGGGUUUGAGAUCCACAUGAAUCAGUAAUGUACUGUAAAACAAAGCAGCUCUAUCUGUAUGUUAUAGAAACUAAAGAAACUUACCAUGCAGGUGUUCUCCUCUGAAUUUCGAUGCAUAAGAGUUCUUAAACCUGGUAUGAAGGAAAAACUCCAAGAAUUCCAUUUAAUAAUGAAUUAUUAUAUAAACCUGGUACCACCAGUAUGCUCGUAUUAUAAUCAAGAAAAGCCAACGAACGUUACAAUCUCUCUUAAUUUCAUGAACAUAGUAUCAGCAGUCAACUGUCAGUUUUGAUACACAUCCACAAGGAAAGAGGUUAAAGUCCAAUUUUUCCAAAUAGAUUAGUACAGAUUGUAAUUUUGGAACACAAAAUAAAUCAUUGUUGUAAGCUUGCAAGCACCUUAUUUAAGCUAAACCUGGUUAUGUCCAACCAUAUGAAAACAAUUAUUCCAUUAGCAAUAAAUCAAAUUCCAAAUUAUAUAUGUACGCGAUCAAAGACUUACGGUGCACAAAAUGAAAUCUCUUAGAGGACAACAUAGGGAGGAACUCACAAGAAAACUAACGAAUCACAUGCUAACAAUCGAGAAAAAGGGCAAGAUGACAGAUAAUUAGGAGUUGUAGCGGGCAUUAGAUAGGAUAACAUGAUCUGAAAAGCACAAUAGAGCCUGGAAGAAGGAAAACUUUGAUUAUCCUACAACACACAUUAAAGAAGCAUCAAGAAUACCUUCUACAAACAGCUUAGAGCACACUAAAGGAAGCCAAGUGCACAUUUUUACUGUAACCUCCUCCCCUAGCCUUCUUUCUCUGCACAAAUACUUGACGUGCUAAACCACCUGUAGCAAAUCUUUGUAGUUCCUGGAAUAGACAGGGUUUAGAGUCUGGUAGUUUGCAUUGAGACGAAAUUGCAAAUUCUAAUUACCCAGCAAAGUCUGCUAGUUUCUACAACGAGUCACCCUACCCUUCAUCAGGUUGAAACUAGAGACCUCAAACUUCAUAUAGGAAUAAAAUAAUGGAAGAGAUAAGACCUUGUUGCUUAUAUUUGUGCUGAGACAAAUAUUAGAAUCUUCAUAUAUGUCCCCCUUUGCCAGUCCCAAAUUAUCAAACUUUUGUUUCAGUUGAGCAAGCAAACUAAUAUCUAUUGGGCAAGCCAACUAACAGGAACACCUGAUGAACUCACAUCAGUUCAGCUUUUGACCUAAUUAACUCACAUCAUUUGAGCUUUACUGGUUUGUGUCUAAAUAAUAGAGGAACACUUUGAUCUUUAGGUGAAAAGCUACCAUAAGAUUUAAGGAAAACUCUGAGAGGAAAGCGGGAGCAUUAGAACAUUAAGACAUGACCACAAAGAUGCUUGCUUUCAGCCUCAGCUAAAGAAAAGCAGGACAAAUACAAAUAAGAAAAGAGGAUGUGCAUGAUUUCCUCUCCCUGUUUAUUUUCUGUUCCAGAGGAUGUACAAUCCUGAACGUACUUAAAAAGGAUAUGAUCACGCCAACUCUACUAUGUAAUUUUUCAUAAGCUCAAACAGUGGCAUCAAAUUAAAUACUUCUGCAGACCAGACAAUAAAAUCUUAGUAUUAUUGGUCAGUGUUUCAAUCUUGCAGAGAAGGAAGUAAAGAACAAACCUGCAUUAUGCUAAAAAAAACACUCUCACGAGCAUUCCGUCGAACAGGUGCAAGUCAACUCCAUCCAACAUAAUAUUUCUCAUGGCUGCUGUAAUUAACUAUUCCAGAUGUGAUGGCAGCAACAAAUUUCUCAAUGCUCCAUUGCGUUGGAAUUAAUCAGAGGAAUUUUGCCUCAAAAAACUCAGAUAGAUUCUUGCCUAAAAGAAAAAAAAUACAGAGGAAGAGGAAUUGGUUUGAUUGGUUACCUUUUUCUCAGGGCUGAAUCCGAGCGGCUGCUGCUGCUACCGAGGAGCCAAGCGGCGGCAGCAGCACGAGCAGCAUCUCCAUCUCCAGUUCACGCACGCGCCGGAGAGGGAGAGAGAGAAGGAGGAGGAGGAGGAAGAAGCAGGAGGAGGAGGCUAGCGAGGGGCCUGUUUGACGCUGGGGAUCACGGCUCCGUGGUAGCGCUGAAGCGGACAAGGCUUUGAGCUGCGGAGGAGAAGAUGGGGAUGGAGGUGGACGUCGCCCCAACGACCGGCGCCGGCGCCGGCGCCGCUCAGGCUCGAGCCAUCAUGCCGCGUAGCCAGCCGCCGCCACGCCCCGUGCGCCGCUCCUCCUGCUCUCACGCGCCACCGCCGGCUGCUCCUUCCCUAGGCGUCGCCGCCAGCACCACCUAUCCUCGCCAAUCGCCAGGCCACCCCGGCUCCACCGAACCAAAAAUCCGGAACCGCACACACGAUUUGAGGAAAGUGGGUUUAGCUCGACUAAGAAACUGUCGUUGUAAAAAAGGAGACGAAAUUACGUCUGAGACGACGGAAAAUUAGGUGGGCCGCGCGCAAGGCGCAACUCGCUCUGGUCCAGGUCGGUUCGACCCCGGGUGAAGAACAGUUAUUCUAUAUAUAUAUGUGUGUGUGUGAGAGAGAGAGAGCGCGCGCGCGCGAUAGAUAACAGUAACCGUUCACAAAACUUAUUUAAAAAACAUAGAUAUUCAAUCUUUAACAUUGUACAUCAAAGUUUGAAUACAUCGGCACAAACCCGCCUUCAUAAAAAUCACCGUUUUCCUCCAGGACCUCUUUGUUGAGAAUUGUGGCUAUCUUCCUCUGAAUAUUGAACACAAGAACAGCUGCGUUGUGUCCAUAUUCUGAUUUGGUCUUGAAGUAAUCCACCAUCUGUUGGUAAGUCAUCUUCGUCUUGGGUUUGAAACUGGUGAUCUAAUUGCGGAUGAUGUACGCGCAGUAGUAUCCACAGAAGACCGUACCUUGCGGCUGUUCUAUGCAUGGGAAGUUUUUGUGAUGGGUUAUUUUCUUCCUGCCAUAACUUGGCAACUCAUAACCAGUCACCGCCUUUUUCCACGCCUCUUCGAAGAGUGUUCGGAUGGGUUUGAAGUCGCGCUGCUCAUAGCCUUUCUUCCGUCGGAGUGGAUCGAGAUACGUCACCGACCCUUCUUCGAAAGAGAAGGCCACCACCACCCAAUGUUCGCUGUUUAGAAAAAGAACACACAUUUAUAACCGAAAAGAGAACAACUUAGUGGAACUAGAAAGAAAGCAAUGGUCGUGAGAACAACUUACUCUAAAUGGUAGAGUGUAAGAAUAUAACGUCGUUGCUUGUGCAUUGCGAAGAAAUUAGCUAGGUAUGAAAUUGCCUUCUCUCUCGAACCCCAUUUCCAUUCUUCUAGACCGAUGGUUGCUUUGUUGAACAGGAGAGGAUCGGCGAUGGCAACGUGUGGUUCUUUCAGGCUGAAGGACUCCCUUGUGAAGUAUACACACCAGAGUCUUAAUGUUGUUGUCUAAGCACUUUUGGUUGAAGAAGUGAAACAAGUCAAGGAAGUCCACACCGAAGGUAAAUUCCUUUGUCUGCAGGUCCCCCUUUUCGGCAUCAUAGAAGACAUAAUACGCUGGCACCUUCACAUUCAUCUGUUGAGCAUGUUGUGCAGAAUUAGCUGAUGAUGCCAUGUAGUAGCCAUAUAGCUUUUGAAUCUCUUGCGGCAGGCUCCUUAGGUCCUUAAGGGUGACCAUCGGUUGUCCAGGGUAGACCAUCAGCACUUUUUCGAAUUCCCUGGCCACGAAGUAGGCUCCGCCGACUAAAUCACCAGCUACAGGGGGGGCUUCAUAUUCAAAAUAUCUGGCCGGUUUUCCCAAUUUCCUUCGAUUAUUGGAGGAUUGCUGGGUUGCUUGCCCGUUGAGUCCAACUCUUUACUCUUUGAGUCAUUAGAUCUCUUGCUGAUUUUGGACCCCCUCUUAUUGGUGCGCCGGCGUUUCAAAAACUCGGCCUCCUCUUGAUCCUUGAAGGUCUGGGAGACCUGCUUGCCAGACGCGUACUCCAGCGCCCCCGCCACAGAUUUCCGUGGCACGGGUGCAGGUCGUGGUGGUUGCGAGGGUUGGCUUUCUUUACGGUGGGGCAGCGACGGAUUAGGCGGUGGCGCAUGAGCUGGUGUAGCGUCAUCAUCGCUGCAGUCUUCCGCUAGUUCGAAAUCGAAGCCUCCUUGCCCCGACGUUGGUGAAUCCGGACGUGCCGGCUUAUUGGGGGAUGGGCCAAGGGGCGAUGGAGAGGGAAGUCGUCGAGCGGAAGCCGGUGGAGACGCUACGGGACAUGACAGAGAGGGAGAAGGUUGGGGAGCGAGGACUACCAACCUCCUGGGCCACUGGAUGUACGUGCCCCGGCAUAGCCAUAGAGUCACUGAUUCCUCCUCUGGAGGAUAAGGGACCAGCGUCUUGUCAAAUUCCGGGAGCACGUAGUCCACCUGCACCCUGACAUGAUCCGGGGCCAUGGGUGUGUUGUGCACGACCGGCAUUCUUGGCAUCAGCAUACCACGCGCGCCUACCGGAUUCCCGGUGGAUGGCAUCAAUAUCCGGCAAUUAAUACUCUUCUAUGCGUGACAAACAAAUUAACAUACGUACGUUAGUGUUAUGGUGUGAAGAAUGACGUAAUUGAGUAUACAUAUACUAUGGUACCAGUAAGGAGCUUAUCGGGAUGUCAUCAGAUGGGCCAAUGGGGUCAUUCGGGAGUUCGGUGCCGGAGCCAACAUUGCUCUUAUACGGUGGUGGCGAAUGAUUCGGAGUCGACUGAUGAUCAUUCGGAGUCAUAGGCCUCGGUGUCGCGCCUCGGUUGCCAUCAUAUGUAGCAACGAACUCCUCCAUAGUCUGGCCGGAGUCCCUCGCUGCCUUUUUCGCCACCUCUAUUAUUUCUUCGUGCUUCUCGGCCUUUCUUUUACGGCUCCGGUCUUCUUUCUCUUGAGGAAAGACUUUGUGGCAAAGGGCCCCGGUUCCUAAGGCUCGAAUAUGGCCCCCGUGCUCAUUUCUUCCUAAAGCAUAGCUGAGUGGUGAAUCCCACUGUGCAUGGAGCUCGUCGUGGGAGCCUUCCGACUCAAACUCAGCGACCUUGUCCUAAAAUAAGACAAAGUCGGUGCCAAUUUAUAAGUGAGUGUGUUAGAAGAUGAACUGAAAAAGAAGUGGCGGUUGAGGCCUUACGUUUAAAACUUUCUGGUCUUCACGGAUAGGCUUUAGGCCCGCCCACUGUUCUUUGGUCAUGGUACUCUGCACAAAGGUGGUGGACUGGUCAUGACGGAGCAUUGUUGGGACAGGAGGGACUAUCCCUCUUGCCGCAAGCUCGGCGUCCUCCUUCGCCCACACCGGCUUCUUUCCCUCGAUACCACGACUGCCAAGGCGGUGGUUAAAUUUCCUCUUGGCAUGUAGUGCCGCUUACCACUCUUGGGUUGCUAUGAAUCCUGGAUCCUUUUCCCUCUCCUUGUACUCCUCCCAUUCAUCCUCUGUGAUCCUCGGCCAUUUCCUAUGAAUCACCGACUCCCAAUCUUCGUUCAAAAAAGCUCUGACCUUGGUACCCCAAUUUCUCUAACCCCUACACAUUGUGGUCUUCAUCGCUCCGAAUACUUCUUCACGGAGCACGGGAUCAGGCACCUCGAACCUCUCCCAUGCCUUGGCAUAACAAUCUUGCUUGACGCUCUCAGGAACCUUGGUCCAUCUCUGAUUGAUGUUCAUGAAGGAGCGAACGAUUGCAUUGCAUGUGUUGGCGAAACACGACGCGGCCCUCUUUGUACUCGCGGGUUUCCCGAUGUCGUCAGUCCUGGUGACAAUGAUUUUCUCCUUUGUCGGCUUGUUAGACCCACGAGGCGCCUUGUUCUUCGAAGUAGCCUGCGACGUGGUAGCCUCAGAGCCUGCAUUGAAGCCCGAAGGGUCACCGCCACCGUUUUCAGGCUCGUCGUCUUGGCUAUGGGCUAUUGGUGUGCCCGACGACGAAGAACCCUAAGGUGAGUCCUCAGGGUAUUCUCCAUCGCGACCCUAAGGUUCCUAUACAAUGCCCUUACAUGGAUUACUUUAAAAAAUCAAAAAAACUCGGCAUGACCCGUACUGUAAAUCUAGAAAAAUUCGUCAUGACCCGUGCUAUAAAGCUAGUGAAUUGGUCUACCCGAUAAUGAAACCUGCAUAAAAAUUACCCACCCACAUAUACCCCCUCGGCGUGAUGGCCGGCCCCUUAAAUUUCAACGGCCUUGGCACGAUGGCCGGGCCCACAUCAACAGCAACAGUAGCAACAGUAAACUUAAUGAGCAAAAAAAACACUAAUCGUCCUAAUCCUUAACCCUACCUUCAUGCAUAUUCACAUUGUAUCACAUUAUACACAUUCACAUUCACCCUAUUCGUCUACACAUUAUUCUUCUAAUCUUCUACACAUUAAUCUUCUACAUGCUCAAGGUGUAACACGCAGGUUUACAUCGUGUCGUUACCGUGACUUCACCAUUGUGGUAUUCCGGUGACUCUUCCUCUACCGCCCACAGCUUCUUCCUUAUGCCCAAGAACUCCAGGUCCUUCCGUGCCUUUAGCCCAUCUUUUGUCUUAUCUGCAUUGUUCAUUAGCAAGCCCAACAAGCUGUCACAGACGUUCUUCUCGACGUGCAUGACAUCUAUGAUGUGACGGCUUUGUAAGAAUUUCCAGUAAGGCAGGUCCAAAACACAGACCUCCUUUUCCACACAGGUCCAUCGCCAUCCUUUUCUUUCGCUUGCGGAUUUGCUUUCCCGGCAACAACUUCCAAGUUCCUGACAAUUUCAUAGAUUUCGUGCCCAGUCUUUUCCCUGGGCUUCAAGUGAGGCUCUGACCUCCCAUUGAAGUUUUUUUGUCUUUCCUCCAUGGGUCAUCGGGUUGCAACCACUUUCGCUGUCCCAUGUACACAAUCUUCUGUGAAACUGGCAGCCUGUGUGAGUUCGUUUCAUCCCUGCACUUUGUACACGCUUUGUACCCAUGUGUGCGUUGGCAAGACGAGUUCCCGUUCGCAGGGUAGUCAUGCACACAUGUCAGCAGAGCUGCUCGAAGGGUGAACUCCUCCUUCUUGUGAGCGUCCCAAACCUUUCGGCCCGUACUCCAAAGUUCCGCAAGUUCAUCUUUCAGUAGCUCCAGAUACACGUUCAGAUCAGCUCCCGGUUGGGGCCUUGUAUGAGCAUGGAUAGGUGGAUGUACUUCCUCUUCAUGAUAAGCCACGGAGGAAGGUUGUAUAUGAACAGGAUCACCGGCCAUGUGCUGUGUUUGCUGCUCAUGUUUCCGAAUGGAUUGAUUCCUUCCGUACUCAUCCUGAACCUGAUGUUCCUGGGCUCUGCGCCGAAGUCUGGAAACUCCUCGUCCAGGGUCCUCCAUUGAGUCACAUCGACAGGGUGUCUGAGUACACCAUCGUCAUUACGGUACACCUCAUCUGGAUCGAUAUCCUUCUGAGUCGUGUCGUGGAAGAUGAACCACCUGGCCUCCUUCUCGUUUUGAAAGCAACGCUCCAGCCCGCUACCACACGGGAGGUACCAUACCGUCUUCGCCGCCGGACCACGAGUCACUUCUUCCUCCGGGAGGCCCUCAGGAUUGGGGUCUUUCUUUCUGUAUUGGGAUGUUUUGCAUACUGGACAUCUGUGCAUGUCUUUGUAUUCCCCCUUGUAUAUGAUGCAGUCCAACGGACAAGCAUGGUAUCUGACAACCUCUAACCCGAGGGGACAUGCAACCUUAUUCGCUUCGUACGUGCUCUUAGGCAACAUGUUGCCCGCAGGAAAAACAGUAGAAAGGUAACUCAAAAUAUCCGUGAAUCCCGAGUCCACGAUGUUAUAUUUUGCCUUCAUUCGGAGAAGUUCUAGCGUUACUUCCAGCACACUUUCUCUCCCUUCAUUCGGAGAAGUUCGACCUUCCACUGGUGACCAGCUGCGGCUCUGCUCCUCACCGGCGGCGAAGCCCUGCCAAAAUUGAUGGCGGCGGCUCGAAGGUAGCUCUCCCCCCAUCUCCUUCUUCUUUCUCUCCCUUCUUCCUCCGCUUCUUCUUCUUCAAUUUGGCCAAAAAUCUAUUAAUGGCGUGGUGGCCGGUGGUGGCAAAUCCGGCCCGGAUCUCUCUCCGGUGGCUCUCUCGGGCUGCCCCCGCUGUCUCUGGAACUCCCCCUCACCCUAGUGAGGGCCCUCCCUACCGGAUCCCUCUCUCUCUCUCGCUUUAAUUUUGCUCCAAUGAGCUCCCUCCCUCUCUCUCUCUCUCUAGCUCUCUCUCUCUCUCUCUGUAGCUCUCUCUCUAGCUGCUUAUGGGGGAGCUUAGCCCCUGGGGGUAGCCCUAGGGUUAAGCUUAACCUCAGGAUUGGUGUAUGUGCAUGUUAAGCAUAUUAAAUGUGUGUUGACACCGGCCUUCGUGCCGUGUAUUUCUUAUGUGAUGUGAUACCGAUGGUCGUGCCGAUGUGGGUGGGGGUAAUUUGUUUUUAAUGCAGGCAUCGAAUUUCGUAGUGCAAAAUGCUAUUUUUUUUAGCAAAGGUCAUGCCGAAAUUUUCCAUUUUUGUCGAUCAAGCUGAUUUGUUUAUUUUUUAAAAGAUUUGUGUUGUAGCUCGAUGGGCCGUGCUUGGAUGUACGAGGACAGGUUACGUGUUGAGUGGAUAGAGCGGCUGAAGACUUUUGUCGAUGACGGUGUGGAAGAUAUGCAUAAGAAAGUGAGUGAUAAGAUGUGUUGUCCCUGUGUGAGAUGUCGGAACAGCAAGCUGUACGAGCCAGAGGAUGUCGAGAUGCACUUGCUCAUGCAAGGAUUUGUGUCUGGUUAUUCAAGGUGGACUUCUCACGGGGAGGAUGACAUUGAAGUCGAUGACGACAUUGAGAUGGAAAAAAUGAAGUCUGACGACCAGCCUGGUGAAGAAGCAUACCGUGGCGAGGAUCCAGUAUAGGACGUUCCAACCGGUAGGAUGGUUGAAAUGGUAGACAAUUAGCAUCUGCAGAAUCAGUUGGAUGACCCCGAGGAUGAGAGGUGUGCCGUAAGUUCAAGAAGCUGAGGGAGGAUGCCGAGACACCGUUAUAUGAAAAUGCCCACGUGGAUAACAAUGUGCUAGAAGUAACGCUCGAGCUUUUGCGUAUAAAUGCAAAAUACAACAUCGUGGACUCGGGAUUCACAGAGAUUCUGAGUUACCUACGUACGGUACUUCCUCCGGGCAACAAGUUGCCUAAGAGCACGUACGAGGCGAAGAAAGUUACAUGCCCCCUCGGGUUAGAGGUCAUCAGAUACCAUGCUUGUCCGUUGGAUUGCAUCAUAUAUAAGGGUGACUACAAAGACAUGCAGAGCUGUCCAGUAUGUAAAACAUCCCGAUACAGGAAGAAAGACCCCAAUCCUGACGGCGGCGAGGAGGAAGAAUUGGAGCGUGGUGCGGCGGCAAAGACGGUCUGGUAUCUCACGUGUGGCACCAGGCUGGAGCGUUGGUUACAGAACGAGAAGGAGGCCAGGUGGUUCAUCUACCACGACGCGACUCAGGCGGAUAUCGAUCCUAUGGGCUUGUACCGCAACGAUGAUGGAGUCCUCAGACACCCCGCAGAUGCGGCUCAAUGGAGGACUCUGGACGACGAAUUCCCCGAGUUCGGCGCAGAGCCCAGGAACAUCAGGUUCGGGAUGAGUACGGACGGGAUCAAUCCGUUCGGAAACUUGAGCAGCAAACACAGCACAUGGCCGGUGAUCCUGUUCAUAUACAACCUUCCCCCAUGGCUUGUCAUGAAGAGGAAGUACAUCCACCUAUCAAUGCUCAUACAGGGCCCUAAGCAGCCUGCAGCUGAUCUGAACGUGUAUCUGGAGUUGCUGAAGGAUGAGCUCAAGGAGCUUUGGGAGAAGGGUCGAAAGGUUUGGGACGCUCAUAAGAAGGAGAAGUUCACCCUUCGAGCAGCUCUCCUGACAUGUGUGCAUGACUACCCGGCGAACAGGAACUCAUCGUGCCAGUCAACAGAUGGGUACAAAGCGUGCACAAAGUGCGGGGACGAGACAGAAGGGUUGUUCCUGCCAAAAUCAAAAAAGAUUGUGUACAUGGGACACCGUAAGUGGCUGGAGAUAAAGGACCCGUGGAGGGAUGAUAAGAAAAAUUUCAACGGGAGGGCAGAGAGGCGGCACAAACCGAGGGAACUGACUGGACACGAAAUAUACGAAAUUGUCAGGGACCUUGAAGUCGUGGCCGGGAAAGCACAGCCGGCUGCUCGUCCAGAUGGCGGCCUUACGUACAAGAGGAGGUCCAUGUUCUGGGACCUGCCUUACUGGAGGUUCUUACAGAGCUGUCACACCAUAGACGUCAUGCAUGUCGAGAAGAACGUGUGCGACAGCCUGUUGGGCUUGAUUAUGCACCACGCGAACUAGUCAAAAGAUGGACCAAAGGCACGGAAGGACCUGAAGUGGAUGGGGAUAAGGGAGAAGCUGUGGCCGAUAGAGGAAGAGGCGCCGCAGGAAAACAAGGAUGGUGAACGCACGAUAUAUACACGAUGCAAACCUGCGUGUUACAGUCUGAGCAAAGCUGAGCUGCAUAGAAUGUGCGAGUGUCUCCAUGGCAUUAAAGUUCCAUCGAACUACUCAUCCAGCAUCAAGAAACUCGUUGACAUGAAGAGCCACAAGCUGGUUGGCAUGAAGUCUCACGACUGCCACGUGAUUCUCACGCAGCUACUUCCGGUUGCAAUAAGAGGCUGCAUGGAGCCAUGGGUGAGAGAGACGGUCAUGAAGCUUUGUGACUUCUGCGACACGAUCGGCUAGAAGUCCAUCACGGUGGACCGUUGCCUGCAACUGAGGGACGCAAUGAUACAGAUAUUGUGCGAAUGUGAGAUGUUCUUUCCCCCAACGUUCUUCGACAUUAUGGUCCAUCUGAUGGUCCACGUCGCCGAUGAGAUCUGGUUGUUAGGGCCAUCGUUCUUGCACAACAUGUUUGGGCCCGAACGAUACAACGGGGUGCUGAAGCGAUAUGUUCGUAACAGAGGGCGUCCCGAAGGAAGCAUCAUGGAAGGCUAUCAUGCAGAAGAGUGCGUUGAGUUCUGCACUGAUUGGUUGGCGGACCGCAAACCCAUAGGGGUCCCCGAAUCACGACAUAAGGGGAAGCUCGAAGGUGAAGGUGGGCUUGGCCGGAAGGAUCUUGAUGUGCAUGCCCGCCAAAGAAUGGACGACUUUAUAAGAGCACACACAAUGCUGAUGCAACUCACGCCAGAGGUCGGGCCGUUCAUCGACAUGCACAUCGAAGAACUUCGAAACCUCAACCCUAACAGGAAUGAUGAUUGGAUCCAGCGAAAACACAAUUCUACAUUCGCCAUGUGGCUCAAGAAUCUUUAGUAUCGGAGGGCUGCGGCGAAUGAAGAUGAGAAGAUUGUCCAGAAGUUGUCACGGCUUCCCGACCGCAACGUCGUGACAUACCAGUCGUACGCAAUGAAUGGGUAUACGUACUACACCAAGGCUCAAGACCGUAAGAGUACGUACCAAAACAGCGGUAUAGUGCUCGUAGCUGAGACGGGGACCGACAGCGAAGGCCAGACUAAAGCGUACUAUGGCGUGGUCGAAGAGAUCUGGGAGCUUGACUACACCUUCACCGCCAUCGCCACGUUUCGCAUCAGAUGGGCACGCGAUGUCAGGCAUGAAGAUCAUAGGCUCACAACAAUGAUUCUGCCAAAAGAGGUUCCUCGUCAUCAGGUGAAUGUCAAAAGAAUCUCGGCACUGCUUGAACCAUGGCAGUUUGCUUCCAAAUGCAAACAAGUCUUCUUCAUAGAAGACCUGAUAGCGAAAAACCGCGUAGUCGUGAGGAGAGGUAAAAGGAGCAUUGUUGGGGUCGACGGAGUAACUUCACAACAAGACUAUGAAGGUUUCCCCGAUCCCACGACCAGGCAAGAAGAAGAGGUGGCAAGAUGGACGAUCCAGACAAGAAAGAAGACAAAAUUACCCAGACAAGACGGGGCCUACGCCAGAAGUAGCCACGAUGAGGUCCACACGUAUAAGAGGAAAUAGAAGACAACAAAGAAAAAAGACAAGAUUGUCCAAUAGUUUACUAUUUGUGUAAUUUUGAUCAAUUAUGCUCGUUGAUGAUUUUCAAUGUAAUUUGAAUUCUAACGAGGUUUGAAUUUUAACUUGUUCAAAUUUGAAAACAAAUGCCGUAAAUUUGUUCUAAAUUUUUUUCUAGUGUGAAUGCAUAUUUUAUUUGCUUCUUUCGAUUUCGGAAAAAUUUAAGAGAUAUGGAUUUUUUUUAACUCUUAUUACAUGUUAUUUUCAAUAUAAAGGAGAAAAAAAAGUUUUUAAGCCCGCUCGGGUCAACUGAGCGUUUCUAGUUCGGGCCCAGCCAGGCAAACCCGGGAGCAGCCUACUACCUACUAGGCCAGAGCAGACCCGGGCCCACGGGGCUGUAAUCCGAGCCCACAAAGAACAGUACAGGUACCGGGCCCACGGGCCAGGCAAGGAGAACAGGAGACAGGCGAGAGGAAUAUUCGGAAGCUGAUGGGAGAAGGGAGGAAAGCCUUAUAUGCUGGUCGAAUCGCUUGUAAACUAGUGAGGUGGGACUAAACUCCCACCUCGCCUCGCGCGGCGGCCCGCAGAAGGCCACCGGUGGCGGUGAUUUCUUGAAACUCGCCACUGUAGGGGUACCAGUGGCGGUUUAUAGGGAAACCCGCCACCAUAAGCCAGCACCAGUGGCGGUGAUUUUCGUGAAACCUACCACUGGUGCGUGCUACCAGAAAAGGAGGCAAAAAAGUUUUUUUAGCCUGCCCGGUCAACUAGGCUGUUUCGGGUUCGCGCCCAGCCAGGCGAGAACCCCUGAUCUGCCUACUACCUACUAGGCGAGAAGA
rnacentral:lncRNA from 1 species